UGGACUUCUCGCCACUUCUCAGUCUGGCGCACUAUAAUGAAUCAUGCUAUACAAAGGAUAAAGCCGUUGCCCACGCUGGCUUGUGGUUGGCACGAUAAAUGUUUCACAACAGUAGCUCGCGAACCGGUCCUUAAUUGCCAUGAGCACGACCUUCAAAACCAUGUGCUCACAACCCACCAUUAAUCAUAUUUUAAUUACCAAUUAAUUAUCAUAACACGAUUAACCAUCGUGAGCUACCAUUAAAUAUAACCAUAAUAAUAAUGUAGUAUAUAUGAUUCAUCCCAUUAGUGAGCUAAUGUUUCUAAACAUGGCUAAGCAAUUAUAUAUAUAUAACAUUUAGCUGAACCAAACCAAUACAUAAGGUUCAAGCUAAUCAAUUUAUUACCCAAGGUAUCAAGGAAUAGAGCAUUCAAUGCAAAUUGGCCAUAACAAAGGAAAAGGUUCACACCACCCGGUGACAUUCAAAAAUAAAUGCACAGUUGAAAUAAAUAGAGAAUUUAAAUAUAGGAUCAACAUGCUCAAAGGAUUGUGUUUAGGAUCUGUGUGACUUGCCUUGCAAUAAUCGAUCUUCAAUUAAUCUUCUUGAUCACUUCCGACGCACUCACGAACCUUCGCAACGACGGAAACGACAAGCUAACACGCAAAACGAAGAAAAAGACUAAUAAAAAACCAAAUAAACAGUACAUAAAAAGUAAACAAACAUGUAGAUCAUAAUUUUAGAUGAAUUAUGAGACUUGAACGGCCUCAUUCUGACUUCAAAUGAAUUUAUUAUGAAUUUUACAAGAUUAAAUCUAAUUAAAGCCCAUUUAAAAAGAAUUAAAUAAAUUUAAUUCAAUUUAUGGACAAUUUUAAUAUGUAGAUCUUUAUUUUAGAAAAAUUUAGCAACUUGAACUACAUUAAACUGAGUUACGAUGAUUUAGUUAUGAUUUUCCGAAGAUUUAAUCUAUUAAAAGAAAAGGAAAAAGAUGAGAUGAUGACGUCAGCAUGACGUCAUCCAUGGCCGGCGGCUCGGAUUGGCGACCUCGCCGGAGCUAGGAUGGUCGGCCGGGGAUUUGGAGGGCACCUACGCAUAGAGGACGACGAGAUGAACCCAACGGUACUCACCACGACGACAAACGACGAACGACGACGGCCGGCGACGAGAAGGGCGACGGCGGCGGCUCGGUUGAACGGCGACGGCGAGCUCCGGUGGCCGGCGGCAAAGAAGGACGGGCGGCCGAGCUUCUCCACCCCUUGGCGCACCUCUUGGCGAUGGCGGCAAGCGGCGGCGACGACGGAGGCGGCGGCGCGACGACGCCGAAGAUGGCCGGCGGCGGCGGCGAGCUAGACGCGCGUGGCGCGGCGGCUAGGAGGCACGGGAGACCACGGGAGAGAGAGCAAAUGAAAGAGGGCGACGAGGGGAUGCUAUAUAUAGCCUUGGAUUGAAGAGAUCGAACUCCAAACGAGAGGAAUCGACUCGGGAAAAAUCCAAACUCGGUUUUAGGGAUAAAAUCAAAACGAACUCGAUUCGGAUAAAAUACCCAACGAUUCGCUCCGAUUCUUGAGGGGAAAGAUAGAGGAGAAUGAGAGGAUAAAAUCCCCUCAAAAACCCGGAGGAAACGGGGUCGGAUUGGGUUGGAUUUGAGAGAAGAAAGGAGGCGCGGUCGGUCGGCAGCUCGGCUCGGCUUGGCCGGCCGGAGGUAGGGGAUGACCCCGACAUGUGGGCCCCACAUGUCGGUGGCUAGAGGAGGAGGGGCGGCGGCUGCUUGGCUGGGCCGACUUGGGCCGGUUCGGCCGCGCGGAGAAGAGAAGAGUUGGGCCGAAUUCGGCCCAACGGCUUAAAGGAGGGGUUUUUGAACUUUUUCAAUAAAAACAAUUUGUGAAAUGUUGUUUCAUUUAUUAAAAAUACUUCCCUUGCUCAAAUAAUUCCCAGAAAAAUCUAGAAAAUAGAGGAGCAAGCAUAGUAUUUAAUAAAAUUUUAUCUAGCUCAUUUUUAUAUUGAAAAUUUUCCUAGAAAAUUAGGGUUUAGCUUGUAGGUUUUUAAAAUAAUUUCUAAAAAAUUCCAAUUAAACAACAAUUUAUAUAUUUAGGAUUUUAAACAAGAAAAACUCUUAACAAUUAUAGUUAGAUCAUUUAAUGAUCAAAUAAUUACUAAACUGUUCUUUGUAUCAUUUAGGAAUUGAGCUCCGAAAAAUCCGAGAAAAUUCCAGAGAGUAUAAUUAACCAUGGAGAAUUUAAUAAAAAUUAAAUCCAUCCAUGCUUUAUAUUUAGGAAAUUUUAUUUCCCACAUUUAACUUCACUUGUAAAUUAAUGAACAUUUAAUAUAAAUUCUAUUAAUAAUUUACUAAAUUCUUUAUAAAUCUUGAAACGAAAAUCAGGCUGUGACAGAACUCCAAACGAGAGGAAUCGACUCGGGAAAAAUCCAAACUCGGUUUUAGGGAUAAAAUCGAAACGAACUCGAUUCGGAAAAAAUCCUCAACGAUUUGCUUCGAAACUUGGGAAAAGAUAGAGGAGAACGUGAGGAACAAAACCCCUCAAAAACCCGAAAGAAUCGGGGUCGGAUUGGAGCAGAAACGGAGGCGGAAAAGGGCGGCUCGGGCUUGCUAGGGCGGCCGGCCGGAGGUAGGGGAUGGAUCCGACAGGUGGGCCCCACCUGUCGGUCUCCUGAGAGGAGGGCACGGGCGGCUCGGCUGGGCCGGCUUGGGCCGCGCGGGAGAGAGAGAAUGUUGGGCCGAAUUCGGCCCAACGGCUAAGGAAGGGGAUUUUUGAACUUUUUUGAAUAAAAACAAUUUGUGAAAUGUUGUUUCAUUUAUUAAAAAUACUUCCCUUGCUCAAAUAAUUCCCAGAAAAAUCUAGAAAAUAGAGGAGCAAGCAUAGUAUUUAAUAAAAUUUUAUCUAGCUCAUUUUUAUGUUGAAAAUUUUCCUAGAAAAUUAGAGUUUAGCUUGUAGGCUUUUAAAAUAAUUUCUAAAAAUUCCAAUUAAACAACAGUUUAUACAUUUAGGAUUUUUAGGGCGUGACAAACCUACCCCCCUUAAACGGAAUCUCGUCCUCGAGAUUCAGAAGAACUGGCGAACAGAUGAGGAUGAGCUGACUUCAAUUCAUCUUCUCGCUCCCAAGUGGCUUCUUCUUCUGAAUGAUUGCUCCACUGAACCUUGCAGAACCGUAUAACGCGAUUCCUGGUAUUCCUCUCGCUUACUUCCAAAAUUCUGACGGGCUUCUCAACAUAAGUUAAAUCUUCUUGAAGCUCUAUACGAUCAGGAUCUGCUUCCUCCGUAGGUACACGUAAACAUUUCUUCAACUGAGACACAUGGAACACGUCAUGCAUUCCCGUCAUUGACGAAGGCAACUCUAACUGAUAAGCUACUUCACCUCUUCGACUCACAAUCUUAAAAGGUCCCACAAAGCGCGGUGCCAAUUUCCCUUUGGUUUGGAAACGAUGAACACCUCGUAACGGCGUAACCCGAAGGUAUACAUAAUCUCCUUCUUCGAAAGCCAAAUCUUUGCGACGAUUGUCGGCAUAGCUCUUCUGACGUGACUGAGCAACACGCAACCUUUCUUGGAUAAUCUUCACUUUUUCUUCUGCCUCUCGCAAUAUGUCUGUCCCAAAAACCUGACGUUCACCGGUUUGAUCCCAAAGAAGCGGCGUACGACACUUUCGACCAUAUAAUGCUUCAUACGGAGCCAUUUGCAAACUAGCUUGAUAACUAUUGUUAUAUGAGAAUUCCGCGUACGACAAAUUCUUAUCCCAACUUCCACCAAAAUCUAGAACACAGGCUCUCAACAUAUCUUCUAAAAUUUGGUUUACUCUUUCUGUCUGACCAUCUGUUUGAGGGUGAUAAGCGGUACUGAAAUUCAAACGGGUACCCAUCUCAACUUGUAAUUUCUGCCAAAACUUCGAAGUAAACUGGCUACCUCUAUCUGACACUAUCUUCUUAGGAACGCCAUGCAAACAUACCACUCUGGCCUUGUAUAACUCUGCAAGCUUAUUCCCCGUAUAGGUUGUUUUGACCGGUAUGAAAUGCGCGACUUUUGUCAACCUAUCAACCACUACCCAAAUAGAAUCAUGUCCUGCCGACGUUCUGGGUAGACCGGUUAUAAAAUCCAUUCCUAUUUCUUCCCACUUCCACUCUGGAAUCUUUAACGGUUGUAACAGAUCGGCUGGCUUCUGAUGUUCUGCCUUGACCCGCUGACAUACAUCACAUAGAGCCACAUAUUCUGCUAUCUCACGACGCAUACUGGCCCACCAGAAUUGUUGCUUUAAAUCUUGAUACAUCUUAGUGCUUCCAGGGUGAAUGGAAUACAAAGUUUCAUGAGCUUCUUUCAUGAUAGUAUCCUUCAACUCCUUAUUAUCUGGGACGCAAAUUCUUUCUCCUAACCACACAGUACCUUGCUCAUCUUCUACAAAACCGAUGGCUUUUCCUCUUCUCAUGUUUUUCUUUAUUUCUUGGAUAUCAGGAUCAUUCACUUGAGCUUCUCUAACUUGAUCAAACAGAGUAGGUUUAGCUUCUAAAGCGGCCAUAAAACCUUUGCUGACUAUUCCCAAGUUCAACUUUUCAAAUUCUUGGCAUAACUCCCGAGGUAAACGUCGACCUUCUGACAUAUUACAGUAGCUUUUCCUGCUAAGUGCAUCGGCUACAACAUUUGCUUUCCCCGGGUGAUAGUGGAUUUCCAUAUCAUAAUCUUUAAUCAACUCUAACCAUCUUCGCUGACGCAUGUUCAAAUCAGGUUGAGUGAAAAUAUACUUCAAACUUUUAUGAUCCGUAUAUACCUCUGUACAGUUACCGAAAAGAUAAUGACACCAAAUCUUCAAUGCAUGCACCACAGCAGCCAAUUCUAGGUCAUGCGUUGGGUAGUUAUUCUCAUGGGGACGUAAUUGCCUAGACGCAUAAGCAACCACCUUUCCUUCUUGCAUCAACACACAACCCAAACCGAGUCGGGAUGCAUCACAAUACACUUGGAAACCUUUCCUCGAAUCAGGCAAAACUAACACAGGCGCAGUCACUAGCCUUUUCUUCAAUUCUUGGAAACUUUGUUCACAAUCCUCUGUCCACUUGUACUUUACUUCCUUCUGAAGCAGACGAGUCAUUGGUCUGGCGAUCUUUGAAAAGUUCUCAAUAAACCUGCGGUAAUACCCAGCAAGUCCAAGGAAACUACGAAUUUCUGAAACCGUCUUGGGUUGCUUCCAACUUAACACUGACUCCACAUUGCUUGGAUCUACUGCCACUCCUCCGGACGAGAUGACAUGACCAAGAAACUUCACUUCGGACAACCAAAAUUCACAUUUACUGAACUUGGCAUAAAGCUGAUGCUCACGUAGUUUCUCUAAAGCUAGACGAAGAUGCUCUUCAUGUUCUUCCUUCGUCUUGGAGUAAAUAAGAAUGUCAUCAAUAAACACCACGACAAACUUAUCCAGAUAUUCCAUAAACACCUUGUUCAUCAGAUUCAUGAAAAAGGCUGGGGCAUUAGUGAGUCCAAAUGACAUAACGGUACAUUCGAACAUACCAUACCGAGUUGUGAAAGCGGUCUUUGGUAUAUCUUCCUCACGGAUUCGAAGUUGAUGAUAUCCAGAACGGAGAUCUAUCUUAGAGAAAACUGUAGCACCUUCCAGUUGAUCAAACAGGUCAUCAAUUCUGGGUAGAGGAUACUUAUUCUUGAUAAUCACCUCAUUCAACGCUCGAUAAUCCACGCACAUUCUCUGAGUAUGAUCUUUUGUCACGCCCGGAAUUUCUAUCCAAAAUUCCAAACGCUUACAUGUGUGUGAACCCUCGUCCAGGAAUCAGCCGAGGCACACAAUAACAAAUUGAUAAUAGAGUACAAUUAUUACUCUAAUUAAUAAGCGUAUAAAGUGUCAUUACAGAGGUAGAUAGUUCCUCUCAAACAAUAAAUAUCUAAGCAGCGGAAAAAGAAAUAAACGGCGCAGACGGCUCCACUCCACAGGCAGCUUGACCAAGGCUACACCUAAUCCUCCACUCCAUCAGCUUCACUGUAGAACUCUUCCUCUGAUGAAUGAUUGCAAGGUGAGUAUAUGACAUACUCAGCAAGCCACGCAGCAAAUAUGCAAGUGCACAGGAUAACAAAGGAUGGCAUAAUAGGGUUUCAUUUGCAAAAGCAGCAUUUAGCAAACAUUUGAGAAUUUAAUCAAACCGUUAAGUAAUAAUUAAACAAUAUUAAUCCAACGCUAUACAACAUACCCUGUUGUAUAGGCCCAACCAUUCUAAACAACCACCUCGGCUGCACAGUUCUAUCUCCAAACCAGGAAUAUACCAUUCCAAACCAGGAGCUAAUCAAAUUAUUACCAGUUAAAGCAUCAUUUACUAAGAUGAGAAGUGUGGGACUAAUCACGAAAGACAUUGUUAGACUCGCCCAUAACCGCGGGCACAGCUAUUCGAAUAGUUUUACUCUGAUCAGAGGUGUACCACUGUACCCACAAGACACAACCCCACAUCAUGUCACCAUGUGCCUCAAUACCACCACGGUACCUCGGAAAGGAGUUGUGACAAUACCCCUCAUACAACACAAUCCACUGCAGUGCACCUUCCUGGAUCAUAAUCACCCCCUUAUAAACAAGGCAUGGACUCCCCAGCGACCCCCGUGGGCUUAUCUCCGCCACUUCUCAGUCUGGUGCCCCGCAAUGAACCAUGCUAUACAAAGGAUAAAGCCGUUGCCCAUGCUGGCUUGUGGUUGGCACGAUUAAUGUUUCACAACCGAAACUCGUGAACCGGUCCUUAAUUGUCAUGAGCACGACCAUCAAAACCAUGUGCUCACAACCCACCAUUAUCAGGUUUUAGUUGGCACAUUAAUUAAUUAACCAAUCACGAUUGUCCAUCGUGAACUAUCAAUAAGCCAUCGUGAAAUAAUAGUGAAUCAUUAGUUAUCCCAUAAGUGUGCUAAUGUUUCUAAGCAGGGCUAAGCAAUUAUUUCUAAUAUCUAGUUGAACCAAUAAACAUAAAGCUCAACUAGUCCAAUUUUAAUAACCCGAGGUAUCAAGGAAUAAGGUAAUCAAGAACAAAAGGGCUAUAACAAACAAUAGGUUAAUUCCACCCAAUGACAUUCGAAAAUAAAUGCAAUAUUUGAAUAGAAACAAUAGCUUUAAAUAGGAUCAACCAUGCUCAAAGGGUUGUUUGGGAUCUGUGUGACUUGCCUUGCUGGCCUUGGAACUCUUCAAACUCUUCUCCGGCGAAAACGGACUCUCCGGAAACGACGGAAUCUAAGCAGAAAGAAGCAAAAACACCAAAACAGCACAUAAAUAAGCUUGAACAGUACAUGUGGAUAUUUUUAUUGUGUAGAUCUCAAUUUUAGAAAAAUUUAGAGACUUGAACCAACUAAAUCGGAGCUAAGAUGAAUUAGUUAUGAAUUUUUAAAGAUUAAAUCGGAUUAAAACACUUAAAUCGGUUAAAAUUGAAUUAUGACGCAAUAAUGAAUUAUUUUUGAAAAGGAAAAGAAGGUUUAUUGCGUCAGCGGCUAGGGUUUCGGUGGACCGGGCGCACGGGCGGCGGUUCACGCGAACGGACGGCCGAGAUCGAUCCAAUCCAAAACGGACGGCCGAGAUCGAACGGUCCACGACCGGCUCACGGCGGACGACCCCGAUGACGUUAGCGAUGACGUCACCGACAGCGGCGGCGGCUCGGCGGAGCAGACGGCUCGGACGGCGCACGCUCGCCGGCGAACGGCGGCACUACGGCACAAACGGAGGGCACCAGCACGUAGAGGACGACGCGGCGAACUCACCGGUGACCAAAACGGCGGCGGAGGAAGAACGGACGGCGACGGUGACGAGGUUGAAACGGCGGCGGAGAUCGGGUCGACGACGGCGACGAUGCUCCGGCGGUCUCCGACGGUGGCGAAGUGGCGGACGAGGACGACGACGACUUGGCGACCACGACGGCGGUCUUCCCGAGCGACGACGAUGACCGGAACGGCGGCGGCGCACGGCUGGAGCGACGGCGGCGACGGCGGCACUAGGGCACACGGUGCUAGAGCUCUUCCGGCGACGAGAGGCGAAGGCGAGGGUGGCGACGGGUAGAGGAGGCACCGGGGGUCCUUUUAAAUGGGCUCGGAGGCGGCGGCAAAGGCCCACGGCGACGGCAACGGCGAAGGAAAGCUCGGGUAGAACGAAUCCGAGACGAACUCGAAUCCAACUCUUUCCAAGACGAUUUGGCCAAAGAUUCCAAAGGAGAAAAGGUAGAGGAGAUCCCGAGGAUCAUUUCCCCUCUAUCAAUUCGGCCGGAGAAGGAAAGGAGCGGCCGGAUUGGAAAGCGGCGGCGGCGGCGCGAAACUAGGGUUUCGGCCCGAGGAAGACGACGACUCCGACAGGCGGGACCCACCUGUCAGCGACAGCGAGGGCGCGCGCGCGAGCGGCUGCGGCUGCGGACUGGGCCGGCUGGGCCGAGGAGAGAGAGAGGAGGUUUUGGGCCGACUUUCGGCCCAAAGCCAAAAGAAGACUUUUUAAAACCUUUUUCCAUUUAAAUUAUUUCUUAAAUGCAAUUCCAUUUAUUAAAAAUACUUUCUUAGCUCAAAUAAAUCCCAGAAAAAUCUAGGAAUUAUAGAAUUAAGCAAAGUAUUUAAUAAAAUUUUAUCUGGCCCCAUUUUAUAUUGGAAUUUAUUAAUUAAAACUAGAUCUUCCUUUCUAGGCUUUUAAAAUAUAUUCUAGAAAUUCCAAUUAAACAACAAUUUAUAAAUUUUGAAUUUUCAGGAUGUGACAAACCUACCCCCCUUAAACAGAAUCUCGUCCUCGAGAUUCGGAAGAACUGGCGAACAGAUGCGGAUGAGCUGACUUCAAUUCAUCUUCUCAUUCCCAAGUUGAUUCUUCUUCCGAGUGAUUACUCCAUUGGACUUUGCAAAAACGGAUAACUCGAUUCCUGGUUCUUCUCUUAUUUGUUUCCAAGAUACGGAUUGGUUUCUCCACAUAGGUCAGAUCCUCUUGGACUUCUAUCUAUUCAAGAUUAGCUUCUUCGGUAGGUACCCUUAAACACUUCUUCAAUUGCGACACAUGGAACACAUUAUGGACUCCUGCCAAGGAUUGAGGUAACUCUAACUGAUAAGCAACCUCUCCUCUUCUACUGACAAUCUUAUAAGGUCCCACAAAACGCGGUGCUAAUUUUCCUUUGGUAUGAAAACGAUGAACUCCUCGAAAAGGCGUGACACGAAGAUACACAUAAUCUCCUUCUUCAAAACUCAAAUCUCUACGGCGAUUGUCGGCAUAACUCUUAUGACGAGACUGAGCCACUCGCAAUCUUUCUUGAAUGAUUUUCACCUUUUCUUCUGCUUCUCUUAGAAUAUCCGUCCCGAAAACCUGACGUUCUCCCGUUUGAUCCCACAAAAGCGGAGUGCGGCACUUACGACCAUACAGUGCUUCGUAAGGAGCCAUCUGUAUACUAGCUUGAUAACUGUUGUUGUACGAAAAUUCUGCAUAAGGUAGAUUCUUAUCCCAACUUCCACCGAAAUCUAAAGCACAAGCUCUCAACAUGUCUUCCAAAAUCUGAUUCACCCUUUCGGUUUGUCCGUCUGUCUGCGGAUGAUAAGCAGUGCUAAAGUUCAGCUUAGAACCCAUCUCUUCCUGAAGUUUCUUCCAGAAAUUUGAGGUAAACUGACUGCCUCGAUCAGACACUAUUUUCUUAGGGACGCCAUGCGAACACACAAUCCUUGCCAUAUACAAUUCUGCCAACCGACUUCCGGAAUAAGUUGUCUUUACCGGAAUAAAAUGAGCCACUUUGGUAAGUCUAUCGACUAUUACCCAAAUAGAGUCAUGGCCUGAUGACGUUCUGGGUAAACCAGUGAUAAAAUCCAUACCGAUUUCUUCCCAUUUCCAUUCAGGAAUCUUCAAAGGCUGCAGCAAACCGGCAGGUUUCUGAUGUUCUGCCUUGACACGCUGACAAACAUCACAUACUGCUACGUAUUCUGCGAUUUCACGCUUCAUACUUGCCCACCAAAAUCUUUCUUUGAGAUCCUGGUACAUCUUAGUACUUCCAGGGUGAAUGGAGUAUAAAGUAUCAUGAGCUUCUUUCAGAAUUACAUCUUUCAAAUCUUUGUUGUCAGGGACACAGAUUCUCUCGCCCAACCAAACAGUUCCUUGCUCAUCCUCCAAGAAACCGAUAGCUUUUCCUCUUCUCAUAUUCUUCUUGAUCUCUUGAAUAUCAGGAUCAUUAAUUUGGGCUUCUCUAACUUGAUCAAUUAGAGUGGGCUUCGCUUCUAAAGCUGCAACGAAACCUCUACUGACAAUUCCCAAAUUUAAUCUUUCAAAUUCCUGGCAUAACUCCAAUGGCAACUGUCGUCCUUCGGUAGCAUUGCAAUAGCCUUUCCUGCUAAGAGCGUCGGCUACAACAUUUGCCUUUCCUGGGUGAUAAUGAAUUCCCAUGUCAUAAUCCUUAAUUAAUUCCAACCAUCUCCGUUGUCUCAUGUUCAGAUCCGGCUGAGUAAAGAUAUACUUUAAACUCUUGUGAUCGGUAUAUACCUCUGUACGAGUACCGAAAAGAUAAUGACGCCAAAUUUUCAACGCAUGAACUACUGCAGCUAACUCAAGAUCAUGAGUAGGGUAGUUCUUCUCAUGCGGACGUAACUGACGAGAUGCAUAGGCAACCACCUUCCCAUCUUGCAUCAGAACACAACCUAACCCAAGUUUGGAUGCAUCGCAAUAGACUUGGAAACCCUUCUUUGGAUCGGGUAAAAUCAAAAUAGGAGCUGAUAUCAAGCGAUUCUUCAACUCUUGAAAACUCUGCUCACAUUCUUCUGACCACUUGUACUUCACAUCUUUCUGUAGCAGUCGUGUCAUGGGCUUAGCAAUCUUGGAAAAAUUCUCUAUAAACCUCCGGUAAUAUCCUGCGAGGCCUAGAAAACUGCGAAUCUCUGAAACUGUCUUUGGUUGUUUCCAGUUGGUUACGGAUUCCACAUUACUGGGAUCGACGGCAACUCCUCCUGCUGAGAUGACGUGACCAAGGAACUUCACUUCAGACAACCAAAAUUCACACUUGCUAAACUUAGCAUACAGUUGAUGUUCUCGUAGCUUCUCCAAUGCAAGGCGAAGAUGUUCUUCAUGCUCUUCUUUGGUUCGGGAGUAGAUAAGAAUGUCAUCAAUAAAGACCACCACAAACUUGUCUAGGUAUUCCAUAAACACCUUAUUCAUCAAGUUCAUGAAGAAAGCAGGGGCAUUGGUAAGUCCAAAAGACAUAACAGUACAUUCGAACAACCCAUACCUAGUGGUAAAAGCUGUCUUAGGUAUAUCUUCCUCUUUGAUUCUCAACUGGUGAUAUCCUGAUCGAAGAUCUAUCUUGGAGAAUACAGUAGCACCUUUAAGCUGAUCAAACAAAUCAUCAAUUCUGGGCAGCGGAUACUUAUUCUUGAUAGUCACAUCGUUUAAUGCACGAUAGUCCACACACAUCCGCUGAGUAUGGUCUUUCUUUUCCACAAAAAUAACCGGAGCACCCCAUGGAGAUGAACUCGGUCUGAUGUACCCUUUCUGAAGCAAAUCGUCUACUUGCCUUUUGACUUCUGCCAACUCAUUGGCUGCCAUUCUAUAAGGUCUCUUAUGGAUCGGAGUUGUUCCUGGUACCAAAUCUAUUCUGAACUCUAUAUCCCUUUUGGGCGGCAUACCAGGUAAAUCAUCUGGGAACACAUCGGGAUACUCCCGGACUAUAGGAAUCUCUUCCAAAGUUAUCUGGUUCAGUCUUGACCUUAAAGACUCAGAUGACAAUGCAUGAACAGUUACAACUCGACCAUCAUUGCUGAUGAGAGUUACUUUUCUGUUAGCACAGUCUAUCACACCUUUAUGUCUGGCUAACCAGUCCAUCCCUAGGAUGACAUCAAGGUCUUUGGAUUCUAACAAGAUAAGAUUGGCCAGAAAUGGUACUCCUUGAAUUUCUAUUCUGACAGAGGGGCUACGUUGCAAAGAGAGUGCUUGAUUGCUUGGGGUACUAACCAUCAAAGGACGUCUAAGAUCUUCUACUUCCAUCCCAUGAUUUCCCGCAAAACUCAUAGAUAAGAAUGAAUGUGUAGCACCAGAAUCGAAAAGCACUGUUGCAGGAACUGAGUUAACAGAAAACGUACCCAAAAUCACAUCUGGAGCAUCUUGGGCUUCUGCAGCAGCAACAUGAUUGACACGGGCCUUUGAUGCUGGUGCGGUAGAGUUGCUCUGGGCAGGGACAACCUUCACGCGUCGGGGCUUCGGACACUUGUCAGCAUAAUGUCCUGGGUCUCCACAGUUGAAACACACCACGGGCUUGCUGCCUGGCUCCCUCUUGGCAGGUUGUUGCUGUGUUGGAGCUGCAACAGGACGUGGAGCUUGAUUGCGGAUGUUGUUGCCAGCAUUGUUGUUGAAAAACUGACGUUGCGGACGAACAACAGACGAAGAACCUCCCUGUGGCAUAGACUGGGGUCCUAAAGUAAGACGCGGCUUCUGAUUACUCCCCUGUUGUGCUUUGAAGUGAGCAAUCCGGCGUUUCUUCUGCUCCAUGCGGUUGUACUUGUCUUCCUGACGAAUAGCCUUAUCCAUUAAUUUCUGGAAAUCAGAAUAAUCUCCAGUCAUGAGUGGGUAAGAAAGCUCAUCAUUAAGUCCUUCCAAGAACUUCUCCUGGCGCUCUUCAUCAUUGCGCACAUCUUCCGGAGCAUAACGAGCAAGACGAUUGAACUCGUGCAGAUACUCCGUAACAGAGCGAGAUCCCUGGGUGAGCGACCUGAACUCCUUCUUCUUGAGAGACACCACUCCCGAUGGUAUAUGCGUCUUCCGGAAAGCAGCGGUGAAUUCAAGCCAAGUAAUAGGUUCAGCAGUAGUCCUAUUCAGGCGGAAGUGAUCCCACCAUUCAGAGGCAGGGCCAUGCAACUGAUGUGAUGCAAAUGAGACCUUCUCCUGAUCAGUGCACUGAAGCAAAUCCAACUUCUUCUCUAUGGCAUGCAGCCAAUCACCAGCUUCAACAGGAUUAGUGGUACUAGAGAAAACAGGCGGCCUCACACGAAGAAAUUCUGCUAACUUAUUCUGAGGAGGUGCAUGGUUAUUUCCUUGGUUCUGCUGAUUCUGGAGUUGCUGCAUCAUCAUGUUCAUGAGUUGUGUCUGUUGAGCAAGAACUUGGGCAAGAGUGGGAUUCUCUCCAUUAUUGUUGUUAUUGGGGUUGUUAGGGCCAUUCCCAUUGCUGCGAGUGUUCACCAUCUGGCAUGGACAGGGCACAAGAAGAGAAACCGGGGGAAACUACUUAGGAUAGAGAAUUACUUUAACUUUUAUUGAUCUUAACUGAGUUUUAUUACAAACUGAAGACUCUCACACCACUAAACUCACCAACUUCCUCACACUCAAAAGCAAACAAACGCAUGCACUUACAUCCCACCACUGAUGUAAAUCACAUGCGAGACACACACAAGCAAACUUAAAACAAGCAAACUAACACAACGAUCUAAGACCACGACUUAACAAGUCACUCUAGUUCUUCUGAGCAUCGGAGGUCGAUUGAAGGCUCGUUCGGCUCGUCUUCAUCAUCUUGAGUUGCUACCCACUCAAUCUUGGAAUGGGUGCGCUUGGAUUCUUCAUCUUCAUCACUACUUAUGAUAAUGACCGGAGGAUCUGCUGGGGCAACUUCUUUCUCCACCACACGAACCUUUGGCGCCAAUUGAUAGCGAGGGACAAAUAGAGCUCUCUUCCUUGCGGUAAGACGAAUCCUGGCCUUCUGCGGCGGAGCUUCUCCCUUCAAUGCGGCUAAUUCCUUCUCCAAACGAUCCACCUUGUCUUCGAGCUUGCAAAUCUUACCACGAUUCCGGUCUUCACGAUCUUGAGCUGCUAACACAGUCUCCGCACGACUUUCAUCCAUAGCCCACAACAUCUCAACCAAAUGCCUUGUGGUAGCAUCAUUCUCAAUUCCUUCAGUCUCAAGGUAACUGCCACGGUCACUUCCCUGUGGUUGACGAGGAUGAUAGCGAUACUCAGUGUCGGCCAACUGAUCACUGUAGCGAUCACGGAGCUCUCCUAUGGCGAUCCUUGCCACUUCCUGACAUGCAUGGAUGUAGUUUCUUCCUCCAGCUUCGAACAUUACUGAGGGGACCUCUUCACUAUUGCUGUUCAAAGUAACUUUGACUCGGCACUUCUCUUCAUGACGAUCAUGAGGAAUCUGGGCAUAAAAAGGGGCAGUCCCAAAUCCAAUGACAAAGGACAUCGUACGCAACUCCUGGACAAAACCCUCAACACCAAACAAGUACUCAGGCUUGUAGCGCGGCAUCUAAAGACAAGUGAAAGGAGGGAGUUAAGACAUCUAUCCAAUUAACAGCACAAGUUUUUGGAUUAAUUUGAAUAAAGUUUAGAAAUCAAAAUAAACCAAACCUGCAGGAUAAGUUGAAACAGUUGGAAACAAGGUUACAAGCUUUGUGCUUUUGAGUAACAGGUUUUAAAAGAAAUAAAAGAAAGUUAUAAAAUCAACUUGCUAAAUCUAUUUUAUUGCAGCAAGAUUAAAUAAAACAACAUUGUAAAACUUUUGCUGGUAAAUGAGCCAUUGGUACAGUAAUAAAUGUACGGUACUAAUAACACUGGAAUAAAUUUUGAAUGAGAACCAUUAAAAGAGAUUAUGAAGUGCAUGUGCCAUUAGUUUGGUUUAAUUAAAAGAGAAAGGGAGGAGAACAGUUCUACUUUUCCAAUAUUUUUAGAAGGCUUCUAUGGGUAACCAUUUGGCAUAACCUAGGGUCAAGGGGGCUCUGAUACCAACUUGUCACGCCCGGAAUUUCUAUCCAAAAUUCCAAACGCUUACAUGUGUGUGAACCCUCGUCCAGGAAUCAGCCGAGGCACACAAUAACAAAUUGAUAAUAGAGUACAAUUAUUACUCUAAUUAAUAAGCGUAUAAAGUGUCAUUACAGAGGUAGAUAGUUCCUCUCAAACAAUAAAUAUCUAAGCAGCGGAAAAAGAAAUAAACGGCGCAGACGGCUCCACUCCACAUACCGAGGUGCGAGCUUCCCUUUUGUCUGAAACCUGUGCACACCUCGCAAUGGCGUGACCCGAAGGUAUACAAAAUCACCCACUGCGAAUUCCAGGUCACGGCGACGGUUAUCUGCAUAACUUUUCUGCCGAGACUGUGCCACCUUUAGAUUAUCCCGAAUGAUUCUGACUUUAGCUUCAGCUUCUCUCAGGAUAUCAGUCCCGAACACUUGGCUUUCUCCAACUUGGUCCCACAAGAGCGGUGUCCGGCAUUUGCGCCCGUACAACGCUUCAUAAGGUGCCAUUUGUAUGCUGGCUUGAUAACUGUUAUUGUAGGAGAAUUCGGCAUAGGGGAGACUCUUAUCCCAGGUCUUCCCGAAAUCUAGUACACAUGCGCGGAGCAUAUCUUCUAGGAUCUGAUUUAGAUGCUCGGUCUGUCCAUCUGUCUGCGGGUGAUACGCGGUGCUGAAAUUUAAUCGGGUUCCCAACUCUUCUUGGAGUUUCUUCCAAAAAUGAGAGGUGAAUUGGCUUCCCCUAUCAGAUACAAUUUUCUUGGGAACGCCAUGGAGACUCACGAUCCUAGCGAAGUAGAGCUCGGCUAGUUUGUUCCCUCCAUAGGUGGUCUUCACAGGAAUAAAUCGAGCUACCUUGGUUAAUCGAUCCACAACUACCCAUAUAGAAUCAUAUCCACCUUGGGUUUUUGGAAGUCCGGUGAUGAAAUCCAUCCCAAUUUCAUCCCAUUUCCAUUCUGGUACUUGGAGAGGUUGGAGAAGUCCGGCCGGUCGUUGGUGCUCUGCCUUGACACGCUGGCACACAUCACAAAGGGCCACGAACUCUGCAAUUUCCCGCUUCAUACUAACCCACCAGUAUUUCUCCUUCAAGUCUAAGUACAUCUUUGUACUGCCCGGGUGAAUGGAAUAAGGGCUCUCGUGAGCUUCCUGAAGUAUCAGCUGUUUGAGUUCUCGGUUAUCUGGAACGCAUACCCGCUUUCCGUUCCAUAGGGUUCCGUGUUCAUCCUCUGUGAAACCAGCGGCUUUACCCUGUUUCAUAUUCUUGAGGAGUCCAUGCAUGUCCGGAUCAUUCUUCUGAGCCUUGCGGAUUUGAUCGAGCAAGGUAGGCUUGGCUUCUAGCGCAGCCAAGAAUCCGCGACCAACUAUGCUUAGGUUCAGGGCUUCCAUCUGUUGAUUAAGUUCGGGUGGAAUGCCACGGACGUUAAGAGUGUUGCAAUGGCCCUUUCGACUUAGAGCGUCGGCAACCACGUUGGCCUUACCAGGAUGAUAGUGAAUUCCCACAUCAUAGUCCUUGAUGAGUUCUAACCAUCUCCUUUGCCGAAGAUUCAGAUCCGACUGGGUGAAGAUGUAUUUCAAACUCUUAUGAUCGGUAUAUAUUUCACAGCGAUUCCCAAUGAGAUAGUGCCGCCAGAUUUUUAGAGCAUGAACCACCGCGGCUAACUCCAAAUCAUGUGUAGGGUAGUUGCCUUCAUGAGGUCGCAGCUGACGUGAGGCAUAGGCUACCACAUGACCGUCCUGCAUGAGCACGCACCCCAAUCCUUGGCGCGAAGCGUCACAAUACACCAGGAAGUCCUUGCGAGUAUCCGGCAAGAUUAACACCGGCGAGGAAACCAGCUUUUCCUUGAGAGUUUGGAACGCCUUCUCGCAUUGCGGGCUCCACACAAAUUUCUCUUCUUUCUUCAACAACUGUGUCAUGGGUCGAGCGAUUUUGGAGAAGUUCUCGAUGAAUCUCCGGUAGUAUCCUGCCAAACCUAAGAAACUGCGGACUUGAGUAACUGUCUUGGGUUGCUUCCAAUCGGUGACGGUGGUCACUGUUUCGGGGUCCACAGAAACUCCUUUAGCAGAUAUCACGUGUCCUAAGAAUUUGACUUCGGACAGCCAGAACUCACACUUGCUAAGUUUGGCAUACAAUUGAUGUUCCCGCAGCUUUCCCAACACCAGACGGAGAUGGUGCUGAUGGUCUUCCUCUGAUUGUGAGUAUACCAGAAUGUCAUCAAUGAAAACCACAACAAACUUAUCCAAGUAUUCCAUGAACACUUUGUUCAUUAAGUUCAUGAAGAAGGCAGGUGCAUUGGUUAGGCCGAAUGACAUCACCGUGAAUUCAUACAGCCCGUAUCGCGUGGUGAAUGCGGUCUUCGGAAUAUCUUCUUCACGAAUACGUAAUUGGUGAUAUCCGGAACGAAGAUCAAUCUUGGAGAAUACAGUGGCACCUUUAAGCUGAUCGAACAGAUCAUCGAUCCGGGGAAGAGGGUACUUGUUUUUGAUGGUGACUUCAUUGAGAGCUCUGUAGUCAACGCACAUCCUCUUAGUCUUGUCUUUCUUCUCCACAAAAAUCACAGGAGCACCCCAGGGGGAAGUACUCGGACGUAUAUACCCCUUUUCUUUCAACUCUUCCAACUGUUUCUUUACUUCGGCCAGUUCAUUUGCUGCCAUACGGUAGGGUCGCUUGUGCAGAGGAGUGGUUCCUGGAGCAAGAUCUAUCCGGAACUCAAUCUCUCGCUUGGGCGGCAUACCGGGUAGUUCUUCCGGAAACACAUCUCCGAACUCCCUGACGAUGGGGAUUUCUGACAGUCCUAUCUGAUGCAGUUCUGAACUACUGACAGAGGUUGGGGGUGCAAAGAAAACAACCGGUUGUUCCGGCCCUCGGUACAGAGUGACAGUGCGCCUCGCGCAAUCCACUACUCCUUGGAAUUGAGCCAACCAAUUCAUCCCAAGGAUCACAUCCAAGUUCUUGGUGUCUAGCAGAAUCAGAUCCGAGGGAAAAGGAAUCCCCUGAAUUUCUAUAGGGACGGCAGGGCUAUAAUACUUUGCUGUCAUAACCCCUCCAGGGGUGGUGAUGAGCAGAGGGUUCCUAAGCCUUUCUACCCCCAACUGAUUUCUCCCCACGAAUGGCACAGAUAUAAACCAGUGGGAAGCUCCAGAGUCGAACAAAAUGGUAGCAGGGAUGGAAUGAACGAGGAACGUACCAACGAUGACGUCUGGAGUUGUCAGCACGUCCUCGGCCGUCACGUGAUUCACACGACCCCGAAUGACAUCCUUCCCACCGUUGUUGGAGUGGGGAGGCGCUUGGCCUUGCUGACGCCUUGGCUUCGGGCAUUUAUCCGCAAAGUGCCCGGGCUCGAAGCAGUUGAAGCACAGACGCUGCUGACCUUGAGCGUCCCUGCGGCCUUGACCAGACUGCACGGUUGGCGUAGGAGGACGGGGCGCACGAGUCCCUUGCUGAUUCUGCUGCUGCUGCGGCUGUGGGACGCGCACCACGAAUUGAGGUCGCGGCGCGGAGCGAGGUUGCUGCUGCUGUUGUUGCUGUUGCGAGGAGGAUCCCCCUGGAUAGGGGUUGGUGUAGCGGACCCUUUGGUUAGCACCCUGUUGAUUGCGGAAAUUCGCCAAGCGGCGCUUGUGCGACUCCAGUUCCUUGUGCUUUGUCGCGUCCCAAAACGACUCUAAAAUACAUCCUCGAAAUUGUGCCGAGAAUAAUUAAAAUUCAUGUGAAAGCCUCCAACAAUUAAAAUGUGCAAAUAUAAAAGUCAAAUAAGGCUUGGAGGAUUUUUGUAUAUUUCCUAAAAGCCUAAAAUGCGUAAAUAAAUUUUAGUGGAAUUUUCAGAGCACAAAUAAUAAUUGAGAAGAAAUAAACAAAGUUAAAAAGGUUUUAUAAAAAGAAAAACCCUAAAAGAAGUCCUUUUCCCCCCCUUCCUCUCUUGGGCCGGCCCGGCCCAACUCCCUCCCUCUCUCUCCUCUCCCCCGCGGCCCAUCGGCCUCCUCCCCGCGCGCGCGCCGCUGACGGGCGGGCCCGCCCGCCACCCUCGCUGACGGGUGGGGCCCACCUGUCAUCGCCUACCUCGCGCCGCGCCCGCCGCCGCCCGUGCCCUAGCGCCGCCGCCGCCGCCGAAUCCGCCGCAUCCCGCCGUCCCCGCGCGCCAUAAAGAGGGGGAAAUCACUCCCCGUGAUUCCCUCCCUCUUUCCCCCCACUUUCCCCUCUCUCUCUCCCUCGGAUUCGCUCGGAUUUAAUCCCGCAAAGUUCGCCGGCGCAUCAAUGGAGCCCGAGAUCGCCGCGCCGGUUUCCUUCCUCCCCGGCCGCCCUCUCUCGCUCCCGUCCCUAUAUAAUUGUUCCCCGUGCCUCACUCCUCCGUUUCCGCCACUCGCCGCUCGCUCUUUCCGUCGGAUUCGUGCUCGCGCCGUUGUACUCUCUCUCCGCCGUCGCCGCCGAGCUCCGGUUCGCCGCCGUCGUCGCUCCGGACCUCCUCCCGUCUCGGCGUCACCUCCUUCGGCUUCGCCGCAUCCCCGUCAACCUCGUCCACCCCUUCGUUUCGCCCGCCGACCGUCGGAGCGCCGCCGUCCUCGUCGAUCCGAACCGCGCCGCCGUCUUCCUCCGCUCCGAUCGUCGUCUCCGCCGCCCUCGUCGUCCCGGGGUGAGCCGAGGACCGCCGUUCGCUUUCCCCCUUCCCUCCUCUCUCUCGGGUGCCGCUCCGCCGCGCCGUUGGUCGCCGGCGGCGACCAUCGGGGCGCGGGCGCGCCGCCUCCCGUCGGCCGUGCCGGCAAGGCCGCCUUCGGGCGCGCCCCGCAGCUGCCAGGUGGGGCCCGGCCGUCAGCCGCCCGCGCCCGCGGGUGCGGCUGACGCGUGGGACCCACGGCGCCGGCCGGCGUCAGCCGCGUGCGCCCGGUCCACCGUGGACCGAGAGGCUGACGCGUGGGCCCCACUCCCGUGGACCCGGUCCGCGCGCCCUCUCUCCCGGCUGACGCAAUAAAUCCGAUUUUUAAUUAAAAUUUAAAUGAAGAAAUUCGCAAAUAUCCAUUUAAAGAGCAUAUAAACUUCAAAUGGCCAUAACUUGGCCAUUUGAACUCGGAAUUGGACCGUUCAAGUCUCUAAUUUUUCCUUAAGAAGUCAAGAACCCAUUUUUGUGCUUUGUUUCUGCUGUUAUAUGGAGUUGAUUAGAGUAAAAGCCUUUUCUUUUCCGUUGGUCGUGUAGACGCUGCAGCUUCGGAAGAUCCGCUCUUCGUGGAAGUUGAAGCCGACGUUUGGGAAAGCGAGCAAGGCAAGUCACAUCAUCUUUGAACAUAUUGAAUCCCAGUUUAUAAAAUUAUGUUGAUUUAAAUUAUUGCAUUAUCGCUUUAUUUAAAUUCCCGCGUUAUCACUGUUUUAUUUAGCCAUGCCUAUUUACCUUUGUUAUGACCUUAUUAUUAUUGUUAUUGUUAUUAUUACCUUGUUCACCCUAGAACAAACAAAACCCCAACUAGUGGACACUCUACUCAUGGCACCACUAGUUUAGUUUUAGGUAGAUGCUUCGCAAUUUAAUUAGGUAACAUUAGGUGGUUUUUCAACUAUAGACUUUGGGAAAUAUUCAUAUCAUCUGGAUACUAUGGAAUGGUUUGGUUACUGUGGAAUUGGCUUCACACCGCUCCUUCUAUUCAAAAUCCCCAAAAUGGUUUUAGGCUGGGCUCGGGGUGCAUGGUUUUGAUAGUAGCACCUCGGCCAUAUAAGGACCGGUCUUCGGGCCUCUGUUGCAAAGCACUACCGUACUUCCACAUGUCUAGUGGGUAAGGCUUAGUUUGUGGCUCAGUCUGGUUAUAAACAAAAGUACACGGAUUGGAGAUGGAUGAAGUCGGGGGUCGAUAGACAUUCUCCAGGGCAAAUGAAGGCUACACGAGCUGCGGCCCGGUAGUCGAGAUGUCAUGGCACAGGGCCGGUGUCCUGCUGCUAGGGGCUCAGUCCUGCCUGCCUGUCCCGGGGGUUCCGGCCGUAGGUGGGAUUGGGUCGGUACUCUUGUCUAUGGCUAGGAUGGGUUGGAAACUAUGUCACGUCUUCCGUCUGUAUACCGUGGUGGUAUGUGGCACGUGGUUGCACGUGAGGAAGAUGUGUCUUGUGGGUAAAGAUGUACACCUCUGAUCAGAGUAUAAUCUAUUCGAAUAGCCGCGCCCUCGGUUAUGGGCAAGCCGAGCAAUGUACCCAAGUUAGUGUUUUAAUUCUUAAAACCUGCUUAUCAACUAAAAUGUGGAAUAGUUGGCCUGGGUUGUGUCACGUCCUGAUAAAUUCAUCCCGAAAUAAAAUUCAUUCGCUAAAAGGAAUAAUAGAAUUAAUUAAAAUUCGAAAAGAAAUUGGCAAACACUAAAAUACGUACAAGAAAAAUUCGAAUGUGGCCCGGAGAAUUUUUGUUAAAUUCUCCUUGGUCUAAAACGAGCCCUCAAAUUUUACUUGAAUUUUCAGAGCGCCGGAAAUAAUUAUUAAACAACAACAACAAUUAACAAAGUUUAUUAAAAAGAAAAUCUAAAAAUAACCCUCCUUCCUCCUUUGGGCCAAGCCCAGCCCAAAAGUCCUUCUCUCCUCCCUCUCUUUCUCUCCCUCCCCUUCUCUCCCUCUCUCUCCCGGGCCUCUCUUCCCCUCCCGGGCAGCCCACUCCCUCCUCUCCUCCUCCUUCUGGGCCGCCCCUCCCUCCUCUCCUUCCCGGCCCAUCUUCUCUCCCUCCCCUCCUCCUGGGCCGCCUCGGCUUCGCCCGGCCCAAGCCGAGCCGCGCUCCCACCCGUGCCGCGCACGUGCGCGUGCGUGCGCGCCGUUGCCGCGUGUCGGCCGCGCGCCCGACCGCGUGGGGCCCACGCGUCAGGCCGCCGUCGCCUUCUUCCUCCUCCGCCCGGCCACCUCUCUCUCUCUUCCCGUGGAACCCUAAUCCCUUCCUCCCUCAAAUCCACGCGAAUCAAUGCCCUUCUUUCCAAAUUGAAUAGGGGAAAUUAAACCCCAUUGAAUCCUCUUCAAUUCCCCCUUAAUUCCCCCUUGAACGGCGCCCCCAAUCGCCGGGAACGGACGCGCCAAGUCCGGCCGCCUUCCUUUGCCGCCGGCCGCCAUUCCCGUCGCCGUUCCCGCUCCUCCCGUGGCCGGCUCUCUCCCCCAUCCUAUAAAAUGGGAUCCUCAUCCCCCGUUCUACCGUUUUAGCCUCUUCCCGAGCUCUCCCGUGGUCUCUAGCCACCUCCCCACCGUCGCCCCCUCUCUCCCACGUUGCCGGCCGGCCUCCAGCCGCCUCUCCCGCCUCGCCGGAGCGUCUUCCGGCCGCGCCGUCGCCUCCUCCAGCAUCGCAGCCGCCUCCUCUCCCACGGCCUACCCUCCGUUUCGCGCGGUGACCGCCGGAGGCGCGUUCCCGCCGUCGCCCUCCCCUUUCCCUCGCGCCGGCCACCUCCAGCCGCCUUCCUCUCCUCGCCCGAGCGCCGCCCGGCCGCGCCGUCUUCUCCCUCGGCCUCGCAGCUGCCCCCUCUCCCUCGGUCAGCCCUCCGUUUCGCGGGGAAAUCACCGGAGACGCGCCCUCGCCGGCGUCCAGUGGCGUCGCCACCACUUCUCCGCCUCCGGCCGCCUCUGCCACGUCCCCGGAGCGCCGGCCGACGUCGCCACCACCUUCCUCGGCUCCACGACGCCGCUCUCAUCCCCGGCAUCACCUCCUCCUCGCCCGAACUUCGCCGGAACGCCGUCGUCUCCGCGCCGGCCUCUCCUUCCUCCUCGUCGGCUCGUCGCCCCGCUGCACCACCACCUUCACCAACGUCGCAGCGGCGUGUUCCACGCUGUCCCCUCCUCCUCUCAGCCGCUGCUGCCUGCCAUCAUCGUCGUCUCCGAUCGUUCUCGCCGUCGACGUCCCGUCGGUCGCCCGGCUCGUCGUCUCGCGGCGCCGCCUCCGUCAUCGUCAUCGUAGCGGCGUGUUCCACGCCAUCCUCACCGCCGUGCAGCCGCUGCUGGCUGCCCUCGUAGCCUCCUCGCCGGCCCCGGUCGUCGUCGUCCUCGUCCUCUCGUCGUUCCCGAUCGUCGGGGCGUUCGUCCCUCCGUCAAGCCGUUCUCGUUCGUCGUCCUCGCUUCGUCAAGGUCGCUGCAGCCCCCGUCAUCGUCUUCGUCCUCGCCUCCGCGUCGUCAAGCCUCGCGCCGGCCGCGUCUCGCCUUCGUCCAAGGAUCGCCGCCGAAGCCGUCCCCUCGCCGUUCGCCUCCGUUGUGCCCGUCUGUCUCCGCCGCGCCCGUUCGUCGUUGUCGUUCCCGCGCCUCGUCGCGUGGUGGUAAGGUUCCCUCUCCCUCGCUGCCCUGUCCUCGUCCUUUCGGUGUCGCCCAUGCCCGUUGUGCGGUUGUCGGCCCCGGUACCCGUGUAUCGGCGUCGGCAGUCGUUCGCGUGUGCGGGUGGUGACCGUGUGGUGUCUAGUGGAGUCCGUUUGUCGGCCACUCGCUUCGGUUGACACACGGGGUCCGCUUCCGUCGACCCGUGGACCGUCUCUGUGUACUCGGUCUGCCGCGGUCCUUUAGGUUGACAUGUGGGGUCCGCAUGUCAACGGCGCAGCCUUCCUGUCUUUUCCAGGCUAGCGCUUACACCUGUUUUAUAGUUGCAAAACUUGAUUAUAAUAAUCCGCAAAUCUCCAUAUAACAGCAUUAAACUUCGGAUGAUCAUAUCUCGGUCAUACGAACUCUGAAUCGACCCGUUCAAGUCUCCUAAUGUUUGUUAUAACCUAAAGAACCCUGUGCUUUCUUUUUAUGUAUUGUUAUUGCUUCUUUAUAGGCUUGUAGCUUUGCUUGUGUGCUUCGCGUAGCUUUCGUCGUUCCGGAGGUUCCCGAAGCGUGGUUCGUGGUCGUCGCCGAAGGUUCGGAAGGCCGUUCUCUCUGAGCAAGGCAAGUCACAUCAUCCUUGAGCAUAUUGAAUCCCAGUUUAUAAAAUUAUUUUGAUUUAAAUUAAUGCAUUAUCGCUUUAUUUAAAUUCCCGCGUUAUCACUGUUUUAUUUAGCCAAGCCUAUUUACCUUUGUUAUGACAUUAUUAUUGCUAUUGUUAUUAUUAUUACCUUGUUCACCCUAGAUUAAACAAAACCUCAACUAGUGGGUACUCUAUUCAUGGUUCCACUAGUAUAAAUUUAGGUAGAUGCUUCGCUGAAUAAUUAGGCAACAUUAGGUGGUUUUAUAACUUUAGACUUUGGGAGUUCUCAUAUCAUUUGGACACUAUGGAAUUGUUGAAUUAUGGUGGAAUUGGACACACACCUCUCUUCCUCUUUCAAAACCCCUAAAACCUGUUUUCGGUGGGGUUUGGGUGCAUGCCAGUUGUGGGAAGUAGCACCCCGGCCACUAUAAGGACUAAAGCUCGGGCCUCUGUUGCAAAGCACUACCGUACUUCCACAUGUCUAAUGGGUAAGGCUUAGUUUGUGGCUCAGUCUAGUCAUAAACAAAAGUACACGGAUUGGAGAUGGAUGAAGUCGGGCGUCGAUGGACAUUCUCCAGGGCAAAUGAAGGCUACACGAGCUGCGGCCCGGUAGUCGAGAUGUCAUACGGCGGAGGGUUGGUGCCCAAUGCUAGGGGCUCAGUUCUGCCUGCCUGUCCCGGGUAUCCCGGCCGUAGGUAGGAUUGGGUCGGUACUCUUGUCUAAGGCUAGGAUGGGUUGGAAACUAUGUCACAUCUUUACGACGGGUUCCAAGGCCAUGGAAUGCGGAGUAAAGAUGUGUCUUGUGGGUAAAGAUGUACACCUCUGAUCAGAGUAAAUCUAUUCGAAUAGCCGAGCCCUCGGAUAUGGGCAAGCCUAGCAAUGUACCCAAGUCAGUGUUUUAAUUCUUAAAAUUUGCUCAACAACUAAAAUAUGGAAUGGUUGGCCUGGGUUGGCUUGGGACGAGCUGGGACCCAGGGUCGGGUUGCCAGUUCGGUCUGAAUCAUCGUAGGCCUUGGGUUAAGGCAGGUUCGUGAGGGUUCACGGCCUUGUUUAAUAAUACUGUGUAGUUCUAUGAUCGUCUUUACAAAAUGGCUUUGGGCAACUAAGUGACUUUUAAAUGCUGUUUACUGCAAACCUUAAUCCCUAUAUUAUUAUUCCCUUGUACCUCCCUUGCAUUAAUUAUGCAUCUGCCGGUGUGGCUUGCUGAGUACUGUGGUUGUACUCAUUCUUGCUCAAUCUUUCCCCCCCUUCAGUAAGAGAAGCUUUGGAGAAGAUGUCUUAGGUGGAGUCCUGGCUUAUACCCCAGUUGAGCGCCUGUGAAGAUGGAGCCGUAGGCCGCUAGUCCGCUGCUGUUUAUUUUUGCUUGUCAGGCCUGAAGUGCCUUUGUAAUAAUGUAAAUAUUAUCGAUAUAAUAAAGAUGUGUCUUCUAUAUCAUGUUUGUGUGGUGUACCCCGGCUUUUCCUGGGACGGGGAUUAAUACACUGGCGUUCGGGAAAAGGCAAUUUUCCCGGUCGCGACAAGCUGGUAUCAGAGCCAUCUCGACUGUAGGAUAAGCCAAGUGGAUAAAACCCAAGGACAUAUUUUAUAAAUAAAAAUUAUUUGCGAAAGUUCCUUUUUCUCCUUCCCCUAAUGCUAUUUGCAAAAGGUUUACUCCGUUCUUCCUUCUUCGGAUUUUCAACUAGUACUAGAUGGUCAGCUUUGCGAGGAAGAAGAUGUCGUCAGUUGUUUGCCGAAGCUCCGGAAGACUGCAGGAUCCGCUAGCGAAGCGAAGGAAGCAAUGAAGCCAGCUGUGAAGGAGUGAAGAUCUUGGGAACCCGUCGCAGAACCUAAGCCACCCUAUAGGGUAGUGUUGUUAGUCGUGUGUUCCUUGCUUGUGUGUGUAGCGCGUGGUUUGCAUCGGUGGGUGGUGAUGUAACCAUGCUAGGUUGUUUGCUUAAUCAACUUGCAGAAUAAGUGAAACAAACAACACAUCAACAAAAAGAGUUAGUUCCUUUAAGGUCUUGUCCCUAGUUCUGGUCUAUUCUUUCCUUGUAUGCUUCCCCUCUCAACCCCUACCUUGUGACAGAUGGAUAAUACUGGUAACAAAGGCUAUGGGAAUGAUGGAUCCGAUGACGCAAGAACCCAAGCCAAUGGGAAUGAGAGAAGCACCAACGAAACCUCACCAGAGCUAAUCCAAGUUGUGGUUAACCAAACCAACAUGUUGGCAACAGCCUUUCAACUAUUACAGAAUUGGAGCAGCCCAGCAGGGACAACCAACGUUCAAGUGCCUACAGUCCGGCAACAGUGCAAGUUAUCAGAAUUUCUCAAAACUGAGCCUCCAACCUUUGCCAUUGCCGUCGAUCCUAUGGAAGCCAGUGAUUGGUUGCGCACAAUCGAGAAGAAGCUAGGGUUGAUUCAGUGCACCGACCAGGAGCGGGUUGGCUUCGCAACUCAUCAGUUGGUUGGACCGGCUUCAGAGUGGUGGGAUAGCUACGAAGCAUCACGGCCAGAAGGACAUACCAUCACCUGGAACGAGUUUUCAUCUGUAUUCAAGAGACCACAUGUUCCCGCAGGAAUGAUCACACUAAGAAAACGAGAGUUUCGCUACCUGAAGCAAGGAGAUUUGACCGUCACAGAGUACCUGCACGAGUUCUAUCGUUUGGCUCGCUAUGCACCAGAAGAUGUGGAAACGGAUGAAGACAAACAAGAGAAGUUUCUCCAGGGGUUAAAAGAUGAGCUUGCAGUGCAACUACUCCUAGAGGAUUAUGAAGAUUUUGAGAAACUUGUGGACAAAGCCAUGCAACUCGAAAGUGAGCAUAAUCGGAUGACGAACUGCAAGAGAAGGAUUGUCAACAUCCCAGUAAUUCCAUGUGGUAACCAAAGACAGCGCACUGAGCCACUUCAGAUCACCGGAUCUUCUGUUGUGCAUCAAGAGUUCCUGCCCCAAGAAGACGGACGCAAUACAGACAACAACCCUAGCAAUACUAAUGGUGAUGAUACCACCAACAACCAUGGUUCUUGCCCCAUUAGUGACCACUCGAAUCAAGCGUGCAAUUUUGACACUGAGAAAGACUCCAAUUGUGAUAGCAACUACGGUACCACUGAUGCCAAUGUUAGCAAGGAUUUCCAACCACCAAUUCCAACUCCUAGUCAGAACGAUCGUUCCCAGACGGACAACUCAGCAAAGAAGACGUUGAUUUGUUACAACUGCAAAGAACCAGGUCAUUUCUCCAGAGAUUGUCCACAGCCGAAGCGUAACCUGCGCCAUCACUCCGGCCAUUAUGCAAGAAGAAGACAAGUCACUCGCCUUGUGGUCACUGGAGCAAACGCCGUACCUGUGAGGCCUCAUGUUAAUUCUAACCCAUAGUAGAAACAAUGUACCGAUGUUAAGUACCGUCCCUUUUUGUUUAAGACAGUGCCUUGUAUUCAUGUAAUAUGGGAGAAAUUGGUAAUAAAAACAAGUUCUAAGAGGAUUCUUUCGGAAGAUGCGGAUAUGUGAUCAUGUGUAUAAUUGUUUACUGACAAAGGAGACCUAGGGUCUCGUGCCAGAGGAACUAUAUUCUAACCUCGAGCUAAUAACCAACCUGAGGAUGGAAAAGAAAAUCAGGUGAUUAACCAAAGAGACAUUUGUUUGGACUAAGAGUUUCAGAUGUGUCUUUUCCGGAUCAAAGGCAAUGACAGUCAGUGUAGCUUUUGGCGAAACACUUCAAGGUUUCACUGAAAGGUAGCAGACCAAAGGACCUCCUCGCCACCAGAAGCAUCCACAACUCUCGGAGUGAAGAGUACUUAGUGACCAAGGUCAAAAGAUGACUGAUAGAAGAUAUCGAAAAAGAUGUUUAUUACCAGGCAAAGAAGUAGGUCGAAAGGUGAUUAAUAAGAGAAAUCGGGAAAGAACACAUCAAGGGCAAAGGUGUAAAGGAAUACGUUGAAUGCUAAAUGAUGACAAGUUAUGACAAGCAUGGUAUCUUAGUAAAGACGAGCUGAUCUCGACGCAUGACAUGAAGUGGGUAACUUGUAUGAGGUUGACUCCAAAGAUAUGAACUAUGCAAAGUUCUGGAACUGAAGCCCCAUCUUCAAGUGCCGCAACCCAGUCGAAGUCAGCUAAAGGUUCAACCAGGGACAAGUCAGGUGAAGAGAAGAUUCCAUCUGCAACAGGAGAUCGAGCCAAGCAGUCCAGAGUGAAGAAGUGUUGUUAGGCAAGUUUGUUAUAGAAGACGGAGCGGAAGAAGUCAGACAAGAAGAGAAGACCGCCCAACCUAUCUUCUUGCUAGCCUCCUCGAAUCUCGGGGACGAGAUUCUUGUAAGGGGGGUGGAUUUGUCACGUCCUGAUAAAUUCAUCCCGAAAUAAAAUUCAUUCGCUAAAAGGAAUAAUAGAAUUAAUUAAAAUUCGAAAAGAAAUUGGCAAACACUAAAAUACGUACAAGAAAAAUUCGAAUGUGGCCCGGAGAAUUUUUGUUAAAUUCUCCUUGGUCUAAAACGAGCCCUCAAAUUUUACUUGAAUUUUCAGAGCGCCGGAAAUAAUUAUUAAACAACAACAACAAUUAACAAAGUUUAUUAAAAAGAAAAUCUAAAAAUAACCCUCCUUCCUCCUUUGGGCCAAGCCCAGCCCAAAAGUCCUUCUCUCCUCCCUCUCUUUCUCUCCCUCCCCUUCUCUCCCUCUCUCUCCCGGGCCUCUCUUCCCCUCCCGGGCAGCCCACUCCCUCCUCUCCUCCUCCUUCUGGGCCGCCCCUCCCUCCUCUCCUUCCCGGCCCAUCUUCUCUCCCUCCCCUCCUCCUGGGCCGCCUCGGCUUCGCCCGGCCCAAGCCGAGCCGCGCUCCCACCCGUGCCGCGCACGUGCGCGUGCGUGCGCGCCGUUGCCGCGUGUCGGCCGCGCGCCCGACCGCGUGGGGCCCACGCGUCAGGCCGCCGUCGCCUUCUUCCUCCUCCGCCCGGCCACCUCUCUCUCUCUUCCCGUGGAACCCUAAUCCCUUCCUCCCUCAAAUCCACGCGAAUCAAUGCCCUUCUUUCCAAAUUGAAUAGGGGAAAUUAAACCCCAUUGAAUCCUCUUCAAUUCCCCCUUAAUUCCCCCUUGAACGGCGCCCCCAAUCGCCGGGAACGGACGCGCCAAGUCCGGCCGCCUUCCUUUGCCGCCGGCCGCCAUUCCCGUCGCCGUUCCCGCUCCUCCCGUGGCCGGCUCUCUCCCCCAUCCUAUAAAAUGGGAUCCUCAUCCCCCGUUCUACCGUUUUAGCCUCUUCCCGAGCUCUCCCGUGGUCUCUAGCCACCUCCCCACCGUCGCCCCCUCUCUCCCACGUUGCCGGCCGGCCUCCAGCCGCCUCUCCCGCCUCGCCGGAGCGUCUUCCGGCCGCGCCGUCGCCUCCUCCAGCAUCGCAGCCGCCUCCUCUCCCACGGCCUACCCUCCGUUUCGCGCGGUGACCGCCGGAGGCGCGUUCCCGCCGUCGCCCUCCCCUUUCCCUCGCGCCGGCCACCUCCAGCCGCCUUCCUCUCCUCGCCCGAGCGCCGCCCGGCCGCGCCGUCUUCUCCCUCGGCCUCGCAGCUGCCCCCUCUCCCUCGGUCAGCCCUCCGUUUCGCGGGGAAAUCACCGGAGACGCGCCCUCGCCGGCGUCCAGUGGCGUCGCCACCACUUCUCCGCCUCUGGCCGCCUCUGCCACGUCCCCGGAGCGCCGGCCGACGUCGCCACCACCUUCCUCGGCUCCACGACGCCGCUCUCAUCCCCGGCAUCACCUCCUCCUCGCCCGAACUUCGCCGGAACGCCGUCGUCUCCGCGCCGGCCUCUCCUUCCUCCUCGUCGGCUCGUCGCCCCGCUGCACCACCACCUUCACCAACGUCGCAGCGGCGUGUUCCACGCUGUCCCCUCCUCCUCUCAGCCGCUGCUGCCUGCCAUCAUCGUCGUCUCCGAUCGUUCUCGCCGUCGACGUCCCGUCGGUCGCCCGGCUCGUCGUCUCGCGGCGCCGCCUCCGUCAUCGUCAUCGUAGCGGCGUGUUCCACGCCAUCCUCACCGCCGUGCAGCCGCUGCUGGCUGCCCUCGUAGCCUCCUCGCCGGCCCCGGUCGUCGUCGUCCUCGUCCUCUCGUCGUUCCCGAUCGUCGGGGCGUUCGUCCCUCCGUCAAGCCGUUCUCGUUCGUCGUCCUCGCUUCGUCAAGGUCGCUGCAGCCCCCGUCAUCGUCUUCGUCCUCGCCUCCGCGUCGUCAAGCCUCGCGCCGGCCGCGUCUCGCCUUCGUCCAAGGAUCGCCGCCGAAGCCGUCCCCUCGCCGUUCGCCUCCGUUGUGCCCGUCUGUCUCCGCCGCGCCCGUUCGUCGUUGUCGUUCCCGCGCCUCGUCGCGUGGUGGUAAGGUUCCCUCUCCCUCGCUGCCCUGUCCUCGUCCUUUCGGUGUCGCCCAUGCCCGUUGUGCGGUUGUCGGCCCCGGUACCCGUGUAUCGGCGUCGGCAGUCGUUCGCGUGUGCGGGUGGUGACCGUGUGGUGUCUAGUGGAGUCCGUUUGUCGGCCACUCGCUUCGGUUGACACACGGGGUCCGCUUCCGUCGACCCGUGGACCGUCUCUGUGUACUCGGUCUGCCGCGGUCCUUUAGGUUGACAUGUGGGGUCCGCAUGUCAACGGCGCAGCCUUCCUGUCUUUUCCAGGCUAGCGCUUACACCUGUUUUAUAGUUGCAAAACUUGAUUAUAAUAAUCCGCAAAUCUCCAUAUAACAGCAUUAAACUUCGGAUGAUCAUAUCUCGGUCAUACGAACUCUGAAUCGACCCGUUCAAGUCUCCUAAUGUUUGUUAUAACCUAAAGAACCCUGUGCUUUCUUUUUAUGUAUUGUUAUUGCUUCUUUAUAGGCUUGUAGCUUUGCUUGUGUGCUUCGCGUAGCUUUCGUCGUUCCGGAGGUUCCCGAAGCGUGGUUCGUGGUCGUCGCCGAAGGUUCGGAAGGCCGUUCUCUCUGAGCAAGGCAAGUCACAUCAUCCUUGAGCAUAUUGAAUCCCAGUUUAUAAAAUUAUUUUGAUUUAAAUUAAUGCAUUAUCGCUUUAUUUAAAUUCCCGCGUUAUCACUGUUUUAUUUAGCCAAGCCUAUUUACCUUUGUUAUGACAUUAUUAUUGCUAUUGUUAUUAUUAUUACCUUGUUCACCCUAGAUUAAACAAAACCUCAACUAGUGGGUACUCUAUUCAUGGUUCCACUAGUAUAAAUUUAGGUAGAUGCUUCGCUGAAUAAUUAGGCAACAUUAGGUGGUUUUAUAACUUUAGACUUUGGGAGUUCUCAUAUCAUUUGGACACUAUGGAAUUGUUGAAUUAUGGUGGAAUUGGACACACACCUCUCUUCCUCUUUCAAAACCCCUAAAACCUGUUUUCGGUGGGGUUUGGGUGCAUGCCAGUUGUGGGAAGUAGCACCCCGGCCACUAUAAGGACUAAAGCUCGGGCCUCUGUUGCAAAGCACUACCGUACUUCCACAUGUCUAAUGGGUAAGGCUUAGUUUGUGGCUCAGUCUAGUCAUAAACAAAAGUACACGGAUUGGAGAUGGAUGAAGUCGGGCGUCGAUGGACAUUCUCCAGGGCAAAUGAAGGCUACACGAGCUGCGGCCCGGUAGUCGAGAUGUCAUACGGCGGAGGGUUGGUGCCCAAUGCUAGGGGCUCAGUUCUGCCUGCCUGUCCCGGGUAUCCCGGCCGUAGGUAGGAUUGGGUCGGUACUCUUGUCUAAGGCUAGGAUGGGUUGGAAACUAUGUCACAUCUUUACGACGGGUUCCAAGGCCAUGGAAUGCGGAGUAAAGAUGUGUCUUGUGGGUAAAGAUGUACACCUCUGAUCAGAGUAAAUCUAUUCGAAUAGCCGAGCCCUCGGAUAUGGGCAAGCCUAGCAAUGUACCCAAGUCAGUGUUUUAAUUCUUAAAAUUUGCUCAACAACUAAAAUAUGGAAUGGUUGGCCUGGGUUGGCUUGGGACGAGCUGGGACCCAGGGUCGGGUUGCCAGUUCGGUCUGAAUCAUCGUAGGCCUUGGGUUAAGGCAGGUUCGUGAGGGUUCACGGCCUUGUUUAAUAAUACUGUGUAGUUCUAUGAUCGUCUUUACAAAAUGGCUUUGGGCAACUAAGUGACUUUUAAAUGCUGUUUACUGCAAACCUUAAUCCCUAUAUUAUUAUUCCCUUGUACCUCCCUUGCAUUAAUUAUGCAUCUGCCGGUGUGGCUUGCUGAGUACUGUGGUUGUACUCAUUCUUGCUCAAUCUUUCCCCCCCUUCAGUAAGAGAAGCUUUGGAGAAGAUGUCUUAGGUGGAGUCCUGGCUUAUACCCCAGUUGAGCGCCUGUGAAGAUGGAGCCGUAGGCCGCUAGUCCGCUGCUGUUUAUUUUUGCUUGUCAGGCCUGAAGUGCCUUUGUAAUAAUGUAAAUAUUAUCGAUAUAAUAAAGAUGUGUCUUCUAUAUCAUGUUUGUGUGGUGUACCCCGGCUUUUCCUGGGACGGGGAUUAAUACACUGGCGUUCGGGAAAAGGCAAUUUUCCCGGUCGCGACAAGCUGGUAUCAGAGCCAUCUCGACUGUAGGAUAAGCCAAGUGGAUAAAACCCAAGGACAUAUUUUAUAAAUAAAAAUUAUUUGCGAAAGUUCCUUUUUCUCCUUCCCCUAAUGCUAUUUGCAAAAGGUUUACUCCGUUCUUCCUUCUUCGGAUUUUCAACUAGUACUAGAUGGUCAGCUUUGCGAGGAAGAAGAUGUCGUCAGUUGUUUGCCGAAGCUCCGGAAGACUGCAGGAUCCGCUAGCGAAGCGAAGGAAGCAAUGAAGCCAGCUGUGAAGGAGUGAAGAUCUUGGGAACCCGUCGCAGAACCUAAGCCACCCUAUAGGGUAGUGUUGUUAGUCGUGUGUUCCUUGCUUGUGUGUGUAGCGCGUGGUUUGCAUCGGUGGGUGGUGAUGUAACCAUGCUAGGUUGUUUGCUUAAUCAACUUGCAGAAUAAGUGAAACAAACAACACAUCAACAAAAAGAGUUAGUUCCUUUAAGGUCUUGUCCCUAGUUCUGGUCUAUUCUUUCCUUGUAUGCUUCCCCUCUCAACCCCUACCUUGUGACAGAUGGAUAAUACUGGUAACAAAGGCUAUGGGAAUGAUGGAUCCGAUGACGCAAGAACCCAAGCCAAUGGGAAUGAGAGAAGCACCAACGAAACCUCACCAGAGCUAAUCCAAGUUGUGGUUAACCAAACCAACAUGUUGGCAACAGCCUUUCAACUAUUACAGAAUUGGAGCAGCCCAGCAGGGACAACCAACGUUCAAGUGCCUACAGUCCGGCAACAGUGCAAGUUAUCAGAAUUUCUCAAAACUGAGCCUCCAACCUUUGCCAUUGCCGUCGAUCCUAUGGAAGCCAGUGAUUGGUUGCGCACAAUCGAGAAGAAGCUAGGGUUGAUUCAGUGCACCGACCAGGAGCGGGUUGGCUUCGCAACUCAUCAGUUGGUUGGAACGGCUCCACCAGACGCGGCGACGCUUGGGGCGGCAGACCUCUCCCUGGGCGAUCUUGAGCUGAUGCAGCUGCGCCUCCACCGCGUCUAGGUCCUUCUUGAGCUGCAGGUUCUCCUGACGCAGCUCCAGGAUCUUCAUGUUGUUCUCGACCAUCCCACGGCGUACCAUCUGGUGGAAGUCGAUACGAGCCGCGUCGUACGCCUCCACCAUGCGCGCCAGGUGCACGAUGGUAGCGUCAUCCUCCGAGCUAGCAUCCCGGAAGGUGGCGUAGUCGCGGGCUCCUCCGCGACGAGGGUGGUAGCGGUAGGGCGAGUGCUGCAACUCGUCCGGGUAGCGCUGGUGAAGAGUGCCGAUAGCGAGGAGAGCGGCGUUCUGGCAAGCGGCGGGGAAGGAAUCUCCACCCGCGGUGACUGCCAGCGAAGUCCGCUCGGGAGAGCCAGACAGGAUCACUGCAGUGACCUCCCAACCAGCGUGGGGCUCUGCAUCGUCACCCUCCUGCUCCGGAAGCGGCCUGGCCUGGUAGUCCACUCCAUGUGGAUACCCCAAGACCACGCACAUGCCCCGCAGCUCCAAGACGAAGCCAGUCAUGUCCAAACCACGACGGGUGACGCUGCUGGCCAUCUACAAACAAAAACAAAAAGAAAAACAACAUUUUAAAGGUCAGAUUUUGGCGAUAAAUGAAGCAGCAAGACAGAGAGAGACUAGACAGUUUUCACAAAUAACAAAAGAUUUUUAUUUUUGAAAAUAUUGCUAAGGCUUGGGAUCUACGGCUCGUCCUAGGGUCAACGGUGGCUCUGAUACCAACUUGUCACGACCGGAAAUAACCCAACGGGCGUUCCUGACGUGCGUGCAUUAAUCCUUGUCCCAGGAGGCAAGGUACACCAAAAGUUGAUACAAUUCAGAGUUUAACAAGCGGAAGCGUAAAUAGUUAACUUAUUACAUGGGCAGCGAAGGCCCAGCACACACAGAGACAAACGAGAAACAGCGGAAGACUAGGGCGACGACCACAGGCGCUUGACGGCAGGCACGAGCUAGACACCAAAGCCUUCAUCUUCAAGGAGCUCCUCUUCUGGGCUUGGGAAAAAUUGAGCAAGACUGAGUACAACCACCGUACUCAACAAGACACACCCACAAAUGCAGAAUAAAUGCAAGGGAGUACAAAGGAAUUAUACUAUAAAGGGGUUAGGGUUGCAGUAAACAGCAUUUAAAGACGUUUAGUUGCUCAAAGCUAUUUUGUAAACGCGAUCCUAGAACUAUACAAUAUUAAUUAUCAAGGCCGUGAACCCACACGAACCUGCCUUAACCCAAGGCCUAUGAUGAUUCAGACCGAACUGGCAACCCGACCCUGGGUCCCAGCUCGUCCCAAGCCAACCCAGGCCAACCAUUCCACAUUUUAGUUGUUAAGCAGGUUUUAAGAAUUGAAACGCUAACUUGGGUACAUUGCUCGGCUUGCCCAUAACCGAGGGCGCGGCUAUUCGAAUAGAUUAUACUCUGAUCAGAGGUGUACAUCUUUACCCACAAGACACAUCUUCCUCACGUGCAACCACGUGCCACAUACCACCACGGUAUACAGACGGAAGCUGUGACAUAGUUUCCAACCCAUCCUAGCCAUAGACAAGAGUACCGACCCAAUCCCACCUACGGCCGGAACCCCCGGGACAGGCAGGCAGGACUGAGCCCCUAGCAGCAGGACACCGGCCCUGUGCCAUGACAUCUCGACUACCGGGCCGCAGCUCGUGUAGCCUUCAUUUGCCCUGGAGAAUGUCCAUCGACCCCCGACUUCAUCCAUCUCCAAUCCGUGUACUUUUGUUUAUAACCAGACUGAGCCACAAACUAAGCCUUACCCACUAGACAUGUGGAAGUACGGUAGUGCUUUGCAACAGAGGCCCGAAGACCGGUCCUUAUAUGGCCGAGGUGCUACUAUCAAAACCAUGCACCCCGAGCCCAGCCUAAAACCAUUUUGGGGAUUUUGAAUAGAAGGAGCGGUGUGAAGCCAAUUCCACAAUAACCAAACCAUUCUAAAGUGUCCAGGUGAUAAGAAUAUUUCCCAAAGUCUAUAGUUGAAAAACCACCUAAUGUUACCUAAUUAAAUUGCGAAGCAUCUACCUAAAACUAAACUAGUGGUGCCAUGAGUAGAGUGUCCACUAGUUGAGGUUUUGUUUAUUCUAGGGUGAACAAGGUAAUAAUAAUAAUAACAAUAAUAAUAAGGUCAUAACAAAGGUAAAUAGGCAUGGCUAAAUAAAACAGUGAUAACGCGGGAAUUUAAAUAAAGCGAUAAUGCAAUAAUUUAAAUCAACAUAAUUUUACAAACGGGGAUUCAAUAUGUUCAAAGAUGAUGUGACUUGCCUUGCUCGCUUUCCCAAACGUCGGCUUCAACUUCCACGAAGAGCGGAUCUUCCGAAGCUGCAGCGUCUACACGACCAACGGAAAAGAAAAGGCUUUUACUCUAAUAAACUCCAUAUAACAGCAGAAACAAAGCAUAAAAAUGGGUUCUUGGCUUCAUAAGGAAAAAUUAGAGACUUGAACGGUCCAAUUCCGAGUUCAAAUGGCCAAGUUAUGGCCAUUUGAAGUUUAUAUGCUCUUUAAAUGGAUAUUUGCGAAUUUCUUCAUUUAAAUUUUAAUUAAAAAUCGGAUUUAUUGCGUCAGCCGAGGGAGAGGGCGCGCGGACCGGGUCCACGGGAGUGGGGCCCACGCGUCAGCCUCUCGGUCCAUGGUGGACCGGGCGCACGCGGCUGACGCCGGCCGGCGUCGUGGGUCCCACGCGUCAGCCGCACCCGCGGGCGCGGGCGGCUGACGGCCGGGCCCCACCUGGCAGCCGCGGGACGCGCCCGAAGGCGGCCUUGCCGGCACGGCCGACGGGAGGCGGCGCGCCCGCGCCCCGAUGGUCGCCGGCGGCGACCUCCGGCGCGACGGAGCGGCGGCCGAGAGAGGGGAGGGAAGGGGGAAGUGAAACGGCGGUCCUUGGCUCACCCCGGGUCGACGGCGGUGACGGAAACGGCGACCGAAGCGGCGAGAGGCGGCGGCGCGGCUCGGGUUGACGAGGACGGCGGUGCUCCGACGGUCGGCGGGCGAAACGGAGGAGUGGACGAGGUCGACGAGGACGCGGCGAAGCCGAAGGAGGUGACGCCGAGACGGGAGGAGGUCCGGGGCGACGACGGCGGCGAACCGGAGCUCGGCGGCGACGGCGGAGAGAGAGGACGACAGCGCGGGCUUGAUUCCGACGGGGAGAGAAAGCGGCGAGCGGCGGAAACGGAGGAGAGAGGCUCGGGGAGCGAUUAUAUAGCGUCGGGAGGGGGAGAGAGCGGCCGGAGGGGAAGGAAUCGGCCGCGGAAAUCUCGGCCGCCAUUGAUGCGCCGGCGAAGAUCGCGGGAGUGAAUCCGGACGAAUCCGAGGGAGAGAGAGAGGGGAAAGUGGGGGGAAAGAGGGAGGGAAUCACGGGGAGUGAUUUCCCCCUCUUUAUGGCGCGCGGGGACGGCGGGAUGCGGCGGAUUCGGUGGCGGCGGCGGCGCUAGGGCACGGGCUGGCGGCGGGCGCGGCGCGAGGUAGGGGAUGACGGGUGGGCCCCACCCGUCAGCGAGGGUGGCGGGCGGGCCCGCCCGUCAGCGGCGCGCGCGCGGGGAGGAGGCCGAUGGGCCGCGGGGGAGAGGAGAGAGAGGGAGGGAGUUGGGCCGAGCCGGCCCAAGAGAGGAAGGGGGGGGGGGGAAAAGGACUUUUAGGGAUUUUUCUUUUUAUAAAACCCUUUUAACUUUGUUUAUUUCUUCUCAAUUAUUAUUUGUGCUCUGAAAAUUUCACUAAAAUUUAUUUACGCAUUUUAGGCUUUUAGGAAAUACACAAAAAUCCUCCAAGCCUUAUUUGACUUUUAUAUUUGCACAUUUUAAUUGUUGGAGGCUUUCACACGAAUUUUAAUUAUUCUCGGCACAAUUUCGAGGAUGUAUUUUAGAGUCGUUUUAGGACGCGACAGGGUCCCAGCUCGUCCCAAGCCAACCCAGGCCAACCAUUCCACAUUUUAGUUGUUAAGCAGGUUUUAAGAAUUUAAAACACUAACUUGGGUACAUUGCUAGGCUUGCCCAUAACCGAGGGCGCGGCUAUUCGAAUAGGUUAUACUCUGAUCAGAGGUGUACAUCUUUACCCACAAGACACAUCUUCCUCACGUGCAACCACGUGCCACAUACCACCACGGUAUACAGACGGAAGACGUGACAUAGUUUCCAACCCAUCCUAGCCAUAGACAAGAGUACCGACCCAAUCCCAACCUACGGCCGGAACCUCCGGGACAGGUAGGCAGGAUUGAGCCCCUAGCAGCAGGACACUAGCCCUGUGCCAUGACAUCUCGACUACCGGGCCGCAGCUCGUGUAGCCUUCAUUUGUCCUAGAGAUGUCCAUCGACCCCCGACUUCAUCCAUCUCCAUCCGUGUACUUUUGUUUAUAACCAGACUGAGCCACAAACUAAGCCUUACCCACUAGACAUGUGGAAGUACGGUAGUGCUUUGCAACAGAGGCCCGAGCUUAAUCCUUAUAUUGGCCGGGGUGCUACUUCCCACAACUGGCAUGCACCCAAACCCCACCGGAAAACAGGUUUUAGGGGUUUUGAAAGAGGAAGAGAGGGGUAUGUCCAAUUCCACCAUAAUCCAACAAUUCCAUAAUGUCCAAAUGAUAUGAGAUUUCCCAAAGUCUAAAGUUAUAAAACCACCUAAUGUUGCCUAAUUAAACAGCGAAGCAUCUACCUAAAUUCAUACUAGUGGAACCAUGAAUAGAGUGUCCACUAGUUGGGGUUUUGUUUAUUCUAGGGUGAACAAGGUAAUAAUAACAAUAGCAAUAAUAAUGUCUUAACAAAGGUAAAUAGGCAUGGCUAAAUAAAACAGUGAUAACGCGGGAAUUUAUAUAAAGCGAUAAUGCAUUAAUUUAAAUCAAAAUAAUUUUAUAAACUGGGAUUCAAUAUGCUCAAGGAUGAUGUGACUUGCCUUGCUCAGAGAGAACGGCCUUCCGAACCUUUGGCGACGACCGCGAACCACGCUUCUGGAACCUCCGGAACGACAGAAGCUACGCGAAGCACACAAGCAAAGCUACAAGCCUAUAAAGAAACAAUAACAAUACAUAAAAAGAAAGCAUACGGUUCUUUAGGUUAUAACAAACAUUAGGAGACUUGAACGGGUCGAUUCAGAGCUCGUAUGACCAAGAUAUGAUCAUCCAAAGUUUAAUGCUGUUAUAUGGAGAUUUGCGGAUUAUUAUAAUUAAACUUUGCAACUAUAAAACAUGUGUAAGCGCUAGCCUGGAAAGACAGGAAGGCUGCGCCGUUGACAUGCGGACCUCACAUGUCAACAAAAAGGACCGCGGUAGACCGCGUACACAGAGACGGUCCACGGGUCGACGGAAGCGGAUCCCGUGUGUCAACCGAGGCGAGUGGCCGACAAACGGACUCCACUAGACACCACACGGCCUGCACACGUGGAAACCACGCGGCUACCGAGCGGGCACACUAACACAGACACUACACGGUCACCACCCGCACGCGUGAACGACUACCGACACCGGUACACGGGUACCGGGGUCGACAACCGCACAACGGGUACGGGGUGACACUGAAAGGACGAGGACGGGGCAGCGAGAGGACGGAUCCUUACCACCACGCGACGAGGCGUGGGAACAACAACGACGAACGGGCGCGGCGGACGGCGAGGGAACGACUUCGGCGGCGAUCCUUGGACGAAGGCGAGACGCGGCCGGCAUGAGGCUUGACGACGCGGAGCCGAGGACAAAGACGACGACGGCUACAGCGACCUUGACGAAACACCGAGGACGGACGAGAACGGCUCGACAGAGGGACGAACGCCACGACGACCGGGAACGACGGGAGGACGACGACGACGACGACCGGGGCCGGCGAGGAGACGACGAGGGCAGCCGGCAGCGGCUGCACGGAGGCGAGGAUGGCGUGGAACACGCCGCUGCGAUGUCGACGACGGAGGCGGCGCCGCGAGAUGACGAGCCGGCGAGGAUGAACGGUGACGACGACGACGAACACCGGCGGGGUUCGGUCGAAGGGGAGGCGAGGCCGAGGGCGUCCUUGACGCUGCGAUGCCGGAGGUGGAGACGGCGACGUCGGCCGGCGCACUGGCACGGCGAAAGGGGCUGCCGGAGUGGGUGCCGACGAGACCGAGGAAGAGGCGGCGCGCGUGACGGCGGUGAGGGCUAGGGACCACGGGAGAUCGCGGGAGUGGGCUAAAACGAUAGAACGGAGCGAGGGGAUUCCGUUUUAUAGCGGAGGGAAGCGAGCCGGGCAUGGGAGAGGGCGGAACGGCGACGGGAAACACGGCCGGCAGCCAUGGAAGGCGGCCGGGAAUGGCGCGGCCGUUCCGGGCGAUUGGGGGCGCCAUUCAAGGGGAAAAACGGGGGAAAUCAAAGAGGAAUCAAUGGGGAUUAAUUCCCCCCAAUCAAUUUGGAAAGAGCCGGCUUGAAUGGAGCGGAUUUGGAGGAGGAACGGCGCUAGGGUUCACGGGAGAGAGAGGAAGGAGGCCGGCGGCUGGAGGCCGGGGACGCGCCUGACAGGCGGGACCCACGCGGGAGGCGCGCGGUCAACGCGCGGCAACGGCGCGCACGCACGCGCACGUGCGCGGCACGGGAGGGAGGCGCGGCUCGGCUUGGGCCGGGCGAAGCCGAGGCGGCCCAGGAGGAGAGGAGGGAGAGGCAGCCCGGGAGGGAGAGGGUGGAGGAGGGAGUGGGCCGAGAGGGGGAGGGGAAGAGUGGGCCGGGAGGAGGAGGAGAGGCCCGGGAGAGGAGGGAAAGAGAGGGAGGAGAGGGAGACUUUGGCCGCGGGCCAAGAGAGAGAGAGGAACCUUGGGCCAGACUUGGCCCAAAGGGAAGGAGAGGGUUAUUUUUAGGUUUUCGUUUUAUUAAACUUUGAUAAUUGUUUUUGUUGCUUAAUAAAUAUUUCCGGCGCUCUGAAAAUUCAAGUAAAAUUUGAGGGCUCCUUUUAGACCAAGGAGAAUUUAACAAAAAUUCUCCGGGCCACAUUCGAAUUUUUCUUGUACGUAUUUUAGUGUUUGCCAAUUUCUUUUCGAAUUUUAAUUAAUUCUAUUAUUCCUUUUAGAAAAUGAUUUUUAUUUUGGGAUGAAUUUAUCAGGACGUGACACCACAUCAUGUCACCAUGUGCCUCAAUACCACCACGGUACCUCGGAAAGGAGUUGUGACAAUAACCCUUGCACAACAUAACCCAUUACAGCGCACCUUUCCUGGAUCAUAAUCACCCCCUUAUAAACAAGGCCUGGUGUCGCGUCCCAAAACGGCUCUAAAAUACAUCCUCGAAAUUGUGCCGAGAAUAAUUAAAAUUCGUGUGAAAGCCUCCAACAAUUAAAAUGUGCAAAUAUAAAAGUCAAAUAAGGCUUGGAGGAUUUUUGUAUAUUUCCUAAAAGCCUAAAAUGCGUAAAUAAAUUUUAGUGAAAUUUUCAGAGCACAAAUAAUAAUUGAGAAGAAAUAAACAAAGUUAAAAAGGUUUUAUAAAAAGAAAAACCCUAAAAGAAGUCUUCUUUCCCCCCCCCUCCUCUCUUGGGCCGGCCCGGCCCAACUCCCUCCCUCUCUCUCCUCUCCCCCGCGGCCCAUCGGCCUCCUCCCCGCGCGCGUGCCGCUGACGGGCGGGCCCGCCCGCCACCCUCGCUGACGGGUGGGGCCCACCCGUCAUCCCCUACCUCGCGCCGCGCCCGCCGCCCGCCCGUGCCCUAGCGCCGCCGCCGCCGCCGAAUCCGCCGCAUCCCGCCGUCCCCGCGCGCCAUAAAGAGGGGGAAAUCACUCCCCGUGAUUCCCUCCCUCUUUCCCCCCACUUUCCCCUCUCUCUCUCCCUCGGAUUCGUCCGGAUUCACUCCCGCGAUCUUCGCCGGUGCAUCAAUGGCGGCCGAGAUUUCCGCGGCCGAUUCCUUCCCCUCCGGCCGCUCUCUCCCCCUCCCGACGCUAUAUAAUCGCUCCCCGAGCCUCUCUCCUCCGUUUCCGCCGCUCGCCGCUUUCUCUCCCCAUCGGAAUCGAGCCCGCGCCGUCGUCCUUUCUCUUCGCCGUCGCCGCCGAGCUCCGGUUCGCCGCCGUAGUCGCCCCGGACCUCCUCCCGUCUCGGCGUCACCUCCUUCGGCUUCGCCGCGUCCUCGUCGACCUCGUCCACUCCUCCGUUUCGCCCGCCGACCGUCGGAGCACCGCCGUCCUCGUCAACCCGAGCCGCGCCGCCGCCUCUCGCCGCUUCGGUCGCCGGUUCCGUCACCGCCGUCGACCCGGGGUGAGCCAAGGACCGCCGUUUCACUUCCCCCUUCCCUCCCCUCUCUCGGCCGCCGCUCCGUCGCGCCGGAGGUCGCCGCCGGCGACCAUCGGGGCGCGGGCGCGCCGCCUCCCGUCGGCCGUGCCGGCAAGGCCGCCUUCGGGCGCGUCCCGCGGCUGCCAGGUGGGUCCCGGCCGUCAGCCGCCCGCGCCCGCGGGUGCGGCUGACGCGUGGGACCCACGGCGCCGGCCGGCGUCAGCCGCGUGCGCCCGGUCCACCGUGGACCGAGAGGCUGACGCGUGGGCCCCACUCCCGUGGACCCAGUCCGCGCGCCCUCUCCCUCGGCUGACGCAAUAAAUCCGAUUUUUAAUUAAAAUUUAAAUGAAGAAAUUCGCAAAUAUCCAUUUAAAGAGCAUAUAAACUUCAAAUGGCCAUAACUUGGCCAUUUGAACUCGGAAUUGGACCGUUCAAGUCUCUAAUUUUUCCUUAUGAAGCCAAGAACCCAUUUUUAUGCUUUGUUUCUGCUGUUAUAUGGAGUUUAUUAGAGUAAAAGCCUUUUCUUUUCCGUUGGUCGUGUAGACGCUGCAGCUUCGGAAGAUCCGCUCUUCGUGGAAGUUGAAGCCGACGUUUGGGAAAGCGAGCAAGGCAAGUCACAUCAUCUUUGAGCAUAUUGAAUCCCAGUUUAUAAAAUUAUGUUGAUUUAAAUUAUUGCAUUAUCGCUUUAUUUAAAUUCCCGCGUUAUCACUGUUUUAUUUAGCCAUGCCUAUUUACGUUUGUUAUGACCUUAUUAUUAUUGUUAUUGUUAUUAUUACCUUGUUCACCCUAGAAUAAACAAAACCUCAACUAGUGGACACUCUACUCAUGGCACCACUAGUUUAGUUUUAGGUAGAUGCUUCGCAAUUUAAUUAGGUAACAUUAGGUGGUUUUUCAACUAUAGACUUUGGGAAAUAUUCAUAUCAUCUGGAUACUAUGGAAUGGUUUGGUUAUUGUGGAAUUGGCUUCACACCGCUCCUUCUAUUCAAAAUCCCCAAAAUGGUUUUAGGCUGGGCUCGGGGUGCAUGGUUUUGAUAGUAGCACCUCGGCCAUAUAAGGACCGGUCUUCGGGCCUCUGUUGCAAAGCACUACCGUACUUCCACAUGUCUAGUGGGUAAGGCUUAGUUUGUGGCUCAGUCUGGUUAUAAACAAAAGUACACGGAUUGGAGAUGGAUGAAGUCGGGGGUCGAUGGACAUUCUCCAGGGCAAAUGAAGGCUACACGAGCUGCGGCCCGGUAGUCGAGAUGUCAUGGCACAGGGCCGGUGUCCUGCUGCUAGGGGCUCAGUCCUGCCUGCCUGUCCCGGGGGUUCCGGCCGUAGGUGGGAUUGGGUCGGUACUCUUGUCUAUGGCUAGGAUGGGUUGGAAACUAUGUCACGUCUUCCGUCUGUAUACCGUGGUGGUAUGUGGCACGUGGUUGCACGUGAGGAAGAUGUGUCAUGUGGGUAAAGAUGUACACCUCUGAUCAGAGUAUAAUCUAUUCGAAUAGCCGCGCCCUCGGUUAUGGGCAAGCCGAGCAAUGUACCCAAGUUAGCGUUUCAAUUCUUAAAACCUGCUUAACAACUAAAAUGUGGAAUGGUUGGCCUGGGUUGGCUUGGGACGAGCUGGGACCUAGGGUCGGGUUGCCAGUUCGGUCUGAAUCAUCAUAGGCCUUGGGUUAAGGCAGGUUCGUGUGGGUUCACGGCCUUGAUAAUUAAUAUUGUAUAGUUCGAGAAUCGUGUUUACAAAAUAGCUUUGAGCAACUAAACGUCUUUAAAUGCUGUUUACUGCAACCCUAACCCCUUUAUAGUAUAAUUCCUUUGUACUCCCUUGCAUUUAUUCUGCAUUUGUGGGUGUGUCUUGUUGAGUACGGUGGUUGUACUCAGUCUUGCUCAAUUUUUCCCAAGCCCACAAGAGGAGCUCCUUGAAGAUGAAGGCUUUGGUGUCUAGCUCGUGCCUGCCGUCAAGCGCCUGUGGUCGUCGCCCUAGUCUUCCGCUGUUUCUCGUUUGUCUCUGUGUGUGCUGGGCCUUCGCUGCCCAUGUAAUAAGUUAACUAUUUACGCUUCCGCUUGUUGAACUCUGAAUUGUAUCAACUUUUGGUGUACCUUGCCUCCUGGGACAAGGAUUAAUGCACGCACGUCAGGAACGCCCGUUGGGUUAUUUCCGGUCGUGACACCUGGACUCCCCAGCGACCCCCGUGGACUUCUCGCCACUUCUCAGUCUGGCGCACUAUAAUGAAUCACGCUAUACAAAAGAUAAAGCCGUUGCCCACGCUGGCUUGUGGCUGGCACGAUAAAUGUUUCACAACAGUAGCUCGCGAACCGGUCCUUAAUUGUCAUGAGCACAACCAUCAAAACCAUAUGCUCACAACCCACCUUAACCAGGUUUUAAUUAUCAAUUAAUUAACCUCACACGAUUAACCAUCGUGAGCUACCAUUUAAUAUAACCAUCAUUAAUAAAAAUAUAACAUAGUUUAUAAUUAAUCCCUUUAGUUAGCUAAUGUUUCUAAGCAUGGCUAAGCAAACAUAUAUAUAGCAUUUAGCUGGACCAAUCCAUUAUAUAAGGUUCAUGCUAAUCAAAUUAUAACCCAUAGGAAAAUAAAGUCAUCUUCGGCCAACAAUUAACUGGGAAAGGUUCACCACCCAAUGACAUUCGAAAAUAAUGCAUAAGUUGAAAUAAAAUAAUAGCUUUAAACGGGUUCAACAUGCUCAAAGGGUUGUUUGGGAUCUGUGUGACUUGCCUUGGGCUUCCGCAAACGCUUCGGAACCUUCCUCAAUGGAAACGCUCUACUCCGGAACGACGGAGCUCAUUUUUAUGUUGAAAAUUUUCCUAGAAAAUUAGAGUUUAGCUUGUAGGCUUUUAAAAUAAUUUCUAACAAUUCCAAUUAAACAACAGUUUAUACAUUUAGGAUUUUUAGGGCGUGACACUCCUCAAUCACCUUUGGCAUGGCCAUGCACUCUAUAAUCUAUAACAUUGAGGGGCCCAGAGAUAUCUCUCCAUAGGAGGGGCAAAUCACACUAUGAUUAUUCAUAUCCCACUACAUGUUUCAUAGCAUACCCGAAAACUACUUUUAUAACUACCCAAUUAUGGGGUAGCGUUUAGCAGUCCCUAAGUAAGCUACUACAUAUGUUGGGAACCAUGAUAAUCUCAUGUCUAAGAAUUCAACACCAACACUAAAUGAAAUCACUGAUGACACAACACAUAUGGCUCUUGCAGUGUCUCGAGUUGGGUCUAUCCAACAACAAGUUCCCCAACGUGUGUCCACUGAUGAGAACAUAACUAGCUCGGUGUUGAUGUAAAAAAACGAGGCCUGGAAGAUCUGCUUAACUUCAGUGUAGGUCCAAAAAUCUUGCCUUUAGGUUAAUGAGCAUGCCAGUUGAUUUGAUCCUGCAAUCAACAAGAAAUAAAGACAAAGAAACCGCGGUUAAAUCCAUAAACGAUAGCCGAUCGGCUAAUUGCCGAUGACAUAUCAUUCAUCUUUGAGCCGAUGUCAUAUAUAGAUCGAUCGGCAAUCAUGAACAAGUAAGAAAAAAUUAAAUCUACUCGAUCGGCUAUAGAUAUUAACAAUAUAUAAUCCUUGUGUCGAUAUAUACUUAAAUCAAGUGAUUGGGACAGAUCGGUCGCCAUGCCGAGACAGUAUAAAUCACUUAGAUCGAAAUAUAUAUUAACAACAAGACUAUAUACGUUCAUAGCAUAGCCGAUCAGAUAGAUCUAGCAUGUAUCGGCUAAUACUCCAAUACCACUCUAUAUUGAGAUAUCAAAGCAAGUAAAAUAUAUCAAACGAAAGCCUAAUAUACUUAAAUGCAACAAGAUCUUAACAAAAAGGGCAAUUUAACAUGUCAAUCAAGCAUAUAAGAUAAAUGUAGUUAAAUUAGGUAAGAUCGACUGAAACCCCGAUGCUACACUAAUCGGCAACCAAAAGCAGGCUAGAGAUUGAGAUUCUAAUCAUGACUUACAAGGUCAAACUCAACUGAUGCAGCUAUAAGUAUGAAAAGAAGGAAAAUAUCUAGACAAUCAAGCCAUUGGAUGUUUCAUAGAGUGGUGGAUAUCCUAUAUAAUCCUAGUCAACGUUGGUAUUUAACCUAAUCGGCUGCCUUUUAGUAACAGACAUUAGCCAAUUGGGGGUUAGAUAACGAUAUUGCCGGAGAUUAUAUAGGAUAUAUGAUAACUCAACGAAUUACAUGAACAAGAUUAGAGUAUCAUAAAGAUGGAAGCCCUAAUUCCGAGAACGCAAGCCACCAUAACAAGUUUUACCUCUAGUUGAAGAUCGAAACCGAUGCAGCUCAACCCGAAAGCAAGAACUCGUCGAAACAAAAUGAAAGUAAAAGGGUGGCGGUGCGCUGAGAUUGUAUUGAACGUGUGUUAUCAUAUUACAUGGGGCUCGGGGUCUAUUUAUACCCAAGAUUUACAAAAUAUGCCCGUGUCGGACACGACUUUUAUCUCUAACAAACUAAGAUACCAUAAGUCUUUGCGGCAGACUUUUGCCCAAACAUAUCUCUAAGGAAAUUACAUAAAAUAUCCUAAUUAAUAGAUACAAUUGCCUUCUCAGGACUUAGUCCAUGCGUGGCAAUCCUCAUGAAGCACAUUAACUUAACCCGACAACAUGUACCUCACCAUAUUAUCGGACUCGGCUUAAUCAGCUAACCUUAUCCAAUUCGGACUCUGCCGAUCCCGGUCACAGCCGAUUCGGACUUUAGCCGAUUCUUGCUCUGUUUGCGGAACGAUCUCCAUCUUGGAUUCCGCUUCGACUUUAUCUCCAUCUCCGAUACUGAAAUUACCAAAUUUGGUUGUUAACACUCGGAUAUAACCAUGACUACCUUAGGUAUUAAUCAACCAAAUGUGCAUAUGUUCUAUAUUAGAUUUGCUUGUUAUAUACUUGAACAAACAUUUUCGUUUACAGAUGUACUUGCUUGGACGAAGGAAAAGAGGCCGAGCAUAACGAAUGCAUGGAUGAUCAAAGAAGUUGAUUCGGGACCUCACCUCCCACAUCAUCCACAUUAUCAAUUUGGUAUCUCUAUACCAUGAUCCAUGAGACAUGAUCAUCAACUAAUACAUGUGCUGAUCAUUUAAACAUAUUUGUUCCACAUAUGAUAUAUGAUCAGGGAUCCUUUAGAAAUAGUAACAUUCAACAUCAAGAGUCUCAUGAAAGAAUCAAACAUUUAUUAACCAAUAAUGAGUUAUCUAUUUCAAGGAACAAUGUCGGAUAAAUAUGUAAACAUAGUAUGUGAUACAGUCAUCUCUAUGAUUGCCUCUAGGGCAUAUCACCAACACUCAGCAAGUCAUGAGAAACGUGAGCAUGAAGACUUCGAAGGGAGGCUGGGUUUACUUCGCAACCAUUUCUUUUUAAAAGAACAUUUUGCGAACCACUAAGUGCCCUCAAUCAUGGGGUCAGAAAGAAGUUUUUGCUUAGAUACUGUUGGCAAAUUGCUUUACAACAACUCAAACGGACGAAGCAAAUUUUAGUUGGUUAACAUUAUUCUGCCAUCAAGCAGCUUCUAACUCCGUUCUCAACUAUCAGUUUCUUUUCACUUUCAAACCAUCGGGUAGCCCAUCUCAUCACUCAUCUCUUUGGCUCCAAGAGUUGUCCAUAAUCUCUAGCACACACUGCUUCCACUAGGGAAGCCUAAUCUAUAAUGCCAAUCGACACCCCGAUCUACACAAGAUCAUUUUCAGACCACGUAAUGGUCCUCUAUUACUCAUCAUGACUGAUUCUAGUAAUGGUUCCCAAUCCCACAAACACUUUUCACAAAGUAUAGGCAAACAAAUCUAUGCAAAGAGGAAUCACCUCACAUUUGCCCAUGACCAUGGUCACGGCCGUUCGAAUAGUUUGAUAAUCCUCUGCAGAGGGUGCAUGCUUUACCCACGAGACGUGAUCUUACUCCCUCACUAGCCAAGCGGGGAAGGUUCGUGACAAGGUCUUUCUGAAGCCAACCAGGGAUACCUCAUGCAACAUAGAAGGGUUCUCUCUGAACUUGAGAAUCAGGCAAAUCUCAGCCUUCAUCUACCUAGGCAUUGGGGAUGUCUCCAAUCAGUCGUGCUUUAGAUUCCUGUGAGCUACCAGGUGAUACUUGCGAGGUAUUAGGCGAUACACUUGAUAUCAGUUUUUGAUAAUGAUGUGUAUCGGAUGAUUACUAUGAGAUAUUAGGUAUACUUGCGAGGUACCAAGCAAUACUUGUAGAAAGAGCAUCUAUGCCCCUAGUGGGUUUUGGUUAAUUGAUGACAAACGAUUAAGGGAUUAAUGCACUUAUUGAAUGUAUAAGCAAGGGAUUUGUCCGAUGAAGAACCAAUGAAGAUGAUGAAGAAAAAUAUGCAAUACAACGAGGUUUCAUUGUCAUCCAAUUCUACAAGUGACGGAAAAUGGCAAGAGGUGGUGAAGGGUUGGCAAGACUUGCUACGCGAUGGACCAUGCAUGGGAGAAGAUCAAGCAAAUGUUUGGCGCAAAGGAACCGACGCAGUGGUGAAGGAGAAAAUGCCUUGCCAAACACCAAUGGACCGAUCGAGGCCAUAGGAAGUCAUAAGUUGCUAAGUAUCAACCAUAUUAGUAUCGAUAAAAGCAAAGAAAGAAGAUGGUGUGAAGGUGUUCAUAUUGGUACAACUUUUCUAUCUGCUUUUGAGUUUGGUGCUCAAAAAUCCUUUCGAAGUGUUUCUCAUUAUUGGAUUUUACAUUUUGGUGAUUUUCGGAAUUUCCGAAAGAUCUUUUCGGAAUUUUCAAAAUUGAUAAGGCCAGCAAAUUGCCCUCUGGUAUUUUUCAGAAUUUCCAAAAGUUGAUUUUGCUCUCUGGUGUUUUUAGGAUUUUUCCGAAAAUGGUUUUCGGAAUUUCCGAAAGUUGAUUUUGUUCUCUUGUGAUUUUUGGAUUUUUCUAAAAUAUUUUUGGUAUUUCCAAAAUGCUUUUUUCUCUGCUGAAUUAUGCACUUUUUGGAAUUUACAAAAAUUGCUGCUGAAAUGCAAUUGCCUUCUUGUGAUUUUCAGAAUUUUGGAAAAAUUUAAUCUUUGCCAUCAACGGGCAUAUCUGAGGCUGUGGCUAUAAAUAACCCCCUCCACCCACAAGCUAGGGCUGCUGGCUCUAUUUCUUAUUCUUUGCCCUGGGCUUGUGUUGAUUUGAGAUUCAGUUUGAGCCUUUGCCUUCUCACUUCUUCCUCUCCACCGAUCUUCAAUCUCAGAUUUCGUGUGUGUGCGUGAGUGGUUGAUUUGAGUUUGUUUGAGUGCUUGGUGUUGACUUCGUGAAGAUUUGUUGAGCACUCGAUUCAUCGCCAAGAAAUCUCUGUGGCAUUUGUUACUCUUGGUGGUUGAGGACACCUAGAUGGUUAGGAGUAAACCUCGAGAUACCGAUUUGUUUGUGGUGUGCCGAGGGAGUAUGUGAAGGUCGGAUCUUACCUCCGAAAGGGAAGAGCGAGGAUAGAGUUGGAAAAGACCCGGCCCAUUAUGGGCUCCUCAACAAAGUGUAGAAUCCCCCCAAGGAUUUGAUCUUUGGUAACACAUCAACUUGCAAGAAUCCUGAUGAUAUCUUUUUCUUACUCCUCUAGCUUUGCUAUUUGGUGCCGCUAGUAGUUUAGUCGUUGUUUGUGCAAACCCAUUAACUACCUGUUACACCAUCCCUUUUUGUUUGCCUUUCUAGCUUGCUAAAAAAUCUGAGAUUUUUGGAAUAUCCCAAAAUAUUUCAGAAUAUCGGAAAAUAUUCCAAAAUAUCCGAAAAUAUUCCAAAAUAUCCAAAAAGUUUAUCUUCUUCAUUGACUUACGAGUUUUAAACGCCUCUUCAACCUCCCCCCCCCCCCUCCGCAGGUGAUAUCAAGAUCCUUUCACUUGUGAUACCACGUUCUGAUACCUAUGGUUCUCAGAUGAUUCCUAUGGGGCAUCAUGUAAUACUUGUGAGGUAUUGCAACACUUGUGAUAUUAGGUUCUAACACCUACGUUGAAGCAUCGAGGCCCCCGGUGUUAAUUUUGGUAAUUAAUGACAAGCGCUAAUUGUGGACUAACCGUUGUCUUUGAGAUAAUAUUUUAAGUUAGGUCCACGUCAUGUGUGCACAUGGAUGACGAUCGAUGGAUUAAAAUUGACGGCGCAAGGCAAAGAGAAAGAAGACGGUAAAACUAGUGCUUUAAUUUAGAAUUGAUCAGGGUGUAGGGCGAUCAAAUUUGCUAGUUUAUUUCUAGUUUCGCCGUACUAUUAAGAGGGGUAAUGACCUAGCAAAGAGAUGAUUUUAAUUGCCACAUUAGGUCAUUGCAUUAUCACUUGUGCUCACUUUUUCAUCACACACAAACACAUUCACUGGGUUCGGCCUGACCAGGGGCGGUCAGACCGGCCACAUAGUGGCGGUCUCACCGGCGUGCCCUGCCCGGUGACCUCUCCGAGAAGAUUGUGGAGGAGGCCCGGUGCCGGUUUGUGAGUGGUUUGGAGUUCACCACCUUCGGAGUGAAGAAAGAACUAACCUAGUGAUCGAGGCUUGGGUAGUCCUCUCCAUGGGCCGGCUCCCGCCAUGCCCACCCCUUGACGAAGGGGGCGUGCGGAGGCUACGUGGUUGAGCGGUGGAGUUGGGCUCGCCUCAGCGGGGAGUAAGAAACCGACGAGUUUCCGAACCUCGGUGAAAAAUCUCUUGUCUCCUUGUCUCAUUUGAUUGUCGCAUUUACUUUUGUGCAAUUUACUUUUCUAGAGACAAACUUGAGAUCAUAUCACCCUAGGAUUGCUAAACAUUGACAUAGGAGUGUGAGUUACUUUCCUAGAGAUAUAAUUGAGCCUCUAUCACCCUAGGUUUGCAAAACCUAACUUAGUUGCAUAGUUAGAGUUGACCCUCACCAAGCCUAGCAACUUAGGUUAGUUUUGAUUAGGUGUCAUUUAGUUUUAAAUCGCCUAUUCACCCCCCUCUAGUCGACAUCUCGAUCUUACAAGUGGUAUCAGAGCUUGGUCUCUCCUGAUUGGGCUUCACCGCCUAGAGAGAAGAUGUCGAACGAGGUGAAACACGAAGGGAAGGCUCCCAUGUUUAAUGGCACAAACUAUUCCACUUGGAAAAUUAAAAUGUCUACUCACCUCAAAGCUAUGAGCUUCCAUAUUUGGAGUAUUGUGGAUGUAGGCUUUGCAAUCACCGGCACGCCCUUGAUGGAGAUUGAUCACCGCAACCUCCAACUCAAUGCCCAAGCCAUGAAUGCUUUGUUCAACUCUUUGAGCCAAGAGGAGUUUGAUAGAGUGAGCAACCUUGAGACCGCAUAUGAGAUUUGGAACAAGUUGGCGGAGAUCCAUGAGGGCACAAGUGAGUACAAGGAUGCCAAGCUUCACUUCCUCAAGAUCCAAUAUGAGACAUUCUCUAUGUUGCCUCAUGAGAGUGUGAAUGACAUGUAUGGGAGGCUCAAUGUCAUUGUGAAUGAUCUCAAGGGGCUUGGGGCAAACUACACCGAUCUUGAGGUUGCCCAAAAGAUGCUUAGGGCUCUACCAGAGAAGUAUGAGACCCUUGUCACCAUGCUCAUCAACUCCGACAUGUCAAGGAUGACACCGGCAAGCCUCUUGGGGAAGAUCAACACCAAUGACAUGUAUAAGUUGAAGAAAAAGGAAAUGGAGGAAGCCUCACCUUCCAAGAAGUGCAUUACUCUCUAAGCCGAAGUUGAAGACAAGGGCAAGGGCAAGGUGAAUGAAGUCAAUGAGAACUUGGAAGAAGAGAAUGCCCUUCUUGCUAGAAGGUUCAAUGAUUUCUUGGGAAGGAGAAAGGAGAGAGGAAAGGGCUCCAACUCAAAUAGGAGAAGAAAUAGAAGACCCAACAAGACUCUCUCCAACUUGAGGUGCUUUGAGUGUGGUGAGAAGGGACACUUUGCUUCCAAGUGCCCUUCCAAGGAUGAUGAUGGAGACAAGUCAUCCAAGAAGAAGAGUGGAGGCUACAAGCUCAUGAAGAAGCUCAAGAAGGAAGGCAAGAAGAUUGAGGCCUUCAUCGAGGAAUGGGACUCAAAUGAGGAGAGCUCGCCUCAUCCGGGUCCGAGGAAGAAGAUGGUGAUGAUGCAAGCUCCAGGAAGAAGAAGAUGGCCGUUGUUGCCAUCAAGGAGGCUCCAUCACUCUUCGCUCCACUUUGUCUCAUGGCAAAAGGCUCCUCUAAGGUAACAUCUCUUAGUGAUAGUGAGAGUGAUGAUGAUUGUGAUGAUGUUUCCUAUGAUGAGCUUGUGAGUAUGUUUGAGGAGCUCCAUGCUUAUAGUGAGAAGGAGAUUGUCAAGUUCAAGGCCCUAAAGAAGGAUCAUGCUUCUUUGGAGGUCUUGUAUGAGGAGCUAAAGACUUCUCAUGAGAGACUCACCAUUUCUCAUGAGAAGCUUAAGGAAGCUCAUGACAACCUCCUUUCCACUACUCAACAUGGAGCUCUAAUUGAUGUUGGCAUAUCUUGUGAUUUGCUUGAUGAUAGUGCUACUUUCCAUAUUGCUUAUGUUGCAUCAUCUAGCAUUUCUACCUCUUGUGAUGAUCUUGUGGAUAUGUCUAGCUCUAGCUCUAGCUCUUGUGUAUCUAUUUGUGAUGCCUCACUUGUUGUUGAGAACAAUGAGCUUAAGGAGCAAGUGGCUAAGCUCAACAAGAGGUUGGAGAGGUGCUUCAAGGGUAAGAACACUCUUGACAAGAUUUUGAGUGAGCAACGGUGCAUCCUUAACAAGGAGGGACUUGGAUUCAUUCCAAAGAAGGGUAAGAAACCUUCUCACCGUGCCACUCGUUUUGUCAAGAGCAAUGGUAAGUAUUGCCCCUAGUGUCGUGAGGUUGGGCAUUUGGUGAAUGAUUGCCCCGGUGGUAAGCCUCCUAAGACAUGCAUGUUUGAUUCUCAUUAUAUGCUUAGGAAGGCUCAUGAUGGUAGCAUUGUUCCUAGAUAUGUGGGUUCCCCUAUACUCGGUGGUAAAAAGAAUGACAUUUGGGUGCCCAAAGCUUUGGUCUCUAACCUCCAAGGACCCAAAUAAGUUUGGGUACCUAAAAGAGCUUGAUCUUCUUUUGUAGGUGAACUACCACACCGGUGGGAGCCAUUGGGUGCUUGAUAGUGGAUGCACUCAACACAUGACCGGUGAUAGGGCUAUGUUCACCACAUUUGAGGUAGGAAGGAAUGAACAAGAGAAAGUGACAUUUGGAGACAAUAGCAAAGGAAAGGUAAUUGGGUUAGGUAAAAUUGCUAUCUCCAAUGAUUUGUCAAUUGAUAAUGUCUCUCUUGUUAAAUCUCUAAAUUUCAAUUUGCUUUCGGUUGCUCAAAUUUGUGAUCUUAGCUUGUCAUGUGCUUUCUUCCCGCAAGAAGUUAUUGUUUCUAGCCUUCUUGACAAGUCUUGUGUGUUCAAAGGUUUUAGAUAUGGAAAUCUUUAUUUGGUUGAUUUCAAUUCUAGUGAAGCAAAUUUGAAAACUUGUUUAGUUGCAAAAACUUCUUUGGGUUGGCUUUGGCAUAGAAGGCUAGCCCAUGUUGGCAUGAAUCAAUUGAGCAAAUUUUCAAAACGUGAUCUAGUUAUGGGCUUGAAAGAUGUGAAGUUUGAGAAAGAUAAGCUUUGUAGUGCUUGUCAAGCCGGCAAGCAAGUUGCAUGUUCUCAUCCUACUAAGAGUAUCAUGUCCACAUCUAAACCAUUGGAGCUCUUGCAUAUGGAUUUGUUUGACCCAACAACCUAUAAGAGCAUUGGUGGUAAUAGUCAUUGUCUUGUGAUUGUUGAUGAUUAUUCUCGCUAUACUUGGGUGUUCUUUUUGCAUGAUAAGUCUAUUGUCGCCGACCUUUUCAAAAAGUUUGCAAAAAGGGCCCAAAAUGAAUUUAGUUGCACUCUUGUGAAAAUUAGAAGUAACAUUGGUUCCGAGUUUAAGAAUACCAAUAUCGAGGACUAUUGUGAUGAUCUUGGUAUUAAACAUGAACUUUUCGCUACCUACUCACCUCAACAAAAUGGUGUAGUGGAGAGGAAAAAUCGUACAUUGAUUGAGAUGGCAAGGACUAUGCUUGAUGAAUAUGGUGUUUCCGAUUCCUUUUGGGCGGAAGCCAUAAACACCGCUUGCCAUGCAACCAAUAGGCUUUAUUUGCAUCGUGUCUUGAAAAAGACUUCCUAUGAGGUAAUUGUUGGGAGGAAGCCUAAUAUUGCCUAUUUUCGAGUUUUUGGUUGUAAAUGUUAUAUUCAUCGAAAGGGUGUUAGACUAACCAAAUUUGAAAGUCGGUGUGAUGAAGGGUUUCUUCUAGGUUAUGCCUCAAAAAGCAAGGCAUACCGGGUCUACAACAAGAACAAAGGUAUUGUGGAAGAAACCGCCGAUGUUCAAUUUGAUGAGACUAAUGGCUCCCAAGAGGGGCACGAGAAUUUGGAUGAUGUAGGUGAUGAAGGCUUGAUGAGAGUUAUGAAGAACAUGUCAAUUGGAGAUGUCAAGCCUAUUGAAGUGGAAGACAAGCCAUCCACCUCCACUCAAGAUGAGCCAUCUACUUCCGCUAUGCCAAGUCAAGCUCAAGUUGAAGUGGAGGAGGAGAAGGCACAAGAACCACCUAUGCCACCAAGGAUACACACCGCUCUUUCCAAGGAUCACCCAAUUGACCAAGUGUUGGGUGACAUUAGUAAGGGUGUUCAAACUCGAUCUCGUGUCACUUCGAUUUGUGAACAUUACUCGUUUGUUUCUUGUCUUGAGCGAAAACAUGUAGAUGAAGCUCUUUGUGAUCCGGAUUGGAUGAAUGCUAUGCAUGAAGAGCUCAAAAACUUUGCAAGAAACAAGGUGUGGACUUUGGUUGAAAGACCUAGAGACCACAAUGUCAUAGGGACAAAGUGGGUCUUUAGGAACAAACAAGAUGAGAACGGGUUGGUGGUGAGAAACAAGGCAAGAUUGGUGGCACAAGGUUUCACACAAGUUGAAGGUUUGGACUUUGGUGAAACUUUUGCCCCCGUGGCAAGACUUGAGGCUAUUUGCAUCCUUCUUGCAUUUGCAUCAUGCUUUGAUAUAAAACUAUUUCAAAUGGAUGUGAAAAGUGCUUUUCUAAAUGGUGAAAUUGCCGAACUUGUCUUUGUUGAAUAACCUCCCGGUUUUGAAGAUACUAAAUAUCCUAACCAUGUUUACAAACUCUCAAAAGCUCUUUAUGGUUUAAGACAAGCUCCUAGGGCUUGGUAUGAAAGAUUGAGAGAUUUUCUUUUGUCAAAGGAUUUCAAAAUUGGAAAAGUUGACAUCACUCUUUUCACAAAAAUCAUUGGUGAUGAUUUCUUUGUGUAUCAAAUUUAUGUUGAUGACAUCAUAUUCGGUUCUACUAAUGAGGUAUUUUGCAAGGAAUUUGGUGAUAUGAUGUCUAGGGAAUUUGAAAUGUCCAUGAUUGGAGAGUUGAGCUUCUUCCUUGGACUUCAAAUCAAGCAACUCAAGAAUGGGACGUUCGUGAGCCAAACCAAGUACAUCAAGGAUCUACUCAAGAGGUUUGGCUUGGAGGAUGCGAAGCCCAUUAAGACACCUAUGGCAACCAACGGGCAUCUCGACCUUGAUGAGGGAGGUAAACCGGUAGAUUUAAAGCUUUAUCGUUCUAUGAUUGGUAGCUUGCUUUACCUUACCGUAUCUAGGCCGGAUAUCAUGUUUAGUGUUUGCAUGUGUGCACGGUUUCAAGCCGCUCCUAAGGAGUGUCACUUAGUGGCCGUGAAAAGGAUUCUAAGAUAUUUAAAGCAUUCCUCUACUAUUGGCUUGUGGUACCCAAAAGGUGCUAAAUUUAAGCUUGUUGGCUAUUCCGAUCCGGAUUAUGCCGGUUGCAAAGUGGAUAGAAAGAGCACAUCCAGUAGUUGCCAAAUGCUUGGUAGAUCCCUUGUGUCAUGGUCAUCCAAGAAACAAAACUCCGUAGCCCUCUCUACUGCCGAGACAGAAUAUGUUUCGGCGGGUAGUUGUUGUGCCCAAUUGCUUUGGAUGAAACAAACAUUGUUGGACUAUGGCAUAUCCUUCACCAAAACCCCACUCCUAUGUGACAAUGAUGGUGCCAUAAAGAUAGCCAAUAACCCGGUCCAACAUUCUAGAACCAAGCAUAUUGACAUACGCCAUCACUUCCUAAGAGACCAUGUUGCCAAGUGUGACAUAGUCAUUAGCCACAUAAGAACCGAGGAUCAACUAGCCGACAUCUUUACCAAGCCUCUUGAUGAAACCCGCUUUUGCAAGUUGAGGAAUGAGUUAAAUAUCAUAGACUUCUCUAAUGUGGCUUGAGAUGGUGCACCAUGGUUGCUUCUUUUCCAUAUUGUUUAUUUGCUCCUUUUUUGCUCUUAUGCUUUAGAUUUAUUGCCAUUUGGUUCUUCAUUGCGAAAAUGGAGCAUGUCACAUUAAGGGGGAGGUUUGCACUCUUGCAUGUGCUCCACUUCCUUUUAUAUGUGAGCAAAUCAACUAAAAGUGCUAGUAGUGUUUUCAAAAUGCCCAAGUCAACAUAAGUCAAAAUUUUUGCAAAAUUAAUGUAAUUUGAAAACUAUCUCUUGGAAAAUGUUUCAAAAGGUUCCCUAUAUGUUUUCCAACCUUCACUUUGCAAGAAAAAUGUUUUUUUAAUGAAAAUGCCAUUUUGGCCCUCUUUUGAAGAAACUAGAAUCUUGUUUUUGGCCAAAAUGAAAUUCAACCCCAAAAUGAGAUUGAGAAGGAAUUUGAGAAAAGUUUCAAAACAAAGUUGGUAGAGAAGAAGAUUUGAAAUGUUUUUGGUAUUCAAAUCAUAUUCAAAAUCCAAAUAUUUUAAAAGUUGUUUGAAAAUCAAAUUCGCCCAAAAACCCCUAUAGACCAUAAAUGGUCACCUCCUAGCACUCAAGUGAGUUUUGUUGCAAAUCUUCAUAAAUUUCAAAUAUUAUGAAUGGUUGGCAAUAUUUCAACUCACACAUUUCAAAAUUGCUCCAAAAUUCAAAUUUUUAUUGAAUUUUAUUGUGUGGGGGUAGCCGAACUAUGCAAGGGCAGUGCACAGUCGGCUGGGGGCCAGGCGGUCUGACCAGCGCUAUAUGCGCGGUCUGACCGGCCUGGUGGCGGCGGUCUGACCGGCCUCUAGGGCCCGGUCUGACCGGCUGCACCCUGGCGGUCUGACUGGCCAGGGAUGGAGGGCCCAGGACUUUGUCCUUUCUUCCUCCUCCUCCUUCUACCCGACCCGUCCUCAUCCCAUCUCAUCUCUUCACUUCUCCAACUCGAAAUUUCUUCUGCUCUCUCCUCUCCCAAACCCUAGCCACCUCCCUCCACCAAAUCCGUCCGGUUCAACCGUCAAAAUCACUCCGGUUACUCCGUAAGUGAAUCCCCUCCUCUUCCUCUCUCUAUUCCAUGGAUUGAUUUGAGUUUUUAUUGAGUUUGUGAUCCAUGGCAUGGAACCCUAGGUGAAGGAAGAGGUGUUCAUCGAUUUGCACCAAUAGAGGGUAGUUUCUUGGUGUGAUUCAACUCCUUCAACCGGUAAAUCCCUCUCCCUCUUGUGCAUUGCUCUCAAAUCGGUCUAUUUCAAUCUUUAGGGUUAAGGGUAGUUUCCCCAUUGCUUCAAUCUUGAUGAAAUAGACCUACACAAUGUCACGUCCCAAAACGACUCUAAAAUACAUCCUCUAAAUUAUGCCUAGAAUAAUUAAAAACCGUGUGAAAGCCUCCAACAAUUAAAAUGUGCAAAGUUAAAAGUCAAUUAAGGCUUAGAGGAUUUUUGUAUAUUUCCUAAAAGCCUAAAAUGUGUAAAUAAAUUUUAGUGGAAUUUUCAGAGCAUAAAUAAUAAUUAUUAAGAAAUAAACAAAGUUAAAAUGAUUUUAUAAAAAGAAAAACCCUAAAAUCUCCCCUCCCCCUCUCUCUCUCUCCCCUCCCCGCGGCCCAUCCGGCCUCUCCCCGCGCGCGCGCCGCUGACGAGCGUGCCCGCUCGCCACCCUCGCUGACGGGUGGGGCCCACCCGUCAUCCCCGACCUCCCGCUGCUCCCGCCGCCUCGCCCGUGCCCUAGCGCCGCCGCCGCCACGAAUCCCGCCGCCUCCCGUCGUCCCCGCGUGCAAUAAAGUGGGGGCAAUCACUCCCCGUGAUCCCCUCUCCCUUUCCCCCCAUUUUUCCCUCCCUCUCUCCCUUGGAUUCGUUUGGAAACCCCUCCCCAAAUCCCGCCGGCGCCAUUGAUGGAGCCCGAGAACGCCACGCCGGUUUCCUUCCUUCUCCGGCCGCCCUCUCUCGCCCCGGCCCUAUUUAAACUCUCCCCGCGCCUCCCCCGCCCGUUUCCGCCCCUUGCCGCACCGUCUCUCCGCCGGAAUCGAGCUCGCGCCGUCGCCCUCUCUCUCCUCCGUCGCCGACGACCACCGGCCGGCCUUCUCCGCUCGCCGGGACCGUCUCCCGCCCCGGCGUCGCCUCCUCCGGCUUCGCCGCACCGCCAUCGACCCCGUCCACCCCCUCGCCGGGUCCGCCGACCGCCGGAACGCCGUCGACCCCGUCGACCCGAGCCGCGCCGCCGCCUUCCUCCGCUCUGGCUGCCUUUUUCGUCGUUGCCGUCGACCUAGGGUGAGCCGUGGACCGCCGCCUCUUUUCCCCCUUCCCUUCCCCUCUCUCGGCCGCCGCUCCGCCGUGCCUAUGGCCGUCGCCGGCGACCAUAGGGGCGCGGGCGCCGCCUCCCGCCGGCCGCGCCGAGUGGCCGCCGUCGGGCGCGCCGAGUGGCUGCCGCGUGGGGUCCAGCCGUCAGCCGCCCGCGCCCUCGGGUGUGGCUGACACGUGGGGCCCACGGCGCCGGCCGGUGCGAGCCCGGGUGCGCCCGGUCCACCGUGGACCAUGAGGCUGCCGCGUGGGCCCUACUCCCGUGGACCCGGUCCGCGCGCCCCUCCCCCUCGGCUGACGCAAUAAACCCUUUUUAAAUUAAAAUUUAAAUGAAGAAAUUCGCAAAUAUUCAUUUAAAGAGCAUAUAAACUUCAAAUGGCCAUAACUUGGCCAUUUGAACUCGGAAUUGGACCGUUCAAGUCUCUAAUUUUUCCUUAAGAAGUCAAGAACCCAUUUUUGUGCUUUGUUCCUGCUUGUUAUAUGGAGUUUAUUAGAGUAAAAGCCUUUUCUUUUCUGUUGGUCGUGUAGACGCUGCAGCUUCGGAAGAUCCGCUCUUGGUGGAGGUUGAAGCCGACGUUUGGGAAAGCGAGCAAGGCAAGUUACAUCAUCCUUGAACAUAUUGAAACCCAGUUUAUAAAAUUAUUUUCAUUUAAAUUAUUGCAUUAUCGCUUUACUUAAAUUCCCGCGUUAUCACUGUUUUAUCUAGCCAUGCCUAUGUACCUUUGUUAUGACCUUAUUAUUAUUGUUAUUGAUAUUAUUACCUUGUUCACCCUAGAUUAAACAGAACCCCAACUAGUGGACACUCUACUCAUGGUACCACUAGUAUGAUUUUAGGUAAAUGCUUCGCUGGUUAAUUAGGCAACAUUAGGUGGUUUUACAACUCUAGACUUUGGGAAUAUUCUCAUCACCUGGACACUACGGAAUGGAUGGAUUAUUUUGGAAUUGGAUUCACACCUCCCCCUCUAUUCAAAACCCUCAAAAUGGUUUUUGGCUGGGCUCGGGGUGCAUGGUUUUGAUAGUAGCACCUCGGCCAUAUAAGGACCGGUCUUCGGGCCUCUGUUGCAAAACACUACCGUACUUCCACAUGUCUAGUGGGUAAGGCUUAGAUUGUGGCUCAGUCUGGUUAUAAACAAAAGUACACGGAUGGAGAUGGACGAAGUCGGGGGUCGAUGGACAUCUCUAGGGCAAAUGAAUGCUACACGAGCUGCGGCCCAGUAGUCGAGAUGUCAUGGCACAGGACCGGUGUCCUGCUGUUAGGGGCUCAGUCCUGCCUACCUGUCCCGGGGGUUCCGGGCGUAGGUGGGGUUGGGUCGGUACUCUUUUCUAUGGCUAGGAUGGGUUGGAAACUAUGUCACGUCUUCCGUCCGUAUACCGUGGUGGUAUGUGGCACGUGGUUACACGUGAGGAAGAUGUGUCUUGUGGGUAAAGAUGUACACCUCUGAUCAGAGUAUAACCUAUUCGAAUAGCCGCGCCCUCGGUUAUGGGCAAGCCGAGCAAUGUACCCAAGUUAGUGUUUUUAAUUCUUAAAACCUGCUUAACAACUAAAAUGUGGAAUGGUUGGCCUGGGUUGGCUUGGGACGAGCUGGGACCCAGGGUCGGGUUGCCAGUUCGGUCUGAAUCAUCGUAGGCCUUGGGUUAAGGCAGGUUCGUGUGGGUUCACGGCCUUGAUUAAUAAUAUUGUAUAGCUCUAGGACCAUGUUUACAAAAUAGCUUUGAGCAACUAAGUGUCUUUUAAUGCUAUUUACUGCAAACCCUAACCCCUAAUUUAUGGCUCCCUUGUACUCCCUUGCAUUUAUUCUGCACUUGUGGGUGUGUCUUGUUGAGUACGGUGGUUGUACUCAGUCUUGCUCAAUUUUUCCCAAACCCAGAAGAGGAGUUCCUGGAAGAUGAAGGCUUUGGUGUCUAGCUCGUGCCUGCCGUCAAGCGUCUGUGGUCGUCACCCUAGUCUUCCGCUGUUUUUCGUUUGUCUUCUUGUGUGCUGGGUCUUCGCCGCCCAUGUAAUAAUUAAUUAAUUGCGCUUCCGCUUGUUAAACUCUGAAUUGUAUCAACUUUUGGUGUACCUUGCCUCCUGGGACAAGGAAUAAUGCACGCACGUAAGGAACGCCCGUUGGGUUAUUUCCGGUCGUGACACACACCUUGAUGUUCUAGUUCCAAUCGUGUGCAACACUGUCCUAGCAAUUUUUAGAAUCAUUUAUGUGGAUUGUGGAAGGAUUUGGGUGUGCUCUUGUCAGUGGUGGUCUGACCAAAGGCGGUCUAACCAGCCAUUGGCCGUCGGUCUGACCGGCCGAGGGCACGCGGUCUGAUCGGCCGAGGGCCGGCGGUCUGACCGGCCGUGGCUCUCAGUCUGACCGCCCCUGAUAGGCAGCACUCGCCCUUCCUCCCACUUCACUAUGUGGUUUCUAAAAUUGUUGCUUAUCCAUCCUUUGCUCCUUGUUUUUCAGCUAUGCCUCCCCGCACCCGUCAUGGUCGUCGUGCGCCCACUCCUGAUCCCGUGAGUGAGGAGUCAAGCGGAGAUGAGUAUGCUCAAAGUGAUGAAGAGGUUGAGGCCAAUGUUGAGGGGGCUAGCGAGGGGGAAAGUGGAGAUGAUGACAGUGGAAGUGGAGAGGAUGAGGAUGAAGGAAGUGAUGAGAUGAAUAUUGAUCCCUCCAUCCAGUUUGUUGUAAACAUGAGGAAUCCAUCCCAAUAUACCAUCUUGAGGCACCACGAUCAGUUUUUGAGGCCUCGGGACACCCCGGAUCCCCGUUUUCAUACUGCUUUCCAGAAGAGUGUGUAUGAGCAAGUCUAUGCUGGGAAAGCUUUUGCAGAACAUAAGUUGAUCUCUUGGAGAGACAUUAAUGAGACUACCGAGUUUAAGGGCUUGCAGGAUCUCUUCAGGACUGUUGGCAUUGACCGGAUUUUAACUCUUAAGCAAGAUUACAAUGAAGAUUUGAUCCGGAAGUUUUAUGCUACAGUGUGGGUGGCCGGGGACUAUAGUGAGAUGAAGUGGAUGUCCGACACCCUUCAGUGCUCUAUCUCCAGGAGGCAAUUCCGGCGGCUCCUAAAUGUUCGCUUGGACUUUGGAGAUGACUUGCAUGAGGAGCACACCCAUAAUCCGCUCUCCAUCGACUACCUCUCUCAGUUUUAUGAAGUUGGAGCGCGGUACACACAUGGGAAGGUUGCCGGGUUGAGGACCAUCCCAAGUGUGGUCAACAGGAUUGUGAGAGCUAGCAUCCUCCCUCGCCUGGGUAACAAUGAUGACAUUAGGGGAGUGGCUUGGCACGUUAUCGAUGCCAUCAUUCAGGGCCGUCAGUUCGAUGUUGUUACUCUCAUGAUGCAAGAGAUUGCCAUCUCUAAGGGGACCUUCACUCAGGGUAUCUAUUAUGCCCCUUACAUCAUGAGAUUAAUUCAAGACAAGCUUGGGGCUGCUGGGCCAAAUUUGAAGAAGCACAAGUAGUACAAGCCCCGCCUACAGCUUGGAGCUCCCCGUGCUCCUAGGACGGCGCCCUCCUCUCAUCCUAGAGCUAGCUCAUGCUCUGCACCUCCGCCUCCUCAUGGGUAUGAUCCAAAUGCCUUCUUUCAUCCUCAGUAUGCCUAUUUUGGGAUGCAACCCAACGAGUACUUCAACCCGGUACUUGGGGCUAUUAAUACCCUAAGUGAAAGCAUUCAACGCUUGUCUACCGGGCAUGACGCUUUGCAUGAGGAUGUUCGUGGCUUGCGCACGGACGUUGGAGACUUGAAUGCUUCCGUGGGGAGAUUGCACACUCGAGUGGGUACAUUGGACUCUCGAGUCCAAAUGUUGGAGAGCUCCCAAGCAUUCGUGUAUCAUCGUCAUCGUGAUGCUUCUCAUCCUUCCACUUCGGCGCGUCCUCCUUUUUCUCCACAAGAGUGAAGACCUUUUUGGUGCUUGAUGCCAAAAGGGGGAGAAAAGUGUGUUUUUUGUUGGGUUGGGACUAGUAGUAGUGAGGAUAGUGCCCUCGUAUUUAAUAGGUUAAGGAGGAUUGAGCUAUAUUUUGUAUGGGUAUGGGCUAUUACUCUAUCUUGUGUGUUAUUUGUCGUUUUGUUAAACUCUUUAUGUCAUUUGGACCCUUCGUGGUCUUGUAAUAGCCUAUGCAUUUAUUUGUGAACCCUUUAUGUGGUCUUGAUGUGAACUUGUGCUAUGAUGGAUGGUUGGUGCUACAUUGAUAUACUUGUGACCAUCUUAUGCAUUCGGUUGAUUCAUAUGUGAAGUUCACAUAUAAUUUGCAUAUGUGUUGUGCUAUGUUGAAAUGUGAUAUUGUAAUGUGCAUUGGCUCCAUAUUUGCUAUUUGUGAUUUUUAUGCAUAUGUUUAGGGGGAGCCUUUGCUUUUCAAUGCAAUAAAUGUCCAUGUGCUCUAUGUUUGAUUAUAUAUCUAUUUGUGGAGUUUGUCAUCAAUUACCAAAAAGGGGGAGAUUGAAGCAUCUAGGCCCCCGGUGUUAAUUUUGGUAAUUAAUGACAAGCGCUAAUUGUGGACUAACCGUUGUCUUUGAAAUAAUAUUUUAAGUUAGGUCCACGUCAUGUGUGCACAUGGAUGACGAUCGAUGGAUUAAAAUUGACGGCGCAAGGCAAAGAGAAAGAAGACGGUAAAACUAGUGCUUUAAUUUAGAAUUGAUCGGGGUGUAGGGCGAUCAAAUUUGCUAGUUUAUUUCUAGUUUCGCCGUACUAUUAAGAGGGGUAAUGACCUAGCAAAGAGAUGAUUUUAAUUGCCACAUUAGGUCAUUGCAUUAUCACUUGUGCUCACUUUUUCAUCACACACACACACACAUUCACUGGGUUCGGCCUGACCAGGGCAGGUCUGACCGGCCACAAGUUGGCGGUCUGACCGGCCCAUAAUGUCGGUCUGACCGGCGGCACAUGCCCGGUCAGACCGGCCCCCUGGAGGCCGAAAUGGUGCUCCUCGGGACUGCCGAUACAGAGCCGACGGAGCCGUAGUCGGUCAGACCGAGCCGAUGGCGGUCUGACCGAGCCGACUCCGGUCUGACCGCCCAAUCAACUCCGGUCUGACCGGCCGGGCCGAUGGGGCCCUCUGACAGCGCUACAACUGCUAGUUUUCUAGCCGUUGCAGAGUAGCACAGUAUGACCGGCCACAUACCUCCGGUCAGACCGGCAGAGCACAAAGUUGGGGGAUUUCGCCCCCAACGGCUAGUUUUGGUGGGUGGGAGUAUAAAUACUCUCCCACCAGCAGCAAGGGGACUCUCUUGGCACCCAAUUCAAUUGCAUACACCCCUUGCACCUCUCUCACACUCACUUGAGCUUUGUGUUCAUCCAUCUAGUGUUAUAGGGUUGAUUAGCCAAGAGUCAAGUGCAUUUGCUUCCAUUGUAGAGCUAGUGUGGCACUUGAUCAUCUCCACGCCGGGUCAUUGCUUGUUACUCUUGGAGGAUGCCGCCUCCUAGACGGCUUGUGGAGAAGUUGCCCGGUGACCUCUCCGAGAAGAUUGUUGUCACACCCUGAAAAUUCAAAAUAUAUAAAUUGUUGUUUAAAUGAAAUUUUUAGAAUUUAUUUUAAAAGCCUAGAAGAGAAGAUCUAAUUUUAAUUAAUAAAUUCCAAUAUAAAAUGGGGCCAGAUAAAAUUUCAUUAAAUACUUUGCUUAAUUCUAUAAUUCCUAGAUUUUUCUGGGAUUUAUUUGAGCUAAGGAAGUAUUUUUAAUAAAUGGAAUUGCAUUUAAAAAAUAAUUUAAAUUGAAAAAGGUUUUGAAAAGUCUUCUUUUGGCUUUGGGCCGAAAGUCAGCCCAAAACCCUUCUCUCUCUCCUCGGCCCAAGUCGGCCCAGUCCGCAGCCGCAGCCGCCCGCGCGCGCGUCCUCGCUCGCUGACAGGUGGGGCCCGCCUGUCGGAGUCGUCGUCUUCCUCCGGCCGAAACCCUAGCGCCGCGCCGCCGCCGCCGCUUUCCAAAUCGGCCGAUCCUUUCCUUCUCCGGCCGAAUCAAAAGAGGGGAAAUGAUCUUCGGGAUUUCCUCUACCUUUUCUCCUUUGGAAACACCGGCUAAAAUCGUUUGGAAAUUCGUGGAUUCGAGUUUGUUUCGGAUUCGAUUUUCCCGAACUUUCCUUCUCGUCGCCGGCCGUCGUGGGCCUUCGCCGCUGCCUCCGAGCCCCUUUAAAAGGACCCCCGAGCUCUUCUCUACCCGCCGCCACCCUCGCCUUCGCCUCUCGUCGCCGGUAGCGCCCUAGCGUCGUGAGACCUCGAGCCGCCAUCGCCGCCGUCGCUCCAGCCGUGCGCCGCCGCCGUUCCGGUCGUCGUCAUCGCUCGGGAAGGCCACCGUCGGGAUCGCCAAGUCGUCGCCGUCCUCGUCCGCCCCUUCGCCACCGUCGGAGACCGCCGGAGCAUCGUCGCCGUCGUCGACCCGAUCUCCGCCGUCGCUUCUUCCUCGUCGCCGUCGCCGUCCGUUGGUCUUCCGCCGUCGCUUGGGUCGCCGGUGAGUUCGCCGUGCCGUCCGCUACCCGUUGGUGUCCACCGUUCUUGCCGAAGUGCCGCCGUUCACUGGCAAGCGUGCGCCGUCCGAGCCGUCCGAGCCGCCGAGCCGCCGCCGCCGGUGGUGACGUCAUCGCCGACGUCAUCGUCGCCCUCUUCCGUGAGCCGGUCGUGGACCGAUCGAUCUCGGUCGUCCGUUUUGGUCAUCGUCGCCCUCUUCCGUGAGCCGGUCGUGGACCGAUCGAUCUCGGUCGUCCGUUUUGGAUCAAGUCGAUCUCGGCCGUCCGUUCGCGUGAACUGCCGCCGUGCGCCCGGUCCACCGAAACCCUAGCCCGCUGACGCAAUAAAUCCCUUUUCCUUUUCAAAAAUAAUUCAUUAUUGCGUCAUAAUUCAAUUAAAAUCAAUAUAAGUGUUUUAAUCCGAUUUAAUCUUCAAAAAUUCAUAACUAAUUCAUCUUAGCUCCGAUUUAGUUGGUUCAAGUCUCUAAAUUUUUCUAAAAUUGAGAUCUACACAAUAAAAAUAUCCACAUGUACUGUUCAUGCUUGUUUAUGUGCUGUUUUGGUGAUUUUGCUCUUUUCUGCUUAGAUUCCGUCGUUUCCGGAGAGUCCGUUUUCGCAGGAGAAGAGUUUGAAGAGUUCCAAGGCCAGCAAGGCAAGUCACACAGAUCCCAAACAACCCUUUGAGCAUGUUGAUCCCGUUUAAAGCUAUUGUUUCUAUUCAACUAUUGCAUUUAUUUUCGAAUGUCAUUGGGUGGAAUUAACCUAUUGUUUGCUAUAGCCCUUUUGUUCUUGAUUACUUUAUUCCUUGAUACCUUGGGUUAUUAUAAUUUGACUAGUUGAGCUUUAUUUAUAUUGGUUCAACUAGAUAUUAGAUAUAAUUGCUUAGCCAUGCUUAGAAACAUUAGCACACUUUUGGGAUAACUUAUGAUUCACUAUUAUUUAAUGAUAGCUCACGAUGGUCAAUCGUGAUUGGUUAAUUAAUUAAUGUGCCAACUAAAACUUGGUAAUGGUGGGUUGUGAGCACAUGGUUUUGAUGGUCGUGCUCAUGACAAUUAAGGACCGGUUCACGAGUUUCGGUUGUGAAACAUUAACCGUGCCAACCACAAGCCAGCGUGGGCAACGGCUUUAUCUUUUGUAUAACAUGGUUCAUUGCAGGGCACCAGACUGAGAAGUGGCGGAGAUAAGCCCACGGGGGUCGCUGGGGAGUCCAUGCCUUGUUUAUAAGGGGGUGAUUAUGAUCCAGGAAGGUGCGCUGCAGUGGAUUGUGUUAUGCAAGGGGUAUUGUCACAACUCCUUUCCGAGGUACCGUGGUGGUAUUGAGGCACAUGGUGACAUGAUGUGGGGUUGUGUCUUAUGGGUACAGUGGUACACCUCUGAUCAGAGUAAAACUAUUCGAAUAGCCGUGCCCGCGGUUAUAGGCGGGUCUAACAAUGUCUUUCGUGAUUAGUCUCACCCUUCUCACCAUAGUAAAUGAUGCUAUAACUGGUAAUAAUUUGAUUAGCUCCUGGUUUGGAAUGGUAUAUUCCUGGUUUGGAGAUAGAACUGUGCAGCCGGGAUGGUUAUUCAGAAUGGGUGGGCCUAUACAACAGGGUAUGUUGUAUAGCGUUGGAUUAAUAUUGUUUAAUUAUUACUUAACUGUUUUAUUAAAUUCUCAAAUGUUUGCUAAAUGCUGCUUUUGCAAAAGAAACCCUAUUAUGCCAUCCUUUGUUAUCCUGUGCACUUGCAUAUUUGCUGCGUGGCUUGCUGAGUAUGUCAUAUACUCACCUUGCAAUCAUUCAUCAGAGGAAGAGUUCUACAAUGAUGCUGAUGGUGUGGAGGAUUAGGUGUAGCCUUGGUCAAGCUGCUUGUGGAGUGGAGCCGUCCGCGCCGUUUAUCUUAUUUUCCGCUGCUUAGAUCUUUAUUGAUUGAGAGGAACUAUCUACCUCUGUAAUGACAUUUUAUUCGCUUAUUAGUUAGAGUAAUAUUUGUACUCUAUUAUCAAUUUGUUAUUGUGUGCCUCGGCUGAUUCCUAGACGAGGGUUCCCACACAUGUAAGCGUUUGGAAUUUUGGAUAGAAAUUCCGGGCGUGACAAGUUGGUAUCAGAGCCUCCUUGACCUUAGGUUAUGCCAAAUGGUUACCCAUAGAAGCCCUCUAAAAAUAUUGGAAAAGUAGAACUGUUCUCCUCCCUUUCUCUUUUAAACCAAACUAAUGGCACAUGCACUUCAUAAUCUCUUUUAAUGGUUCUCAUUCAAAAUUUAUUUCAGUGUUAUUAGUACUGUACAUCUAUUACUGUACUAAUGACUCAUUUACCAGCAAAAGUUUUACAAUAUUGUUUUAUUUAAUCCUGCUGCAAUAAAAUAAAUUUAGCAUGUCGAUUUUAUAACUUUCUUUUAUUUCUGUUAAAACCUGAUGAUCAAAAGUACAAAAAUUUGUAACCUCGUUUUCAACUAUUUCAACUUAUCUUGCAAGCUUGGUUUACUUUAUUUACUUACCUUUUUACUUUGAUUUUCCAACUUUAUUCACAUUAAUCCAAAAACUUGUGCUAUUAAUUGGAUAAAUGUCUUAACUCCCUCCUUUCACUUGUCUUUAGAUGCCGCGCUACAAGCCUGAGUACUUGUUUGGUGUGGAGGGUUUUGUCCAGGAGUUGCGUACAAUGUCCUUUGUCAUUGGAUUUGGGACUGCCCCUUUUUAUGCCCAGAUUCCUCAUGAUCGUCAUGAAGAGAAGUGCCGAGUCAAAGUCACCUUGAACAGUAAUAGUGAAGAUAUUCCCUCAGUGAUGUUCGAAGCUGGAGGAAGAAACUACAUCCAUGCGUGUCAGGAGGUGGCAAGGAUCGCCAUAGGAGAGCUUCGCGAUCGCUACAGUGAUCAGUUGGCCGAUACGGAGUAUCGCUACCAUCCUCGUCAACCACAGGGAAGUGACCGUGGCAAUUACCUUGAGACUGAAGGAAUUGAGAAUGAUGCUACCACAAGGCAUUUGGUUGAGAUGCUGUGGGCUAUGGAUGAAAGUCGUGCGGAGACUGUAUUAGCGGCUCAAGAUCGUGAAGACCGGAAUCGUGGUAAGAUUUGCAAGCUAGAAGACAAGGUGGAUCGUUUGGAGAAGGAAUUAGCCGCAUUGAAGGGAGAAGCACCGCCGCAGAAGGCCAGGAUUCGUCUCACUGCAAUGAAGAGAGCUCUAUUUGUCCCUCGCUAUCAAUUGGCGCCAAAGGUUCGUGUGGUGGAGAAUGAAGUUGCCCCAACCCUAGCAGAUCCUCCGGUCAUCAUCAUAAGUGAUGAUGAAGAAGAAGAAUCCAAGCACACCCAUUCCAAGAUUGAGUGGGUAGUAACUCAAGAUGAUGAAGACGAGCCGAAUGAGCCUUCAAUCGACCUCCGAUGCUCGGAAGAACUAGAGUGACUUGUUAAGUCGUUGUCUUAGAUCGUUGUGUUAGUUUGCUUGCUUUAAGUUUGCUUGUGUGUGUCUCGCAUGUGAUUUACAUCAGUGGUGGGAUGUAAGUGCAUGCGUUUGUUUGCUUUUGAGUGUUAGGAAGUUGGUGAGUUUAGUGGUGUGAGAGUCUUCAGUUUGUAAUAAUGAAACUCAGUUAAGAUCAAUAAAAGUUAAAGUAAUUCCCUGUCCUAAGUAGUUUUGCCCGGUUUCUCUUCUUGUGCCCUGUCCAUGCCAGAUGGUGAACACUCGCAGCAAUGGGAAUGGCCCCAACAACAACAACAAUAACAACAACAACAGUGGAGAGAAUCCCACACUUGCCCAAGUCCUGGCUCAACAGACACAGCUUAUGAACAUGAUGAUGCAGCAACUCCAGAACCAGCAAAACCAAGGAAAUAACCAUGCACCUCCCCAGAACAAGUUAGCAGAAUUUCUGCGUGUGAGGCCGCCCACUUUUUCUAGCACCACUAAUCCUGUUGAAGCUGGUAACUGGCUGCACGCCAUAGAAAAGAAGUUGGAUUUGCUUCAGUGCACUGAUUAGGAGAAGGUCUCAUUUGCAUCACAUCAGUUGCAUGGCCCUGCCUCUGAAUGGUGGGAUCACUUUCGCCUGAACAGGAUUACUGCUGAACCUAUCACUUGGCUUGAAUUCACCGCUGCUUUCCGGAAGACGCAUAUACCAUCGGGAGUGGUGUCUCUCAAGAAGAAGGAGUUCAGGUCGCUCACUCAGGGAUCUCGCUCUGUUACGGAGUAUUUGCACGAGUUCAAUCGUUUGGCUCGUUAUGCUCCUGAAGAUGUGCGCAAUGAUGAAGAGCGUCAGGAGAAGUUCUUGGAAGGACUUAAUGAUGAGCUUUCUUACCCACUCAUGACUGGAGAUUAUCCUGAUUUCCAGAAGUUAGUGGAUAAGGCUAUUCGUCAGGAGGACAAAUACAACCGCAUGGAGCAGAAGAAGCGCCGGAUUGCUCAAUUCAAGACACAACAGGGGAAUAAUCAGAGGCCGCGUCUUACUUUAGGACCCCAGUCCGUGCCACAGGGAGGUUCUUCGUCUAUUGUUCGUCCGCAGCGUCAGUUCUUCAACAACAAUGCUGGCAACAACAUCCGUAAUCAAGUUCCACGUCCUGUUGCAGCUCCAACACAGCAACAACCUGCCAAGAGGGAGCAAGGCAGCAAACCCGUGGUGUGUUUCAACUGUGGAGACCCAGGACAUUACGCUGACAAGUGUCCGAAGCCCCGACGCGUGAAGGUUGUCCCUACUCAGAGCAACUCUACCGCACCAGCAUCAAAGGCCCGUGUCAAUCAUGUCGCUGCUGCAGAAGCUCAAGAUGCUCCAGAUGUGAUUUUGGGUACGUUCCUUGUUAACUUAGUUCCUGCCACAGUGCUUUUCGAUUCUGGUGCUACACAUUCAUUCUUAUCUAUGAGUUUUGCGGGAAAUCAUGGGAUGGAAGUAGAAGAUCUUAGACAUCCUUUGAUGGUUAGUACCCCAAGUAAUCAAGCACUCUCUUUGCAACGUAGCCCCUCUGUCAGAAUAGAAAUUAAAGGAGUACCAUUUCUGGCCAAUCUUAUCUUGUUAGAAUCCAAAGACCUUGAUGUCAUCCUAGGGAUGGACUGGUUAGCCAGACAUAAAGGUGUGAUAGACUGUGCUAACAGAAAAGUAACUCUCACCAGCAAUGAUGGUCGAGUUGUAACUGUUCAUGCAUUGUCUUCUGAGUCUUUAAGGUCAAGACUGAACCAAAUAACUUUGGAAGAGAUUCCUAUAGUCCAGGAGUAUCCCGAUGUGUUCCCAGAUGAUUUACCUGGUAUGCCGCCUAAAAGGGAUAUAGAGUUCAGAAUAGAUUUGGUACCAGGAACAACUCCGAUCCAUAAGAGACCUUAUAGAAUGGCAGCCAAUGAGUUGGCAGAAGUUAAGAGGCAAGUAGACGAUUUGCUUCAGAAAGGAUACAUCAGACCGAGUUCAUCACCAUGGGGAGCUCCGGUUAUUUUUGUGGAAAAGAAAGACCAUACCCAGAGGAUGUGUGUGGACUAUCGUGCACUAAAUGAUGUGACUAUCAAGAAUAAGUAUCCACUACCCAGAAUUGAUGAUUUGUUUGAUCAGCUUAAAGGUGCUACUGUUUUCUCCAAGAUAGAUCUUCGAUCAGGGUAUCACCAGUUGAGAAUCAAAGAGGAAGAUAUACCUAAGACAGCUUUUACCACUAGGUAUGGGUUGUUCGAAUGUACUGUUAUGUCUUUUGGACUUACCAAUGCCCCUGCUUUCUUCAUGAACUUGAUGAAUAAGGUGUGUAUGGAAUACCUAGACAAGUUCGUGGUGGUCUUUAUUGAUGAUAUUCUUAUCUACUCUCGAACCAAAGAAGAGCAUAAAGAACAUCUUCGCCUUGCACUAGAGAAGCUACGAGAACAUCAACUGUAUGCUAAGUUUAGCAAGUGUGAAUUUUGGUUGUCUGAAGUGAAGUUCCUUGGUCACGUCAUCUCAGCAGGAGGAGUUGCCGUCGAUCCUAGUAAUGUGGAAUCCGUAACCAACUGGAAACAACCAAAGACAGUUUCAGAAAUUCGCAGUUUCCUAGGCCUCGCAGGGUAUUAUCGGAGGUUUAUAGAGAAUUUUUCCAAGAUUGCUAAGCCCAUGACACGACUGCUUCAGAAAGAUGUGAAGUAUAAGUGGUCAGAAGAAUGUGAGCAGAGUUUCCAAGAGUUGAAGAAUCGCUUGAUAUCAGCUCCUAUUUUGAUUUUACCUGAUCCAAAGAAGGGUUUCCAAGUGUAUUGCGAUGCAUCUAAACUUGGGUUAGGUUGUGUUCUGAUGCAGGAUGGGAAGGUGGUUGCCUAUGCAUCUCGUCAGUUACGUCCGCAUGAAAAGAACUACCCUACUCAUGAUCUUCAAUUGGCCGCAGUAGUUCAUGCGUUGAAAAUUUGGCGUCAUUAUCUUUUCGGUACUCGUACAGAGGUAUAUACCGAUCACAAGAGUUUAAAGUAUAUCUUUACUCAGCCGGAUCUGAACAUGAGACAACGGAGGUGGUUGGAAUUAAUUAAGGACUAUGACAUGGGAAUUCAUUACCACCCAGGAAAGGCUAAUGUUGUAGCAGACGCUCUUAGCAGGAAAGGCUAUUGCAAUGCUACAGAAGGACGACAGUUGCCAUUGGAAUUAUGCAAGGAAUUUGAAAGAUUAAAUUUGGGAAUUGUCAGUAGAGGUUUCGUUGCAGCCUUAGAAGCGAAGCCCACUCUAAUUGAUCAAGUUAGAGAAGCCCAAAUUAAUGAUCCUGAUAUUCAAGAGAUCAAGAAGAAUAUGAGAAGAGGAAAAGCUAUCGGUUUCUUGGAGGAUGAGCACGGAACUGUAAGGUUGGGUGAGAGAAUCUGCGUCCCCGACAACAAAGAUUUAAAAGAUGCAAUUCUGAAAGAAGCUCACGAUACUUUAUACUCUAUUCACCCUGGUAGUACUAAGAUGUACCAGGAUCUCAAGGAAAGAUUUUGGUGGGCAAGUAUGAAACGUGAAAUAGCAGAAUAUGUAGCAGUAUGUGAUGUUUGUCAGCGAGUCAAGGCAGAACAUCAGAAACCUGCCAGUUUGCUGCAGCCUUUAAAGAUUCCUGAAUGGAAGUGGGAAGAAAUCGGUAUGGAUUUUAUCACUGGUUUACCCAGAACGUCAUCGGGUCAUGACUCUAUUUGGGUGAUAGUCGACAGACUUACCAAAGUAGCUCAUUUCAUUCCGGUAAAGACAACCUAUUCUGGAAGUCGGUUGGCGGAAUUGUACAUGGCAAGGAUCGUGUGUUUGCAUGGCGUCCCUAAGAAAAUAGUGUCUGAUCGAGGCAGUCAGUUUACUUCAAAUUUUUGGAAGAAACUUCAGGAAGAGAUGGGUUCUAAGCUGAACUUUAGUACUGCUUAUCAUCCGCAGACAGACGGACAAACCGAAAGGGUGAAUCAAAUUUUGGAAGACAUGUUGAGAGCUUGUGCUUUAGACUUCGGUGGAAGUUGGGAUAAGAGUCUACCUUAUGCAGAAUUUUCGUACAACAACAGUUAUCAAGCUAGUCUUCAGAUGGCUCCUUACGAAGCACUGUAUGGUCGGAAGUGCCGCACUCCACUUUUGUGGGAUCAAACGGGAGAACGUCAGGUUUUCGGGACGGAUAUCCUAAGAGAAGCAGAAGAAAAGGUGAAAAUCAUUCAAGAAAGAUUGCGAGUGGCUCAGUCUCGUCAUAAGAGUUAUGCCGACAAUCGCCGCAGAGAUUUGAGUUUUGAAGAAGGAGAUUAUGUGUAUCUUCGUGUCACGCCUCUUCGAGGAGUUCGUCGUUUUCAUAUCAAAGGAAAAUUGGCACCGCGUUUUGUGGGACCUUAUAAGAUUGUCAGUAGAAGAGGAGAGGUUGCUUAUCAGUGGAGUUACCUCAAUCUUUGGCAGGAGUCCAUAAUGUGUUCCAUGUGUCGCAAUUAAAAAAGUGUUUAAGGGUACCUACCGAAGAAGCUAAUCUUGAACAGAUAGAAGUCCAAGAGGAUCUGACCUAUGUUGAGAAAUGUCACGUCCUGAUAAAUUCAUCCCGAAAUAAAAAUCAUUUUCUAAAAGGAAUAAUAGAAUUAAUUAAAAUUCGAAAAGAAAUUGGCAAACACUAAAAUGCGUAUAAGAAAAAUUCAAAUGUGGCCCGGAGAAUUUUUGUUAAAUUCUCCUUGGUCUAAAAGGAGCCCUCAAAUUUUAGUGGAAUUUUCAGAGCACAAAUAAUAAUUGAGAAGAAAUAAACAAAGUUAGAAUGGUUUUAUAAAAAGAAAAAUCCUAAAAAAAGUCUUCUUUUCCCCCCCUUCCCUUACUGGGCCGGCUCGGCCCAGCUCCCUCCCUCUCUCUCCUCCUCCCCGCGGCCCACUCGGCCUCUCCCCGCGCGCGCGCCGCUGACGGGCGGGCCCGCCCGCCACCCUCGCUGACGGGUGGGGCCCACCUGUCAUCCCUAUCCUCGCGCCGCGCCCGCCGCCCGCCCGUGCCCUAGCGCCGCCGCCGCCGCGGAUUCCGCCGCAUCCCGCCAUCCCCGCGCGCCAUAAAGAGGGGGAAAUCACUCCCCGUGAUUCCCUCCCUCUUUUCCCCCUCUUUCCCCUCUCUCUCUCCCUCGGAUUCGUCCGGAUUCACUCCCGCAAAGUUCGCCGGCGCAUCAAUGGCGGCCGAGAUUUCCGCGGCCGAUUCCUUCCCCUCCGGCCGCUCUCUCCCUCUCCCGGCGCUAUAUAAUCGUCCCCCGUGCUUCGCUCUUCCGUUUCCGCCACUCGCCGCCUCUCCUCCCCGUCGGAAUCGAGCCCGCGCCGUCGCACCUUCUCUCCGCCGUCGCCGCCGAACUCCGGUUCACCGCCGUCGUCGCCCCGGACCUCCUCCCGCUUCGGCAUCGCCCCCUUCGGCUUCGCCGCGUCCUCGCCGACCCCGUCCGCUCCUCCGUUUCGCCCGCCGACCGCCGGAACGCCGCCGUCCUCGUCGACCCGAGCCGCGCCGCCGCCUUCCUCCGCUCCGGUCGUCGUUUCCGCCGUCCUCGUCGUCCCGGGGUGAGCCGUGGACCGCUCCUUUCGCUUCCCCCUUCCCUCCUCUCUCUCGGGUGCCGCUCCGCCGCGUCGGUGGUCGCCGGCGGUGACCAUCGGGGCGCGGGCGCGCCGCCUCCCGUCGGCCGUGCCGGCGAGGCCGCCUUCGGGCGCGCCCCGCGGCUGCCAGGUGGGGCCCGGCCGUCAGCCGCCCGCGCCCGCAGGUGCGGCUGACGCGUGGGACCCACGGCGCCGGCCGGCGUCUGCCGCGUGCGCCCGGUCCACCGUGGACCGAGAGGCUGACGCGUGGGCCCCACUCCCGUGGACCCGGUCCGCGCGCCCCUCCCCUCGGCUGACGCAAUAAAUCCGAUUUUUAAUUAAAAUUUAAAUGAAGAAAUUCGCAAAUAUCCAUUUAAAGAGCAUAUAAACUUCAAAUGGCCAUAACUUGGCCAUUUGAACUCGGAAUUGGACCGUUCAAGUCUCUAAUUUUUCCUUAAGAAGUCAAGAACCCAUUUUUGUGCUUUGUUUCUGCUGUUAUGUGGAGUUUAUUAGAGUAAAAGCCUUUUCUUUUCCGUUGGUCGUGUAGACGCUGCAGCUUCGGAAGAUCCGCUCUUCGUGGAAGUUGAAGCCGGUGUUUGGGAAAGCGAGCAAGGCAAGUCACAUCAUCCUUGAGCAUAUUGAAUCCCAGUUUAUAAAAUUAUUUUGAUUUAAAUUAAUGCAUUACCGCUUUAUUUCAAUUCCCGCGUUAUCACUGUUUUAUUUAGCCAUGCCUAUUUACCUUUGUUAAGACAUUAUUAUUGCUAUUGUUAUUAUUACCUUGUUCACCCUAGAAUAAACAAAACCCCAACUAGUGGGUACUCUAUUCCUGGUUCCACUAGUAUGAAUUUAGGUAGAUGCUUCGCUGAUUAAUUAGGCAAUAUUAGGUGGUUUUAUAACUUUAGACUUUGGGAAUUCUCAUAUCAUUUGGACACUAUGGAAUUGUUGGUUUAUGGUGGAAUUGGACAUACACCUCUCUUCCUCUUUCAAAACCCCUAAAACCUGUUUUCGGUGGGGUCUGGGUGCAUGCCAGUUGUGGGAAGUAGCACCCCGGCCACUAUAAGGAUUAAGCUCGGGCCUCUGUUGCAAAGCACUACCGUACUUCCACAUGUCUAGUGGGUAAUGCUUAGUUUGUGGCUCAGUCUGGUCAUAAACAAAAGUACACGGAUGGAGAUGGAUGAAGUCGGGGGUCGAUGGACAUUCUCUAGGACAAAUGAAGGCUACACGAGCUGCGGCCCGGUAGUCGAGAUGUCAUGGCACAGGGUUGGUGCCCUGCUGCUAGGGGCUCAGUCCUGCCUGCCUGUCCCGGGGGUUCCGGCCGUAGGUGGGAUUGGGUCGGUACUCUUGUCUAUGGCUAGGAUGGGUUGGAAACUAUGUCACAGCUUCCGUCUGUAUACCGUGGUGGUAUGUGGCACGUGGUUGCACGUGAGGAAGAUGUGUCUUGUGGGUAAAGAUGUACACCUCUGAUCAGAGUAUAAUCUAUUCGAAUAGCCGCGCCCUCGGUUAUGGGCAAGCCGAGCAAUGUACCCAAGUCAGUGUUUUAAUUCUUAAAAUUUGCUUACAACUAAAAUGUGGAAUGGUUGGCCUGGGUUGGCUUGGGACGAGCUGGGACCCAGGGUCGGGUUGCCAGUUCGGUCUGAAUCAUCGUAGGCCUUGGGUUAAGGCAGGUUCGUGAGGGUUCACGGCCUUGUUUAAUAAUACUGUGUAGCUCUAGGAUCGUCUUUAUAAAAUGGCUUUGGGCAACUAAGUGACUUUUAAAUGCUGCUUUUCUGCAAAACUUAACCCCUAUAUUAUUUACCCCUUGUACCCCCUUGCAUUAAUCGUGCAUCUACCGGUGUGACUUGCUGAGUACUGUGGUUGUACUCAUUCUUGCUCUAUCUUUCUCCCCCCUUCAGUAAGAGAAGCUUCAGAGAAGAUGUCUUAGGUGGAGUCCUGGCUUAUACCCCAGUUGAGCGCCUGUGAAGAUGGAGCCGUAGGCCCGCUAGUCCGCUGCUGUUUAUUUUUGUUUGUCAGGCCUGAAGCGCCUUUGUAAUAAUGUAAAUAUUAUCGAUAUAAUAAAGAUGUGUCUUUUAUAUCAUGUUUGUAUGGUGUACCCCGGCUUUUCCUGGGACGGGGAUUAAUACACUGGCGUUCGGGAAAAGGCAAUUUUCCCGGUCGCGACAAGAUGGUAUCAGAGCCAUCUCGACUGUAGGAUAAGCCAAGUGGAUAAAACCUAAGGACAUAUUUUAUAAAUAAAACUAUUUGCGAAAGUUCCUUUUUUUCUCCUUUCCCCUAUGCUAUUUGCAAAAGGGUUUACUCCCUUCUUCCUUCUUCGGAUUUCAACUAGUACUAGAUGGUCAGGUCAGUGAAGAAGAAGACAUCGUCAGUUGUUUGCCGAAGCUCCGGAAGACUGCAGGAUCCGCUAGCGAAGUGGAGGAAGCAGUGAAGCCAGCUGUAAAGCAGGAGUGAAGAUCUUGGAGAACCCGUCGCAGAACCUAAGCCACCCUCUAGUGUUUCGUUUGUCGUGUGUUUCCUUGCUUGUGUGUGUAGCGCGUGGUUUGCAUCAGUGGAUUGUGAUGUAACCAUGCUAGGUUGUUUGCUUAAUCAACUUGCAGAAUAAGUGAAACAAAGAACACAUCAACAAGAAGAGUUAGUUCCUUUAAGGUCCUAUCUCUAGUUCUGGUCUAUUCUUUCCUGGCUUGUUUCCUCUCUCACCUCAAUCCCUGUAACAGAUGUUUAACAGAGAAAAAGGAAAGAAUGUCAGCGGGUAUGACUCAAGUAACUCAAGUUUUCAACUCAAUCUGCCACUGGCCUCAAGAGAGUUAACCAGGGCACACCCUUGGUCCAUUCCAAGCAUGCUGCUUAGUUCACAGCUACCAUUGGUUGGAAGUCAAGACCAAAAUCAGUAUGUGUUUGAUCGAGCCUUUGCCACCCAGGUCAAUGAGCUUCCAAUGCCAGAAGAGCAGGUUCCCUUUUGUCAUGAUUGUAGAGAGCAAGGACACUAUGCCCUGAAUUGUCCAUGGGUAUAUGUCAAAGAAGCCCCUUCCCUUGGUUUAGCAGGGCGGACAUCGCUAAACCAGCCUCCUCACACCAAGUCAAGCUUGCAGCCUAGUGUGCAAAGUAGAGAGCUCAACGGAGAGAAUCCAUUGAAUCCCGGGAAAUGCUUUCCUCCUAGCCUCUCGUACCACGUGGGGUCACAUACUAAGCAAGCCAAAGGCAAGAAGAGUAAGAAUCAGAAGAGAAAAGCACCGAUGCGAACUGAAGAAGAAGUACGUAAGAUGACUAUUACCAGCACCGAAUGGCCUCCAGCAGGGAUAACUAUUCCUAGACGUCAAAGAGGAAAUACCUUCCGAGGUGCACGACAGUUGACCCAGCACCUCCUAAGCCGUGGUGGCAGAGUAUCUGAUAGUGAAGGGUCAGAUCAAGUCUCCUCGGAUGAAGAAGAUGAGUCUCCCCGACAUCUCGGCGAGGAAGAGAUGGAAUCCAAAGCAUGCCCCCGUUGUGGAGAAAUUGGACACGUUGCUAGCAUGUGUCUCACACUCUGCCCUCAUUGUGAGGAAGACCAUCCACCAGGUGAAUGUCCCACCCGCAAGGUCACAUGUUUUCUGUGCGAAGGUACAAACCAUGUGCCCAAGGAUUGCCAACUCAGUGUGUUGUUGACCAAGACCGCAGAAAUCCAACGAACAACCCUACGAUUGUCUCAUCAGCUAGUCAGCUCCAACAGCAACAUCGACGAUAUCAUCCACAGCACCAAUGCUCCUCCCGCUGCACCUGACUCUGCAAUAAAUCAUAGCGAUAAUACCUUCAGCACCAACCAUUCUCUGCACCGACAGCCUCAACAAAGAAUUGUCAUCGAUGGAAGAAGUUGUGUCUCUCCCCGACCUACUCCAGGCCGAGCCAAGGGCAAUCAACCUCCGGAGGGCGAUACCAAGCAGAAGACCGUUAUUCGCCUCAACCAGCAACCAGAAGGAAACUUCUCCUGUGAAUGAUAGCAAUAUGCAGUCCUAUCACAUCAUCACAGAACCAAUCAAGGAUGCAGUCACUAGAACAAUGCCAGCUAUGUAUCCAUGUUUGUGAUUUUCAGUUCGCUACUUAUCACUGUAAUCGGGAGUUUGCAGCAAUCAUGUAAUAAAUAAACAUAUUCAUGAUUAUAAACAAUGAGUUUGUUAUGUUUAUGGAUGAUUCAUGUUGAGGAUACAAUGUACCGAUGAUAAGCACCUUCCCUUUUUGUUUAAGGCAGUGCCUUGUAUUCGUGUAAUAAGGGAGAAAUGUGUAAUACAGACAAGUUCUGAGAGGAUUCUUUUGGAAGAUGCGGAUAUGUGAUCAUGUGUAUAAUUGUUUACUGACAAAGGAGACCUAGGGUCUCGUGUCAGAGGAACUAUAUUCUAACCUCGAGUUAAUAACCAACCUGUGGAUGGAAAAGAAAACCAAUUAAACUGUGUUGGGUUAAAAAGCCAAUGAGACAGUAGUUGGGGAUAGGAGUUUGGAUACGCCUCUUACAGAUCAAGAUAAGGAUUGUUGGAUGAAACCCAUAAGGGUACCCGCCAUGCCUCUACAUUGAUAAGUUCGGAUAUUCCUGCAAACAGUUAAGAAGAUCCAGGAGACAUCAAUAUUUGAGAACAUAAUAGUCGAUGGUUGGUAAUUAGUCUAUCAGGUAUCAGAAAAGGGUCAAAGGUGAUAUGGCAGAAGAACAAUAUGGAUGCUCCCCAUCUCGAGGAAGCACUAAAGAUGAUCAUCGGCAAUUAAACCCUAGUGGCAUAGAUACAGAUAGCAAGCAAUGUAUUUCCCUGAAGGUGGUCAGUGCAGCUUCUUGACAAACCACAUCAAGGUUUCACUGAAAGGCAGCAAGCCAAAGGACCUCAUCGUCCCCAGAAGCGUCCGCAAUCCACAUUAAAGAAUACCACAUGUUAAAGAUAAGCCGAAAGAUGAUUGAUAAAAGAGAUUGGCAAAGAUGUUCUCCAGCAUGAAAGAAGUAGGCCGGAAGGUGAUUGAUAAACAGAAACAUGCUCUGCAUCGCUCAAGGAAGACCCCUGAUAGUAAUUGCCCCGCAACAGUCACCUUGUCAUUAAGUAAGCAAGAUGACCUAGGUAAAAGUGUUUCUAUGAAGGCAAGGAGUGAAAUCUUCAACUCGGUAUCAGAUGCUACACGGAGUGAAAAGUGCAAGCACCGGUUACCAGGUAAUGCCAUGUCUUGGGAGAUGAUCCAAUGGGAAGGAACACAUCAAGGUUAAAAGGUGUAAAGGAAUACGUUGAAUGCUAACCGAGGACAACCUGAAGAUAAUAGUGGAAAGUAAACUGAACAUAAAGAAAGUGAAUCCGAGUUGCUUGUUCGUGAGAGCUAUUCCCAGUUAUGAAUCAAGUGAUAUGUUCAAAGAUAAUCUACAGAGGUCAGAUUAAAAUCACAUCUAACAACGAAGCCUCAGAUUUGGCAGGAUAAUGAUUAGACAGUAACAAAUCCAGCAAUAAAGCCAUUUGGGAAGACGUCAAAGUAUGUCAAGUGGGAUAAGUUGGUUCUCUUGGGAAGCAUAAUUCAAAGGCAAAGUUAGCGACCCUUGCAUCAAAUAGCAGAAGUACCUAGCACCGGAGACCAGGAAAGCUAAUAUGAGACAGUUCAUGUUGUCAAUCAUGGUAUCCUUAGUAAGCGGGAUAUCAUAGUCUAAAGCAUAUGGUGGUAAGCUGGAAGGAAACGCCAAGCAUGGUAUUCUCAUGAUGACAAGCAUGGUAUCCUAGUAAUGACAAGCAGGUUACGAGACAUGACAUGAAGUUGAUAACUUGUGAGGUUGACGCCGAAGAUAUGAAUCGUGAGAAGUUCUGGAUCUGAAGCCCCAUCUUCAAGUGCCGCAACCUAGUCUGAGUCAGCUAAAAGGUGCACCCUGGUUCAAGUCAGGUGAAGAGAAGAUUCCAUCCGCAGCAGGAGGUCAAGCCAAGCAGUUCCGAGUGGUGAAGUUUUGCUGAAAGUUUGUGAGGACGGAGCGGAAGAAGUCAAACAAGAAGAGAAGACCGCCCAACCUAUCUUCUUGCUAGCCUCCUCGAAUCUCGGGGACGAGAUUCUUGUAAGGGGGGUGGAUUUGUCACGUCCUGAUAAAUUCAUCCCGAAAUAAAAAUCAUUUUCUAAAAGGAAUAAUAGAAUUAAUUAAAAUUCGAAAAGAAAUUGGCAAACACUAAAAUGCGUAUAAGAAAAAUUCAAAUGUGGCCCGGAGAAUUUUUGUUAAAUUCUCCUUGGUCUAAAAGGCGCCCUCAAAUUUUAGUGGAAUUUUCAGAGCACAAAUAAUAAUUGAGAAGAAAUAAACAAAGUUAGAAUGGUUUUAUAAAAAGAAAAAUCCUAAAAAAAGUCUUCUUUCCCCCCCCUUCCCUUACUGGGCCAGCUCGGCCCAGCUCCCUCCCUCUCUCUCCUCCUCCCCGCGGCCCACUCGGCCUCUCCCCGCGCGUGCGCCGCUGACGGGCGGGCCCGCCCGCCACCCUCGCUGACGGGUGGGGCCCACCUGUCAUCCCUAUCCUCGCGCCGCGCCCGCCGCCCGCCCGUGCCCUAGCGCCGCCGCCGCCGCGGAUUCCGCCGCAUCCCGCCGUCCCCGCGCGCCAUAAAGAGGGGGAAAUCACUCCCCGUGAUUCCCUCCCUCUUUUCCCCCUCUUUCCCCUCUCUCUCUCCCUCGGAUUCGUCCGGAUUCACUCCCGCAAAGUUCGCCGGCGCAUCAAUGGCGGCCGAGAUUUCCGCGGCCGAUUCCUUCCCCUCCGGCCGCUCUCUCCCUCUCCCGGCGCUAUAUAAUCGUCCCCCGUGCUUCGCUCUUCCGUUUCCGCCACUCGCCGCCUCUCCUCCCCGUCGGAAUCGAGCCCGCGCCGUCGCACCUUCUCUCCGCCGUCGCCGCCGAACUCCGGUUCACCGCCGUCGUCGCCCCGGACCUCCUCCCGCUUCCGCAUCGCCCCCUUCGGCUUCGCCGCGUCCUCGCCGACCCCGUCCGCUCCUCCGUUUCGCCCGCCGACCGCCGGAACGCCGCCGUCCUCGUCGACCCGAGCCGCGCCGCCGCCUUCCUCCGCUCCGGUCGUCGUUUCCGCCGUCCUCGUCGUCCCGGGGUGAGCCGUGGACCGCUCCUUUCGCUUCCCCCUUCCCUCCUCUCUCUCGGGUGCCGCUCCGCCGCGUCGGUGGUCGCCGGCGGUGACCAUCGGGGCGCGGGCGCGCCGCCUCCCGUCGGCCGUGCCGGCGAGGCCGCCUUCGGGCGCGCCCCGCGGCUGCCAGGUGGGGCCCGGCCGUCAGCCGCCCGCGCCCGCGGGUGCGGCUGACGCGUGGGACCCACGGCGCCGGCCGGCGUCUGCCGCGUGCGCCCGGUCCACCGUGGACCGAGAGGCUGACGCGUGGGCCCCACUCCCAUGGACCCGGUCCGCGCGCCCCUCCCCUCGGCUGACGCAAUAAAUCCGAUUUUUAAUUAAAAUUUAAAUGAAGAAAUUCGCAAAUAUCCAUUUAAAGAGCAUAUAAACUUCAAAUGGCCAUAACUUGGCCAUUUGAACUCGGAAUUGGACCGUUCAAGUCUCUAAUUUUUCCUUAAGAAGUCAAGAACCCAUUUUUGUGCUUUGUUUCUGCUGUUAUGUGGAGUUUAUUAGAGUAAAAGCCUUUUCUUUUCCGUUGGUCGUGUAGACGCUGCAGCUUCGGAAGAUCCGCUCUUCGUGGAAGUUGAAGCCGGUGUUUGGGAAAGCGAGCAAGGCAAGUCACAUCAUCCUUGAGCAUAUUGAAUCCCAGUUUAUAAAAUUAUUUUGAUUUAAAUUAAUGCAUUACCGCUUUAUUUCAAUUCCCGCGUUAUCACUGUUUUAUUUAGCCAUGCCUAUUUACCUUUGUUAAGACAUUAUUAUUGCUAUUGUUAUUAUUACCUUGUUCACCCUAGAAUAAACAAAACCCCAACUAGUGGGUACUCUAUUCCUGGUUCCACUAGUAUGAAUUUAGGUAGAUGCUUCGCUGAUUAAUUAGGCAAUAUUAGGUGGUUUUAUAACUUUAGACUUUGGGAAUUCUCAUAUCAUUUGGACACUAUGGAAUUGUUGGUUUAUGGUGGAAUUGGACAUACACCUCUCUUCCUCUUUCAAAACCCCUAAAACCUGUUUUCGGUGGGGUCUGGGUGCAUGCCAGUUGUGGGAAGUAGCACCCCGGCCACUAUAAGGAUUAAGCUCGGGCCUCUGUUGCAAAGCACUACCGUACUUCCACAUGUCUAGUGGGUAAGGCUUAGUUUGUGGCUCAGUCUGGUCAUAAACAAAAGUACACGGAUGGAGAUGGAUGAAGUCGGGGGUCGAUGGACAUUCUCUAGGACAAAUGAAGGCUACACGAGCUGCGGCCCGGUAGUCGAGAUGUCAUGGCACAGGGUUGGUGCCCUGCUGCUAGGGGCUCAGUCCUGCCUGCCUGUCCCGGGGGUUCCGGCCGUAGGUGGGAUUGGGUCGGUACUCUUGUCUAUGGCUAGGAUGGGUUGGAAACUAUGUCACAGCUUCCGUCUGUAUACCGUGGUGGUAUGUGGCACGUGGUUGCACGUGAGGAAGAUGUGUCUUGUGGGUAAAGAUGUACACCUCUGAUCAGAGUAUAAUCUAUUCGAAUAGCCGCGCCCUCGGUUAUGGGCAAGCCGAGCAAUGUACCCAAGUCAGUGUUUUAAUUCUUAAAAUUUGCUUACAACUAAAAUGUGGAAUGGUUCGCCUGGGUUGGCUUGGGACGAGCUGGGACCCAGGGUCGGGUUGCCAGUUCGGUCUGAAUCAUCGUAGGCCUUGGGUUAAGGCAGGUUCGUGAGGGUUCACGGCCUUGUUUAAUAAUACUGUGUAGCUCUAGGAUCGUCUUUAUAAAAUGGCUUUGGGCAACUAAGUGACUUUUAAAUGCUGCUUUUCUGCAAAACUUAACCCCUAUAUUAUUUACCCCUUGUACCCCCUUGCAUUAAUCGUGCAUCUGCCGGUGUGACUUGCUGAGUACUGUGGUUGUACUCAUUCUUGCUCUAUCUUUCUCCCCCCUUCAGUAAGAGAAGCUUCAGAGAAGAUGUCUUAGGUGGAGUCCUGGCUUAUACCCCAGUUGAGCGCCUGUGAAGAUGGAGCCGUAGGCCCGCUAGUCCGCUGCUGUUUAUUUUUGUUUGUCAGGCCUGAAGCGCCUUUGUAAUAAUGUAAAUAUUAUCGAUAUAAUAAAGAUGUGUCUUUUAUAUCAUGUUUGUAUGGUGUACCCCGGCUUUUCCUGGGACGGGGAUUAAUACACUGGCGUUCGGGAAAAGGCAAUUUUCCCGGUCGCGACAAGAAACCAAUCCGUAUCUUGGAAAUAGAUGAGAGAAGAACCAGGAAUCGAGUUAUCCGUUUUUGCAAAGUUCAAUGGAGUAAUCACUCGGAAGAAGAAUCAACUUGGGAACGAGAAGAUGAAUUGAAGUCAACUCAUCCGCAUCUGUUCGCCAGUUCUUCCGAAUCUCGAGGACGAGAUUCUGUUUAAGGGGGUAGGUUUGUCACACCCUGAAAAUUCAAAAUAUAUAAAUUGUUGUUUAAAUGGAAUUUUUAGAAUUUAUUUUAAAAGCCUAGAAGAGAAGAUCUAAUUUUAAUUAAUAAAUUCCAAUAUAAAAUGGGGCCAGAUAAAAUUUCAUUAAAUACUUUGCUUAAUUCUAUAAUUCCUAGAUUUUUCUGGGAUUUAUUUGAGCUAAGGAAGUAUUUUUAAUAAAUGGAAUUGCAUUUAAAAAAUAAUUUAAAUUGAAAAAGGUUUUGAAAAGUCUUCUUUUGGCUUUGGGCCGAAAGUCGGCCCAAAACCCUUCUCUCUCUCCUCGGCCCAAGUCGGCCCAGUCCGCAGCCGCAGCCGCCCGCGCGCGCGUCCUCGCUCGCUGACAGGUGGGGCCCGCCUGUCGGAGUCGUCGUCUUCCUCCGGCCGAAACCUUAGCGCCGCGCCGCCGCCGCCGCUUUCCAAAUCGGCCGAUCCUUUCCUUCUCCGGCCGAAUCAAAAGAGGGGAAAUGAUCUUCGGGAUUUCCUCUACCUUUUCUCCUUUGGAAACACCGGCUAAAAUCGUUUGGAAAUUCGUGGAUUCGAGUUUGUUUCGGAUUCGAUUUUCCCGAACUUUCCUUCUCGUCGCCGGCCGUCGUGGGCCUUCGCCGCUGCCUCCGAGCCCCUUUAAAAGGACCCCCGAGCUCUUCUCUACCCGCCGCCACCCUCGCCUUCGCCUCUCGUCACCGGUAGCGCCCUAGCGUCGUGAGACCUCGAGCCGCCGUCGCCGCCGUCGCUCCAGCCCUGCGCCGCCGCCGUUCCGGUCAUCGUCAUCGCUCAGGAAGGCCACCGUCGGGAUCGCCAAGUCGUCGCCGUCCUCGUCCGCCCCUUCGCCACCGUCGGAGACCGCCGGAGCAUCGUCGCCGUUGUCGACCCGAUCUCCGCCGUCGCUUCUUCCUCGUCGCCGUCGCCGUCCGUUGGUCUUCCGCCGUCGCUUGGGUCGCCGGUGAGUUCGCCGUGCCGUCCGCUACCCGUUGGUGUCCUCCGUUCUUGCCGAAGUGCCGCCGUUCGCUGGCAAGCGUGCGCCGUCCGAGCCGUCCGAGCCGCCGAGCCGCCGCCGCCGGUGGUGACGUCAUCGCCGACGUCAUCGUCGCCCUCUUCCAUGAGCCGGUCGUGGACCGAUCGAUCUCGGCCGUCCGUUUUGGAUCAAGUCGAUCUCGGCCGUCCGUUCGCGUGAACCGCCGCCGUGCGCCCGGUCCACCGAAACCCUAGCCCGCUGACGCAAUAAAUCCCUUUUCCUUUUCAAAAAUAAUUCAUUAUUGCGUCAUAAUUCAAUUAAAAUCAAUAUAAGUGUUUUAAUCCGAUUUAAUCUUCAAAAAUUCAUAACUAAUUCAUCUUAGCUCCGAUUUAGUUGGUUCAAGUCUCUAAAUUUUUCUAAAAUUGAGAUCUACACAAUAAAAAUAUCCACAUGUACUGUUCAUGCUUGUUUAUGUGCUGUUUUGGUGAUUUUGCUCUUUUCUGCUUAGAUUCCGUCGUUUCCGGAGAGUCCGUUUUCGCAGGAGAAGAGUUUGAAGAGUUCCAAGGCCAGCAAGGCAAGUCACACAGAUCCCAAACAACCCUUUGAGCAUGUUGAUCCCGUUUAAAGCUAUUGUUUCUAUUCAACUAUUGCAUUUAUUUUCGAAUGUCAUUGGGUGGAAUUAACCUAUUGUUUGCUAUAGCCCUUUUGUUCUUGAUUACUUUAUUCCUUGAUACCUUGGGUUAUUAUAAUUUGACUAGUUGAGCUUUAUUUAUAUUGGUUCAACUAGAUAUUAGAUAUAAUUGCUUAGCCAUGCUUAGAAACAUUAGCACACUUUUGGGAUAACUUAUGAUUCACUAUUAUUUAAUGAUAGCUCACGAUGGUCAAUUGUGAUUGGUUAAUUAAUUAAUGUGCCAACUAAAACCUGGUAAUGGUGGGUUGUGAGCACAUGGUUUUGAUGGUCGUGCUCAUGACAAUUAAGGACCGGUUCACGAGUUUCGGUUGUGAAACAUUAACCGUGCCAACCACAAGCCAGCGUGGGCAACGGCUUUAUCUUUUGUAUAACAUGGUUCAUUGCGGGGCACCAGACUGAGAAGUGGCGGAGAUAAGCCCACGGGGGUCGCUGGGGAGUCCAUGCCUUGUUUAUAAGGGGGUGAUUAUGAUCCAGGAAGGUGCGCUGCAGUGGAUUGUGUUAUGCAAGGGGUAUUGUCACAACUCCUUUCCGAGGUACCGUGGUGGUAUUGAGGCACAUGGUGACAUGAUGUGGGGUUGUGUCUUGUGGGUACAGUGGUACACCUCUGAUCAGAGUAAAACUAUUCGAAUAGCCGUGCCCGCGGUUAUGGGCGGGUCUAACAAUGUCUUUCGUGAUUAGUCUCACCCUUCUCACCAUAGUAAAUGAUGCUAUAACUGGUAAUAAUUUGAUUAGCUCCUGGUUUGGAAUGGUAUAUUCCUGGUUUGGAGAUAGAACUGUGCAGCCGGGAUGGUUGUUCAGAAUGGUUGGGCCUAUACAACAGGGUAUGUUGUAUAGCGUUGGAUUAAUAUUGUUUAAUUAUUACUUAACUGUUUUAUUAAAUUCUCAAAUGUUUGCUAAAUGCUGCUUUUGCAAAAGAAACCCUAUUAUGCCAUCCUUUGUUAUCCUGUGCACUUGCAUAUUUGCUGCGUGGCUUGCUGAGUAUGUCAUAUACUCACCUUGCAAUCAUUCAUCAGAGGAAGAGUUCUACAAUGAUGCUGAUGGUGUGGAGGAUUAGGUGUAGCCUUGGUCAAGCUGCUUGUGGAGUGGAGCCGUCCGCGCCGUUUAUCUUAUUUUCCGCUGCUUAGAUCUUUAUUGAUUGAGAGGAACUAUCUACCUCUGUAAUGACAUUUUAUUCGCUUAUUAGUUAGAGUAAUAUUUGUACUCUAUUAUCAAUUUGUUAUUGUGUGCCUCGGCUGAUUCCUGGACGAGGGUUCCCACACAUGUAAGCGUUUGGAAUUUUGGAUAGAAAUUCCGGGCGUGAUAAUUGUGGAGGAGGCCCGGUGCCGGUUUGUGAGUGGUUUGGAGUUCACCACCUUCGGAGAGAAGAAAGAACUACCCUAGUGAUCGAGGCUUGGGUAGUCCUCUCCGUGGGCUGGCUCCCGCCUUGCCCACCCCUUGACGAAGAGGGCGUGCGGAGGCUUCGUGGUUGAGUGGUGGAGUUGGGCUCGCCUCAACGGGGAGUAGGAAACCAGCGAGUUUCCGAACCUCGAUGAAAAAUCUCUUGUCUCCUUGUCUCAUUUGAUUGUCGCAUUUACCUUUGUGCAAUUUACUUUUCUAGAGACAAACUUGAGAUCAUAUCACCCUAGGAUUGCUAAACAUUGACAUAGGAGUGUGAUUUACUUUCGUAGAGAUAUAAUUGAGCCUCUAUCACCCUAGAUUUGCAAAACAUAACUUAGUUGCUUAGUUAGAGUUGACCCUCACCAAGCCUAGCAACUUAGGUUAGUUUUGAUUUGGUGUCAUUUAGUUUUAAAUCGCCUAUUCACCCCCCUCUAGUCGACAUCUCGAUCUUACAUACGUGUAUCGGAUGAUUCUUGUGAAGUAUUAGGCGAUACUUAUGAGGUACCAGACGAUUCUUGUGAGGGAUUAGCUCAUACCCAUCCCAGCGCAACGGCAUCGAUCUUGCUCCACCGAUUCCCCAUCACGGCCAUGCAGCUCCAGGACCAGUAGCUGCUCCUGCUCCGUCAUGCUCCAGGACCAGUAGUUCAGCCACAAUAGUCUAUAGCUCUUCCUGGGCCUCUUAAGCCCUGCACUAACUUGAUCUAAUAAGCGAUUGAUGGAUCAAUAUAUCCAUCGGAGAAGAAAGAGAAAUAGAAAGAGAGAAAUCAAAAGCAUACCGACACAGCAAGUGAGUGCGUUAUAGCGGCCCUCCCUUUGGGUGGCAAUGUCGUUAAUGAGGAGCAGGUCCUCGACCGUCCACGGCCCACGCUAGAGGUCGGUGGUGGCGACCACGUCCUCCAUAUUGAGCAGGUCCUCCACCAUCCACGCCCCACGCUGAAGGUCGUUGCCGGCAGCCACGUCCUCCUCGCUGAGCAGGUCGUCCUCCAUGGCCCGCAUUACAGGUCAUCAGUGGUGGGCCGCCUCCUUGCCACUGCUCAGCUCUCGCUCCUCCUCGCGACAUCCUUGGAUAGGCCGGGGAUCCUUACUUUCAAUAAAUUUUAGUUUCCAUAUUUUAAAAUCAAAAUUUUCAGGGUGUUACAGUAAUAUCCUAGUUGCCACUUUCAUGAAGGCGUCACAUCGGAGGUUCCCUAUUAGUGGGGCGUCCUUGUGGCGGUGUUCCUACCAGUUGGGUUCGAUUGCAAUGGUGGUGGCAUGGACUAGACGAAUGAUUGAUUAUAGCUUAGUUACUCUCUGAUGUUAUGUCAUGCUUUGGUUUGAGGUUAGCACUGGUAGUGCCUGGAGCGAAAUUUGAUCGACAAGGAUCAGCCGCUGAUUUCAAAGGUUUUUUCUUUUCUUAUUUGAGGAAGAUAAGGACUACAUUUAACUUGUAAACCGUUGGUAGAAACAAUGACUAUACAUACUCUUGCCAACCAUAGAUGGAAAUAUUUGUCUUUAAAGUGGUAUACUAUGUAGUUUUCUUAUUUUUAAUCGAGCUGUAAUUUUGUAAUUUGCACUCAUUUGUCCUGCAACCUCCGUAAUAACUGGUUGUAGUUUUUCUUUAAGCAAAAGCCGGAAUGAAUUUCAUUAUAAAAAAAAACUACUUCAAGGGUCACUGAUCUUGCCGAUGCAAAAAAAAAAAUGUUCCUAUGAUCAAUCGAUGAGUAAAUAAGUAAAUAAGAACAACAUAAAAACAAUCUGAAUUAGAAAUACGAAAAAACACAUACGAUAAGUUAGGUUCCAAAGAUGGGAAAACAACUAUCUAACUGUUCACAGCUUCAUACAUUAAAUUAGCAAUAAUAAUGAUUUAAAAACCCAAGACACCCUGAAGUAAUACAUAGCUAUUGGAAGAGGUGGGAUGAUAUCCAAGACGUCCCUGCUACCUAGGAACAUCCUCCAUCAGAACAUGGUCUCACUUUGGCCAUGGUCACAGAUGAAGUUGCAAGACCAAACAACCAUUAAGGUCACGUGGCAUCUUGUUUGUUAAAUUGCUGACACCUCGAUCUAAAUAUUAAUACAAAGUCGAAUCCGUUGGAAAGUGGACAACACACCUACCGCACUGUAACCAUACCAUGUCAGUGUUUAUAAACAAUUGGACAAAAUUUUACCUCUGCAUUGCACUGACCAUUACAGAUAAAAGGUUAUCUAUUAACUUUUUUUUUUGAGUAGUGAAUACACCACAGUUAUUCACCAUUUACAAAUUAUUAGGAGCAAACUUUUGUUACCAGGAAAGAUUCAGGAUAAGUAAUUCCAUUGUUUGCAAUAACUCACAUCGACACAAAAUUACAAAAUUAUGUAAAAAAAAGGAGUUACAAUAUCGUCAUUUCAAACCAAUAUAGAUGGCCCAUAGAUUUUCUACAUUAAAUUCACCUCACCUGGAGAGAAACUUCAGUGAUCUCUUUUUGCCUACUCAACUCAGGGUUGCUAGACCAUGCGUAGCUGCUAGUGGUGUUGCUGCUGUACCCACCACCCCUAAGCUGCCACUCAGUGAUGUAGCUUGGCUUGGUGACCACCUUAGCCACAUCGACAUCUCCAGUCAACAUUGUCACGACCUUCGACAUUGGCGGUCGCUGGUGCGGAGAGCCCUGAGUGCAGACAAGUGCAACAUAUAUGACUCUAAAAGCUUCAUCCUUGUCAAAUUCCUUGAGACUUGGGUCAACAAUUCCAAGUGCUUGAUCCAUUUCAUACAGGCCCCAUGCCUUUUGAUAAACAUAGUUUGAGUAAGCAAAAGGCAAUUUACAAUGAAUUGAAGUUUUCUAGUAUGGGAAGAACAUAGACCAGCAUACCCAUUCAAGGAGACAGAUCUUGCUUUCCUCGAGGGAGUUGUCGGUGUUUGGUCUCCCAGCGACAGUCUCCAACAUGACCACUCCGAAUGCAAAAAUAUCAGCCUUUUCUGACAAAUGGCCUCUCAUUGCAUACUCAGGAGCUAGAUAGCCCCUUAAAAAUGAUAAGACAAGUUAAUAGUAGCAUUCAUAUUGAUGUUAUAAUCAUAAGAAGAUAAGUGGUAAAACAUUCUUACAAUGUGCCUGCAAUUCUAGUGCUCACAUGAGUUUGAUUCUCAUCGUAGAGUUUGGCAAGUCCAAAGUCCGAGAUCUUUGGGAUGAGAUUAGUGUCAAGUAGAACAUUACUAGCUUUGAUGUCCCUAUGCACAAUGCGUACACUUGACUCCUCAUGAAGAUAAGUUAGCCCUCUUGCUAUUCCUAAAAUGAUCUCGAAGCGCAUUACCCAGUCUAGGUUUAAGUUACUGUCACCUUUACAAGCAGAAAUAGCUCAGUUAUCAUCAGGAAUGCCAAUUAUAACAAAGAUGCAGAAAAGAAAAAUCCUUAAUUAUUAGUCACGAAGCAAUGAGUUUUAUUUGUGUAGAAAGAAAAUACAAUUCUAUAAGUGCCGAGGGCGGCAAUUUUACAGAAGUGAACUCACCAAAGAUUGCUCGAUCUAAGCUUCCAUUUUCAAGGUACUCAUAAACCAACAAGGGUGUUUUACUAUCAAUGCAGCAUCCAUGCAAUAUCACAAGAUUUCGAUGUUGCACAGCGGAAAUUGUCGCAACCUCUGUCACAAACUGGCUUGUUCCCUGAUGAGAUGAUUGUGAAAGUUGCUUCACAGCUAUAACUCUUUCAUCAGGUAGCUUACCCUGCCAAGGUUUUUACAUGUGUAUUUUGAGCAUAGACAAAUGUUGCUAAAACACAGCACUUCAAUGCCAAAUCAGAUAAAUUUAUAACCAGCUGCAGUUGUACAUAAUUAAUUAUGGAAAUAAAGAACCUUAUACACUGGCCCGAAUCCACCUUCGCCUAGAAUAUUUUGAGAACUGAAAUUGUCUGUGGCUAGCUUUAGCUCAGCAUAACUAAAAACGUCAGGUCGUCCAACCAGGUUGUAUAGUUCUGCAUGUUAUUUUUAGCACAGAUGAGAAGAGUAAACCAGAUAAUUUUGAUGUUUGAAUUAUAUAUGUCCUGAUAUAUAAUACCUUCUUUCUGUUGUGCCAAUGCUCUCCGCUUCUUUACUAGUGUAAACACUCCAAAUAAUGCUGCUAAUACUAAAACUAUUGCACCAAUCAAUAUUCCGGAAAUUGCACCUGCUUUACUUUUCCUUUUUGGUAUGCCGUUUCGAACGGUAGGAGUAAAAUCUGCAAAGGAAAAAUAUUAUUUAUCGGCAGCGAAUAUAACACUUCCUGCUGUUGUUUUAGUGUGGUGCUUACUUGGAGUGACGCUCAAUGCUGAGAUCAUUGGCCCAUAGUAAUUAUCUUUAGUAGGUAUGUCAACAGUGCCCUUGCCAGCCCAGAAUAGAUGGAUCUCAAGGAAGUUUUUAGACACAGUUACCAUGAAACUCCUAUUAACUACGGUAAAAGAUUUUCCACCUGCUGUUUUCCUUAUAUCGAAAUCCUUUUGUUUUAGAGCACCCUAUGUAAAUAUCAGUAAUACUUUUAGAUAAAUAUUGGUAAGAUUCAGUAGAAAAACAUUAUAUAAAAUGCACAAAAUUUCUACCUGGAUAUAUAUGUCAAAAACUCUUCUCCCUAAGCUUAGCCAAGUCUGUGAGUCUGGAAAAGCUAAUUCUGCGAAUUGGAGCAAAACAGUGUAAUUUCCAUUCUCAAGUCCAAGUCCAUAGUACCUCAGAGAUGAUGAUGACAUCCUUGCAGUUUCAAACAACUCUGAAUCAACUACAUUUUGAAAAGGUUGGGAGCUAUAUAUAAUAUUCUUUGCAUCUAUGGCGUUCCCUACACUACUGACACCCCAUCUUGUUUGACCGGUAACAUAAUAUGUUGCAGCUCCAAGAUUUGUAGGAUCUGCUUCAUAAAUAGUGUCAUCUGAGCCUCUUAUGGAUGCAUUACUGCCACAGUCAACUGCGAAGGAAUAAUCUGCAAUUAAGAUUAAAAAAAUUGUAGCCAUCAUUCAAAUUCGUAAGUUCAUGUUACUGUUUAGUUUUAUGAAGAAUGAGAAAUAUACAUUCUGGAGAUCCACGGAAACAAGGGGUGUCUUGUUGGAGGCAGUUUAUUCCCCAAGGUAGCGUACUGUGCACAAUUUGAAUUGAAAAUUUAAAGUUACCAGCAAGAUUUUCAUAUAGUUCACUCGCCAAAUUAGAACUAAAUGUCACAAGUACCUUUCACUGGUGGUAUCGAGUAAGAAGUUGUUUGCCACCAAAUUCCUUUCAAAAAACAGAAUAUUAGUAUUUAUAUUUUUUCUCAGCGACACAAAUAUCACACUUUUACACUUACAACUGUAAAUUGUUUUGUCUAGCCCAAGAAGGAAUGCUCCCAGUGAGUUGGUUGUACGAAAAAUCUCUGUCAACAUUCCAGAAUUAUGUUAUACAAAAUUAGUGCGUACUAUUAUGAAUGUAGUUUGUGCUAUACUGCCAUGUCAAUUGUAUUUGACAUACAUCACUUUUAAUGAAGAGCUUAUACCAUCCGGCAACUUUCCUGUAAGGCUAUUGUUCCCAAGAAACCUGAAUUGGGCACAGUUCAAGAUUAUAAAAUAUACUCAUCUGCUUAAUACAGGCUCGUAUGAACAAAUUGAUGUAAAGAAAGAAUUUCUUACAAAGAAUUGAGAUUUCCCAAAUUCAAGAUGGAUUGAGGAACUUCUCCUGUGAUAUUGUUAAAACUCAAGUCCCUGUGCCACAUGACUAUCAUAUUACUUGAACAUAUGGUACACAACAUGAGGAAAUGAGUAAUAACGUCAUCAGUUGGCACCAUGGCCUGUAAUUGAAAACUUACAGCAAUUUUAACUGUUUAAACAUGGAAAAUUCUACUGCUCCGAGAUCACUAGAUAUCUUGCAGUUCCUCAAUAUUCUGUAACGAGGAAAUACAACCUUGGUAACUUGCAACUAGACAAUACUGUAAGCUUUAUAGCUAAAAGCAUCACAUACAGUGUGCUCAGGGAUGCCAUAUUACUGAUAAAUGCCAACGGAGAGACCCCAUUUAUAAUAUCUCCAAUCCAUCUGCUCAUUUGAGUUUUUCAUAAAUUAGUUAUCAGCCUUGACAUUGUCAACCUUCAAGAGUUCAUGCCACAAAAAGAGUAUACUUACAAUCUUGUUAAUUUGGUCAGAUUAGACAGACUUUCUGGGACUGGUCCUUCAAAGGAGUUUCCGUGGAAAGCACUACAAGCUCAUUAUUUUAGAAAAAAAGUUAGGGACAUUCAACCUUUAUAAAGUAAGAAAAAAAAUCUCUGUGUGAGCAUUCUUAAUAAGAUCUCUAGGUAUGAACAUGCCAUGUGGACCGCUUACUGUGAUGCAGAUAUCUGCAUUUAUAUUGAGUGAGGACUGAAAUGUGAAAAAAUGCUUUUGUUUAAGUCUGAAUGGAGAUAAUGUGAUAUACAGACAGUAAUUUAUCUUGCACAGAUUCAUCUAUCUCUGAACAGUAAGAACGAAUGAUAUCUUAACAAGCUUACAUGUCUUCCAAAUUAGUCAUUGUGCCCAAAUAAGCAGGUAUUUUCCCUUUGAAUACAUUAUCUGAUGCACUCCUGCAAGCAGACCAAAAUAUCAUUUAGCAUGAAAACAUGACGAAUAUAAUAAUUGAGGCUAUGUUUUUGACUAUACAAGAACUUCAGGUUCUGAAGUUUUGAGAACGAUGAAGGGAACGGACCACUGAAUCCAGAACUAUCAAAGUACCUGUUAUUGAAAGUUUGAAAUAUUAUCAUGUUUGACAAUAGAUAUGACCAUUCCAAAUUUAGUUCUUUUACAAGUAGAAAUAAGAAGUUAGAAAUCAAUGGGGUAUCUUACAAUUGCUGAAGUUUGGUCAAGUUACCCAGUUCUUCUGGAAGACUUCCUGUAAAAUUGUCUGAGCUAAUGCCCCUAAAUGAAAAAUGAAAUAUUUCAGGACUGACAAAAAAUUUUUGUCAUCAACUAAUAGCAAAAGGGGCAUAGUUUUCCUGAUGUGCCAUUGGACCCACAAUAUUCAUCAUUACAAUAUGUUCAAGUAUUUGCUGUUCAAUCUUACUUGAUCAUAUGAAGCACCACAUGAGCAGGAGUUACACUGACAUGCCUAUUACAUCCUAUUUAGUAGUAGUUUUGAUCUUUUUUAUCACUCCCUCCGUCCCAUUAUAAGUGCAACCAUAAGUGUUUCUGUAUCAAACGUUUGACCGUUCGUCUUAUUUGAAAAAAUUAUGAUUGUUUUUAAAAAAAUAAGUCAUGCAUAAACUACUAUUCAUAUUUUAUCAUCUAAUAACAAUUAGAAUACUAUUUAUAAAAAUAUUUCAAAUAAAACGGACGGUCAAAUGUUGAGCACUAAAACCCACAACUGCACUUAUUAUGGGACGGGGGAAGUAGAACUUAUGCGAUUGCUAUUUCAUGUAUUAUUAUAUUAGUUCGUGCAGUCCAAAUAUAUACUCCACUCAUUUCAUAUUAUCUGUCAUUCUACUUUUGUUGUAAGUCAAACAUUAUAUUUCUAACCAUCCAUUUUUACAUAUUUAUAUAGUUUAACAUUUAGAUUCAACAUGAGAAAUAAUUUCAUAAUUUAUAGUUCGUACUCCCUCCGUAAAAAAAAAUACAACUUCUAGCUAACAAUUUACACAUAAGCUAUGCUCAGAUUCGUAGUCAUAAGUUCAACUCUCUCUCUAUAUAUAUGUGCGCGCACGCGCGUGAAAACUGCUAGGAAUUGACAGUUAAAGCUGAAAGGAUGAGUGGUUUGUAGCAGAGGGAGCAGUGGAAGAUUAAUCCACAUGUGAGAAAAGAUUUCUUACAAUGAAAGAAGAUUGGUGAGGUUUCCUAGUUCCUUUGGAAGUAGUCCAGAUAGUGGAUUGAAAGAUAAUGACCUUGAGAUGAUUAGCAAUAAUUAAAAAAAAACAACGACCAAUAGAUGGAACAUGAUCUAGAACAAACAUGUAACUCAUACAAGUAUUGCAUUGAAGUAAAUUUUCCGAUGAACGACGGAAUGGGACCAGUCAAGUAAUUACGGAAUAAGUUCCUGAAAAGAUCACAAAAAUAAACUAGAACAAUUAGCCAACACAAAAAUAAUGAUGAAUACCUGACAAGCAUUUGUUGGUGUUCACAGAAAGAACCAUGGGAUUGAAUUUAUAUUUUGUGCAAACCCUUGAUCUAUAAAUUAUUAGUACAAGACUCUUUAGUAGUGCCACACCCUGAUUUUGUUUCAGGAAUUUAUAAAUUAUUUAAUAAAAUACUUCUAGAAUUUAUAUUAAAGUGUACAUUAAUUAAGAAAAUGAAUUAAAGUGGGAAAUAAAGUUUCCUAAAUAAAACAUUGCUGGAUUUAAUUUUUAUUAUAUUCUCCAUGAUUAGUUUACACUCUCUAGAAUUUUUUCGGAUUUUUCAGAGCUCAAUUACUAAUUUUAACAAUACAAACAUCAAUUCAAUGGUUAUUUAAAUAUAAAAUAAAUUAGAAACCCCUCCAAAGUUCUGGGUCGAAUUGAGCCCAUGUCUCUCUCUCCGCGCUCAGCGCAGCUAGCGCUAGGCCGCUAGCCUAAGUCACCAGCCCACCGCCUCCCUCCUCUCACUCCUGCCAACAUGUGGGAUCUGGUCCCACAUGUUAGUGUUGUCCCCAGCAUCCAGCCAGAAUCACACUGUCUGCGUUCCUCUCCAAAUCCAGCCGCCUCUCUAGAUCUUUUCCAAAAUUAGUUGAGGCCGUUUGUUCCCUAUCUCCUCUUUCCUUUCCCCAUGAAAUCCCCAAAAAUAUCUAAGUAAAUCGUGUGGAAUCGAGCUCGAACUCGGACACUCUCUAUCCGGUAGAACCCUAGUUUUUCCCAGCGCUGCCAUAGCCGUCUUAGGCCCGGAUACAUUAUCUCGUGGCUACAAACAGGAUCCCCCUCCCUCUCCUCUUUCCGCUGCCACCCUCGCCUGCACAAAUCGGAGCCUGUAGCCCUAGCUUCGCCGCUAGCCCAUAGCAUCAGCACUGCUGCCACCUUCCAGUCGGAUCACGUCGUUGCUCUACUCGUCGCCGCUCUACUUGUCGCCUUCGCCCACUGUCACCUUCGCCGGGUGCGCAAGGAGGAGGCGCAUUUCAUCUGCCGGUCCUCCAUCACCCUAUACUGCCAGAACACCGCUAUUGACGAUGACCCGAGCUACACCGUCAUUUCCACCUCGUCGCCUUCACCGUCCGUCGUCGCAACGCCUCUCGAUGAGUUCGGCUCGUCACACUCAACCUCUCGGUACCCUCCGUUCAUGCUGCCGUGCCUGAUUCGCCGGCGAUCUUUGGGUUCCGAGCAGGUCGUCGCCGGUGAGGUGACAUCAUCACCACGCCAUUGCUAUUGUGUUAUCACCAAAAGUUGGUAAGGUUCCUUAGUGGAUUUGGUUGAAGGACAAAUUUGAUCAACCAAUGGAAGUCUAUCCAGAAGAUACCGAAUUCAAAAAGGAUUGUGAAGACCAUGGCAUGGCAUAUUAAUUCUAUCUGUUGAUUUAGUAACUUUCCUUUAAUCUUUAGGAAGUUUUAUCUAAUGUCUGAUUAAGACUUGUAUUUUUUCCUUUUAUGUUUAGCAAACCUAUGUCUUGUCUGAUUAGGACUUGCAUCAACCUGAGGAGAUAAAUAUGUACCACAGGGUCUUUGUAAACUUUCUCCACAUAUUAAUACAAUUACUUUCGGCGCAUUGCAACCUUUUGUUCUAGCAAGUUCUUACUUUGAGUUGGGCUGCAUUGGUUUUGAUCUCCAAUGAGGAAGUAAUUUCUAUCAACUUUUCAUGUAUCGCCGUGGCAAGAACUUUCUCGAUUAAGUCAGGUAUUCUUUUUGGGUUGACGCAAGCAUUACAUAUCCGAUAUAUUGAUUCUAUCUUUAACUGCAUUGCCGUUUAGAGUUGCAUCGACUUAGUUAGGACUUUCUUGGUUAGGUCCGAUAUUCUGAUUUAGUUGAUAUUUCUCUAAUUAUACUAUUGUUUUAGAUAGAUUUGUUAUAUCCAUCACGUCUGUGUAGAUUUAUCGGAUAAAUAGGUUUUUUAGGGGCAAUUGCUUAUUUGACCAUGUUUAAAAGCAUAACUACUAAUUUGACCCUACAAUUUUCAGUUUGCUUAUUUGACCCUGUUCAUCAAAAUCAAAUGAACCGUCUGACCCUGUUCCGUUAAGGCGGGUUAACACUGUUAAAUAAGAGGCAAAUAGUCCCUUUUGCCCUUGCUUAUUUGGCCCUCUUGUAUCCAAACAUUCAUACAAAUGGAUCUUUUAACAAAUCAGAAUCAAUUUGACAAAUUUAAUACACAGUAGCUGGAGGUUGAUGCUGGGUGCCGCCGCCGACCACCCUUUGCACGCCACUGCUCCCCGCGACAGCGCCGCUGCGGACAAACCGAUGCCUCCACAAGCGAAUUAAACGGCCCAUCGAAUGAACUCGCGAGGGAAUUCUUAUACUCUUGCAUGCCCCCUUCACUUGUAGAGAAACGUCUAGGCGCAGCAAAUUAAUCAAGUGCUCUGAUAAUCAAUAUCUCAUCAAGGUUAUCCAAGUAGUAGCCAGAUCAAUAUCUCGAUAAUAAUCCGGAACACGUUCACCAUGGUCGUCGGCGCACCCACCGUGGCGUUCUUCUUGAGAGACCUGAGUAGGUCGUCAACGAAACGCUCCAUCCUCCUCCACUUCUGCCGCGGUCGGCCGCUGAUGCGACACGGGAAUUCCGAGAUACCUACACGCAUCGCGUGAUGCCGCGGCCGCUCCGUCGCGCAAUGGCGUUUGCGCCGACCUCCCUAUCCGUGCGGCAGCCGCCGCUUCCCCAUGCGCUGCCGACGCUGCUGCUCCCUACCUCCACGCAUCGGCGGUGCUGCUAGCCACUCCCUCGACGCACCGCCGCCACCGCAGAUCCAUUUCUCCAUGUGCCGCUUGUAAGAGAUGAGAGAGACAAGGUGGGAUGGAUAGGGUUGAAGUGCCUUGAUGGUAUUUUGGUCAGUUUAAAUAGUAAAUAGAUUUUUUUUCUUUUUCUAGAAGAAACCCUAAUGAUGUAGUGGAAAGAGGGUCAGACGGAGUGUUCAAUUUAAAAAAGUCAAAUAAGCAAACUAAGAAAAACAUAGUCAGAUUAGAAGUUAGGCUUCAAAACAGGGUCAAAUAAGCAAUUAUCCCAUUUUUUAUCAUCUUCAAUCUUAUACUGUCUCGUUUAGGUUUGAUUUAUUAGAUUGUUGCUAAUAUGUAAUUAUAUUCUACUAAGCCGAUAAGUUUUUAUGCAACAUUUUAUUAGAGUUCUAGCCAAUUAGUUAUCUUGUUACUACUUCUAAGUGUUGUAUCGUCUUAUACUCAAACUUGUAUAAUCAAUAGUUAAAUAUCUCUUUAUCAACUUCAAUAUCAUACCGUCUCGAUUAAUUAGGUCUGAUCUAUCAAGAUUAUCUUUGAUUAGGAAUGGUUUAUUGACGAUUGAUGAAAACCUUAUAUACAUCGGCUAGCCUUGCUACAUCACAUCAGCCUAUUGGCUGAUCGGCUCUUUGAUCUUAUACAAUCCAUCUAUCUAUCUUCUUAAUUGUACGAUCAAACUAACCGCCACGCCCUACACCCGAUUGAUACGACGAGCUAUGUGGAUCUCUCAGGCCUUCGUGUGCGACAAAUUUCACGUCAACAUGUUGCCACGUGGUUCCAUCUAAACCCUAGAUUGAAUCGGUUUGAGCCGUCAGAUCUUGGUUAACUCUUGGUUAACUCUUGGUCAAGAUCAAUCUCGGUUGUCCAUCUCAGUGAACAUGUGGUCAAUCUCUGUGGACCUACUCUACGGUGGACUGAUUGCUGAUGACAUCAUAAUUUAUCUUUUUCUUCUUUAAAAUAAUUAUAAAUUAUGUAAUAAAUCUAUUUAAUCCUUUUAAAUAGGCUUUAGUUGAAUUAAAUCUUGUAAAAUUCAUUACUAAUUCAUAUGAAGUCGAAAUGAGGCAGUUCAUAAUUCAUCUAAAAUAAAGCUCUAAAUGUUUGUUUACUUUUUAUGUAUUGUUUAUUUGGUUUUUAUUAGUCUUUUUUCUCGUUUUGCAUGUUAGCUUGUAGUUUCCAUCCUUUUUAUAUAUUGUUUAAUUGAUUAUUGUAAGGCAUGUCACACAUGUCCCAAACAAUCCCUUUGAGCAUGUUGAUAAAAUAUUUAAAUUCUUCUUUUAUUUUAAAUGUGCAUUUAAUUUCGAAUGUCAUUAGGUGGUGGGAACCUUUCCUUUGAAUAGCUAGUUUGUAUUGAUAAUCCUGUUCCUUGAUAUCUUGGGAUAUAAUUUGACUAGCUUGAGCCAUAUAUAUUGGUUCGACUAGAUAUUAGUGUAAUUGCUUAGCCAUGCUAAGAAACAUUAGUAUCAUUUUACAUGCAAUAACUAAUGAUUCACUCAUGAUUAAUGAUGGUUAAUUAAUGGUAUGUUGUGAUGUUUGGUCAUGGUUGAUUAAUAAUAUGCUAACUAAAACUUGACUAAUGGUAGGUUUUGAGCACAUGGAUGUGAUGAUCAUGCUCAUCACAAUUAAGGACCGGUUUUGUAUAGCAUGAUUCAUCAUGGAGCACCACACUAAGAAGUGGUAGAGAUAGGCCCAUGUGGGUCACUGCGGAGUCUAUUCCGGGCUAUGGAAAGACGAUGAUCCGGGAACGGUGAACUACUUUGAGUUGAGCUAUGCGAAGAGUCACAAUUUUGCACGUGGUGACAUAUUAAGCGUGGGCACACGAUAACAUGGUGACAUGUUGUGGAAUUGUCUUGUGGGUAUAUUGGUACACAUCUGACUAGAGUAAAACUUUUCAAAUAGCCAUACAUGCGGUUAUUGGCAAGCCUAGCAAUGUUUUUUUGGUGAUUAGUCACACACUACUCAUUAAUCAUAAAUAAAUUGGUCAUAACAAUUUGUUUGCAUUUUGUAUGGACUUUAGAUCUGUGUAGUCGGGUUUGGUUGUUUAGAGAUGGUUGGGCCUACGCAGCAUAGGUAUGCUAUUCAGAGUUGAUUUUAAAUUGAUUAAUUACUCUCAACUAUUUACUGAAUGUUGCUUUUGCAAAUGAACCCUACUAUACCUUCCUUUGUAUCCCCAUGCACCUGCAUUUUUUCUAUGUGGCUUACGGAGUAUUCUAUUUACUCACCUUGCAAUAAUCAUCAAAUCUCAGUUGAAGAAAGUUUUCGAAGGAGAAGACAUGUGGCUUAUACCUCAGUUGAACUGUCUGUGAGAGUGGAGCUGAAGCUAAUGUUAGAUUGUUUGUUACCUGUUGUUUUCUUUUCAUUUAUAAGUAAUAUCUAACGUAAUUAUAAUAUUGGAUCUGUAUAUUCAAUUGUCAAUUUUAGUAUCUCAGCUAAUUAGUAGAUGAGUGUAUUAUAUGCACAACUUAGUUCGGAAAUUACUAGUGAAUUUCCGAAUGUGACAGGUAGCAAGAUAAAUUAAGAAGAGAAGUCUUCGAUACCGUACAGGUCCACUAGAUGGGUGAGAUUCUGUAGCUCCGCAGGUAUUUGACCAACUACAUCCAAAUAAGUUACCCUCCUACAUAACAAACAAGUAAUAAUUCUGAUAAGAGAACUAUGUUCAGGAUACAUAUAUACAGCCGGAGGACCAAAUGAAUACCUCCGUUUGGGUCCAGCAGAUAUGUACAAUUUUUCUUUAGGGAAGAUCUGUACCAAAUUUAGGAUAGACUUUUCUGAUUCCUCUAUAUGCAGCCUUGGAGAUACUAAUUAAUAUCAAUAAUCUGGUGUGUGUCUAUAUAUAUAUACACAUAUAUAUGUAUGUAUGUGUGUGUGUGUCUAUAUAUAUAUAUAUAUAUAUAUAUAUAUAUAUAUAUAUAUAUAUAUAUAUAUAUAUAUAUAUAUAUAUAUAUAUAUAUAUAUAUAUAUAUAUAUAUAUAUAUAUAUAUAUAUAUCUUAAUUUGCAUACUUGCAUAUACGUGUAUAUGGGCUAGCACACACGAUGAAACCACGAUAAAGAUAAAGAGAGUGUGCGUACAGUCUCGUAAUGUGGCAGAGGGUGUUGUUGUUGAAUGUGCAAUCGCACUUGAUGAACGGGUUGAUGUCGCGGUAGUUAUCCCAAUCGGUUUUAUCAGCUGCGAAACCGCUGCAGAGCUCACCGCUGAUGUUCCACUCCGGUGAUGCCUUCUUGCCCCAUCUCCCUAGUAUCGUGUUCAGAGCAGCCGCUGCAUGGUUAAUUUAUUAACUCACCAUUAGUAAUCAUGCGGAUGAAAGCUACGCAAUAGUGAAAUCAGACUUCAUGAAACUCACGGGUUGCUGCGUAAGUUUUAUACAGUAAUAAUAGAAAUAACAUAUAAUCAGUAGGCAUAACAUUAUAUAAUUUCAUCUUUAUCGACUGCAGAAAAAAAACUAUAUACAAUUAGGAUGUUAUUUAUAAUAAUUUAAACUAGAUUGGCCAUUUAAAAUCACAACAAUAGUGAUGUGGCUAAGUACAUCAUCUUAAAUAUAAAACAAAGGUGAUACGGCUUAAUAACAAAAGAAAACGUGAGAGAUAAUUUGAACAAUAUACCUAUCUCAACUAUCAUAGGGAUAAAGAAACAAUUUAGAUGAUGUGGCUUAAUAAGAAAAGAUAUAAAUAGCAUUAAUAACCACUGUAGAAAUGAACUUUAUAUAAAUAUAUAGGAUUUCUCUAACUCUUUGGUUUCAACGCGGCAAGAGCGGACACACUAUCAAAGUUAUUAUCAACCACAAAUUAGUACUCCUGCGAUCAAAGUACAUGGAGGGAAACCAAACAAGAGAGACAUGCAUGCGUGGAAGCCUGCCAAUGGUUUGAAAUCCAAUCCACAACCAGCCCAAACCAAAGCAGUAAGCUACACAAGUCCAAACCACUCUAAUUCAUUUGUCUUCUCUUAGAAUCCAAACCAAUCCAACCCAUAUCAUAUUUCAACCCAAAUCAACCCAACCCAUUUCAUCUAUAUGGAUUCAGUUCACUUUUCCAGUCCAUUUCACCCCAUUCCAAAUCGACACCAACCACAUGUCGGCGACGAGGUGGGCGAGGAGCAUCGGCGGCGAGCCGAGGAAGUCGCAGCGCGACUCCGAGCAGGAGCAGGGCGCGUGCGGGCAGGCGCGCUGGUGGCCGGCGACGUCGUAAUAGGCGACGUAGCUCCAGCAGCCGAACAGGUCGUUGGGGCACAGGAUCUUGGCGGCGCCGCCGCACGCGUGGCACUGCUUGCCGGGACGUCGCCAUGGCAGCUGCUGCACGCCAAGUGCCCCGCCGCGGACUGCACGCCAAGAAAUUGCCACUAGCCGAGCCCUCACGAAUCGAAUGAAAGAACAACAACAAGAAGAAGAAUGUCAGAUGGAUUGGAUGAACAGCUAGGAAGGAGGCAGAUAGGGCAACGGAGCACGGCCAAGUCGAUCCGCUUUUCUUCUUCUUCUCCGGCUCCGGCUGCAGCUCCCUCGCCGCGCGCCGCUUCCACCGCCUUUUCUCGCUUCACUUGGCCGUUGGGCGACACCACCCACGCCGCCUUCUUGGCGCCGCUCUGCUCGUCGUGCUGCCUGUACGCCGCACUGUUCGCGCUCAACUUGGCCACGUGGUUCGGCGACGGCGUGGACGGCGAGCUCGUCGGCGCCAUGCGCGCCGUGCAGCAGGAGUUCCCUCCGCUUCCUCCCCCGCGCCCGCGUCUUCUCCACCUUCCAGAAGGCGGCGGGCGGCGGCGGCGGAAGCUCUCCGACGGCGAACCUAGUGCGGCGGCCGGACAUCCAAACGCGGCUGCGCGGCGAGGUCGAGGCGGCCGAGGGCGGUGGUGAUGGAGUGCCUCUGUGUCUGAGACGACAUCAUCUGCUAUUUGGGGAUGAAUCCAAUUGAAAUCCAUGGACUCCAUCCAUUUUAGACCCAAAAAUUAUGACUAAAAACCAAUCCAAUCCAACCCAACCAUCCCUCAUCCAAGCUGCUCCAAUCCAUUAGUUAUCUCAACCCGUUUACACCCAUACCAAGUGAAUCCAAAUUGAAAACCAAUCCAUUAGACCCAUUCCAAUCCAACCCAUUGGCAGGCUACAUAUACGUACGCGUGCAUUCUUAAUUACCUUCGACUGGAUCAGUUUUUGGUGCUUGUUGAUCCUGAGCAGCUGCAACCCGCCAUGAGCACAAAAUUAGCACCAGCCACGCCAGAUGGUGGCGAAUGACACCUCUGAUGCUGCAAGAACGCAUAUCUCUCCCUCUCUCUCUCUCUAUCUAAACAACACUGUGUGCAUGCCAAAGAGAUGUAUAUCUGUAGGUAUAUAUGUACGUGCCACUAAACAUUAAAAAAUUUGGUCAAAUGUGUACUCAGCUUCAACAACGACCCUCGUGCUUUGGUUAAUCUUAUCCGUCAUGGUUGAUAACGAUAUGGAUUACUCUAUCCGUCCCAAAAAACUCAACUUAUAGAGUUUAAAUUUAUCCAAAAAAAAAAUCAACUUCUACCACUUUACCUACCUCCUCUAGCAUAUAAAAUGAGAAGUUUUAUCUCUUAAAUAUCAUUUACCUACUUAUCACCAUUACUACCUUUACUACUAUUGAUGAGGGUUAUUUUUGUCAUUUUUACUCCUCACUAAAUUUGUUUUGGGAUGCUAGGAAUCUCACUAAAUUUAUUUUGGGAUGCUAGGAAUCCUCUUUUAGCAAGCAAGUGUUUUGGUCAAAUUAAAGAUGACAUUAACAAGAGCAUGAGGAUGACCAACUAGUGUAUGCCCGGUGAGUUCUUAAUUAAAGAUUAGUUAUUUUUCAUAUAUAUCUAAAUUCAAGAAAACAGCUUGAAAAAUUCUUUUUAGUUUUUGCACUUUGCGUCCUUUUAUUCAGUUUUACUUCGUUAAAGUUUUGUCCCAUAUGAGUACUUGUUUAAUGCUAUCUUAGGUUACGUUCAGCGACAAUACACAGAGAGAAAAAUUACCUUCUCUUUCAAAAGCAUACGCUUACCGAAAUACUAGACAAUAUUUUUUUACAAAAGAAAUUACAAAAAGUUGUAUUUUUAAUUUUUAAGUUUAAAAUAAUUAAUAUUAAUUAUCUUAUUUUGUGAGUAUGUUUUAAUUUUUUUUUCUUUCGUCAACUCUCAAUCAUAAUGUUAAAAAAAACUCUCAACUAGUAUGUUUUAAAGUUUUAUGGUGUUAGUCGUGUCAAAAACAUUGACUUGUCCACCCGCCGUUGUUUUGACUGCCUGCCGCGGGAAGGGAAAAACUUGCCGUGGAAAUCUGAUGCUGCCACGGCAUCCUUUGCGUCAGGACGGCGUUCCCCGUUCUUCAAUUUUUUGUCGAUCAGCUCUGUUGAAUCGUAUGAUUCAUAUGCUAGCUGUGUCUAUAGGAUUUGGUGCUUGCAGAAUGUAUUCUUUUCACCAAAGUGCAUAUACACACACCUAGUUGCAUACAUGCAAUCUAGAUAGCUAUAUAAAAUUUUUAAAAUUUUCACAAAACGAGUCCUCCUGGUAGAUAUGUGAGCGUUUGCACGAUUGUGUUGUGUGUGCGUUAGACUUGUACUGACAAAAAAAAAGAAAUAUUAAAUUGAUAAGAUAGAUCAUGAAGAUGUAAAUUACUAAACAAAUAGAUCUAAACUUAGUCUAUACUCACUACUGCAGAAAAACCCAUAGAGGUGCACCCUUUUUUAUUUUUAUAGGUGCUAAAAAAACAUGAAAAAAUAUUUGGUAUUUUUAUUACUUCCCUAUAACGUCACACUUCGCUUCCCACAUAUCACAUGAUUUUUGCAACCCAUAUUCAUAGACAUGCUUCUAAAGAUUCUUACCAUGCUAUUGUUUUGUGAUUAUUGUUAUCCAAAUUUAUAAUGCUCAACUGAAAAUUUUAGCGACUACAAAAUUGUAGACGUCAUCUAUACCUACAACGUUCAUAUAUGUUUUGUCUCCAUCCGAGAUCAUUUAGAAAUUUUAAAUAUUCACUUAUGUAAAUAGAUCUGAAACAUUAUAACACAUUUUCGGACAUCAGAAAAACAUUAAAUAAAAAAUUCAUCACCUACAAAGUUAUAUGUCUCGUCAACUACAAAUUUGAUAUAAAGUUUAUCUUCAUCCAACUUUAUAUGAAAAUGUUAGAUAGAAAAUAUUGUGUCAUUAUUGGUGCCGAUUUUAGUUGUAAACCAACAUCUAUGAGCUCAUAAGUACUAGUUUUUAUUAAGAAUCAACACAUAUAUGAUGCCUAUAAGUAUAGUUUUUAUUAAGAACCAACACAUAUAUGAUGCCUAUAAGUAACGGUUCAUGAUAAAAACCAGUACAUAUGCUUAUAGAGGUGCCAUUUUAUUAUAAGAAUCAUCGACACCUAUGUGUUGUUUAUAGGUAUGUACCAGUUUGUUAUAGCCUGAUAGAAACCGACACCUAUGAUUUGAUAGAUUAUUGGUGCUGACUUUUGUUACAAACCAAUACCAAUAAGUGAUUAUAAGUACCGGUUCUUAAUUUUAUACUGGAAAAAGGUGGAGAAAGCUUCAUAGGCGCCAGUUUUAGGCAAACCGUCAUAUGUAAGUCCAGUCUUUAUGUGCUGUUUUAUAAUAGUGGCUGGAUAAAUAUAAAUAGCUAGCAAACUGUAUUGAUGUGCACUUAUUCAUAGUUGUAGCAUUUUAUUAUUUUAGAAUGUUCAGGCAUAUGGCUGUGUUCGUUGGGUAGGUUGGGAACUCAUUCCCUCCACACGGAAAACGGAGCGGUCCACUAGCGUGUGAUUAAUUAAGUAUUAGCUAUUUUUUUAAAAUAAAUAGAUCAAUAUGAUUUUUUAAACAACAUUCAUAUAGAAGCUUUUUUCAAAAAAAACACACCGUUUAGCAGUUUGAAAAAUGUGCACGUGGAACACAAGGAAGAGGGGUUAGGAACCCUGAGGAAAUAACACAGCCUAUAGAAUACAUGAGAAAGUCCAGAGCAAGUAACCAGCUAAACUAUUAAAAACAAUUAACUUUACUCCCUAAUGGCAUUUGUAUGUUUUUUUCUCCUUAGGCACUAAAAUUUAGGACUAUCAUAUAUGUAUUACAACUUAUAUCUUAAUAUUCUCAAUAUUUUUUUAGAUUUUUUUAUAGUUAUUUACAUAGGUUAGAAGCAUUUAAGACUGAAUCAAAUAUCAAGAUCUCAAAGUUAAGCAAACACUUCUGAAAAUAUUGAAAAUAUUUUCGAACUUUGAUAAUGGUGUAUCUAUGGCUAUAAAAAGUGCAACUUAAAAUAUAGAGCUUAUAUAAAGAAGAAAAAAAAGGUGAAAUGUCACCCGAGUACCAUUUUCAAUAUGCUUUAUGGAGUCAAAUGAGUAAAGAAAAGGUUUAGGGGUUGAUCUAAUGAAAUAGUUUGAGAGAUUAAAAAUUUAGUCUUGAAUGUUUCUAUAUAUAAUUAAUCUAAACUUAUUAUUAUACCACAAUCAGUAUUACUAUUUUGCAAACUUUACGCAACUUAUUUGUUAGGUGCACGCCUGGGUGGAGCACCUAUGCUGUGAUGUCACGCCCAUAAAUUCACAAGUAAUUUCCAAACUAAUUUGUGCAUUAAAACCCUCGUCCAGGAAUCAGCCGAGGUACACAAACUGACAAUUUAAUAUACAAAUUCAUCAAAAUAACUAAAACGAUAAAUACUUACAUAAGAGGCACUUAGUCCUCACCAUGAAGAAAACUGCAGCGGAAAGUAAAAUCUAGCGAAGCUUCAGCUCCACUCCCACAGGCAGCUCAACUGGGAUCUAAGCCAAAGGUCUUCUCAUUCUGGAUCCUUUUCUUCAACUGAGGUUUGAUGAUUAUUGCAAGAAUGAGCAUAUGACAUACUCAACAAGCCACACAGCAAAUAUGCAAGUGCACAAGGAUACCAAAGGAUGGCAUAAUAUAGGGUUCAUUUACGAAAGCAGCAUUUAGCAAAGAGUUGAGAAUUUGUAAAACAGUAGAGUAAUUAAUCAUCAAUAUUAAUCAACACUGAAUAGCACACCCAUACUGCUCAGGCCCAACCAAACCUGAACAACCAACCCCGGUCGUACAGAUCAAACCUCCAAACCAGGAAUUAUCCAUUCCAAACCAUAAGUCAAAUUAAUUAUCACAUUAUUAUCAUUAAUGAGUAGUGUGGGACUAAUCACGAAAAACAUUGUUAGACCCGCCCAUAACCACGGGCACGGCUAUUCGAAUAGUUUUACUCUGGCCAGAGAUGUACCACUGUACCCACAAGACACGAUUCCACACAUGCUGCCAUGCCCCGAAGUACCACCACGGCACUGCUAAGGGGGAAAUCGUGACAGUACCCUUCACACAACACAACUCACCACAGUGUACUAUUUCUGGAUCAUAAUCACCCCCUCAAUAACCAGAGGCAUGGACUCCCCAGCGACCCCCCACGGACUUCUCGCCGCUUCACAGUCUGGCACACCAUAAUGAAUCAUGCUAUACAAAAGAUAAAGUCGUUGCCCACGCUGGCUUGUGGUUGGCAUGAUUAAUGUCUCACAACAGUAGCUCGCGAACCGGUCCUUAAUUGUCAUGAGCACGACCUUCAAAACCAUGUGCUCACAACCCACCAUUAAUCAUAUUUUAAUUAUCAAUUAAUUAUCAUAACACGUUU
rnacentral:lncRNA from 1 species